GUCAACAGGGGUGAGGACGUAUGACUGUUCAACGAAGACGAAUUUUAUGAUGCGAGAGAUGCUUUUGUGGACCAUAAGUGACUUUCCUGCCUAUGGGAUGUUGUCUGGAUGGACUACACAUGGGAGAUUAGCUUGUCCAUAUUGUAAUGGAACGACAAAUGCGUUUCAACUGGAGAAUGGUAGGAAGACAAGUUGGUUUGAUUGUCACCGUCGAUUUCUUCCCAUUGGCCAUCCGUACCGAAGAAACAAGAAUUUGUUUAGACACAAAAGAGUUGUGAGAGACACCUCCUCCAUAUCUAACUGGAGAACAAAUUGAAGCGCAAAUCGACUACUACGGAGCUAACGAAACAGUUCGUUGGGGUGGUAAUUGGCAUGUCCCUCGUAAUAUGCCUGAUUCUUACGGUGUCCAUCACAAUUGGCACAAGAAGAGUAUAUUUUGGGAGUUGACAUAUUGGAAGGAUCUUCUUCUGCGCCACAACCUCGAUGUGAUGCAUAUAGAGAAGAAUUUCUUUGAGAAUAUCAUGAAUACAAUAUUGAAUGUCCCAGGGAAGACAAAAGACAACAUAAAAUCAAGGUUGAACUUGUCGGAUAUUUUCUCAAGAAGCGAGUUACAUAUAAAAAGCAAUGGACAAGUUCCAGUUCCGAUAUUCAGAUUGUCUUCGGAAAAAAAGUCGGUGUUGUUCAACUGGGUGGCAUCAGAAGCGAAGUUCCCCGAUGGGUAUGUUUCAAAUCUCUCUAGAUGUGUUGAAAAUGGUCAAAAGUUCUCUGGGGUGAAGAGUCAUGAUUGUCAUGUCUUUAUCCAACGACUACUGCCCUUUGCAUUUGUGGAACUACUUCCAACAAACGUGCAUGAAGCACUUGCAGGCAGUGUUUUAUAGCGCAAUAAUUUUAUAACGGUUUAGUUUGCAAAAUAAUAUAUGAGUAAAAAUGUGUUUAAUUGUUUUUGGAAUAUAAAAGGCAUUGGAGCAUUUUUCAGGGAUCUGAGCACACGCACUCUUAAAGAAGAAGUUGUGGAACAGCUUCAGGAGAACAUUCCCAUCUUAUUGUGCAACUUGGAGAAGAUAUUUCCUCCCGGAUUUUUUGACGUCAUGGAGCAUCUAGCUGUCCACCUCCCAUAUGAGGCGUUGCUUAUUGGACCUGUACAUUACGGAUGGAUGUAUCAGUAUGAGCGAGCCAUGAAAUAUUUGAAGGGAAAAACAAGGAACCUCGCCAAAGUUGAAGGUUCUAUAAUUGCUGGAAGUUUGACGGAAGAAGUUUCUAACUUCACAUCGUACUACUUUGCGUCAAAAGUACGUACCCGGAGAAGAGCUCCAAGAAGAUAUGAUGAUGGUGGUGUUGCGCCAACAUAUGCAGUUGCUGGUGUUUCAGAUCUCUUUAGCCAGAUUGGGCGACUCGGAGGGAAGUCAAAAGAGGUUUGGUGGUCGAGUGAACAAAACGCUCAUAGUGCACACACCUAUAUUCUACUCAAUUGCGAGGAUCCAUUGAUGCGUUAUUUUGAAAGGUAACAUAUAUGGACACUUCUAAACACAUAUAAGUAUAAAUUAUAUAAUUGCGAGAGAUUCAUUCAUUUAAAAUGUGAUUUUACAGCCUAUUUGUUUCUCAAGUCGAAUAAACAUUUCCUGGUAUAUCCACAAGUGACGUAGACAAAAGGAAAGAUCAACACUUUAUUAAGUGGUUGAGGAAUCAUGUAUUAAUUAACUCAAACUCUUUUUUUCAUACAUGAUAUGUAUUUCAACGUUCUCUUUAUUUUUUAGAUUGAUUAUGACGACGAUGAAGAUUAUCCUAAGUGGUUACACGAAGUAAUUCAAUCUCCACUUGUAAAGGUCACCACAUCACAGAUGUAUUUCACACGAGGCUAUACUUUUCACAUAUAUGAGUAUGGUAGACAGCGGACGACUAGUAACUAUGGAAUAUGUGUGAAAGGGGAAACAGAUUUCUACGGGAUCUUGACGGAGAUUAUUGAAGUCAAAUUCCCAGGGAUAUUGAAGCUGAAAUGCGUCCUCUUCAAAUGUGAAUGGUUCGACCCCGUCGUCAACAGAGGUGUUCGGUUUAACAAAUUCGGUGUAGUUGCUAUCAACGGUGGGCGAAGGUACAAAAAAUUGGAGCCUUUCUUCUUAGCUUCACAUGCAGACCAAGUUAGCUUCCUUCCAUACUCUCGGAUGAGAGAUUCGGGUAUAAAUUGGUUAGCCGUGAUCAAAGUUACACCUCGAGAACGAAUCAUCAGUGGAGAAGAACCACCUUUGCAAGAAGAGCAGAUAAAUGAAGUCGAGGAACCUGAACAAGAAAUUGAUGACAUCCUUCUCUUUGAUCAGCAUAAUCACGAGUAAGAAGAUCUUACCAACGAUGCCACAAAGGAAGCUGUUGAAGACGAGUUUAAUGAAAAUGAUGAUGUUUCUAGUGAUGACGAGAAUGUCGAUGUAUCGGAUUGAUGUAUUUGAUUUUUUGUAAGGUAAUGUGGGAGUUUGUUUUAUAAAUAAGAUAUUGAGAUAAUAAGUUAAGGAAUGGGGUUUGGAAUGGAAAGAAUAGAUUGAGGUGAAAGAAUAUGUUGAGUUUAAAGGGUAGAUGAGUUUGGGGUUUAGAAUAUAUGAAGUAGAAGAUAAGGAAGAUGGGGUUUGGGUUUUGGAUUUUAGGGAUUUAAACAUAAUACUCGUUAAUUCCUCGUAAAUAAACUUGGAUAUUACGACGAAAUAUAAAAAAAAAAAGAACGCGGGACUCGUUAAUUCCACGUAAGAAGAAAUCGUCGUAAAGCACUCGUAAGUCAACGAGGAAAUAACGACGAAAGAGCUCGUUAAUUCCACGUAAGCGCAAAUCGUCGUAAAUACCUCGUAACCAAAAAAAGAAAGCUGGCCUUGCUAAUUCCUCGUAGAAUAAAAACUAGAAAAAAAAGAAGAGAAGAGAAGAAAGAUACUGGAAUCACAUGUGGCUAGACUUACGUAAGUCUAGUCCACAUGUGUUCCAAUAUCUUUCUUCUCUUCCUUUUUUUUUUCAAAUAUUUCUAAUUUGAAAAGCAUUUUGCUGAGUUGUGUGAUUUGAGAUAUGGUGUGAUUUGUGAGAUUUGUGAGUUUGUGUGUGGUUUGAGAAGGAAAGUUGCGGGUAUUUAUAGAAAAGCGGGGCUCGCUAAUUCCUCGUAAAAUGUUGACUCGUAAAUUCCACGUAAACUUAGUCAUUGUAAAAAACUCGUAAACCUAAACACGGGCCUUUGUAAUUCCUCGCUACUUCCUCGUACAAUAAAACACGGGCCUUUGUAAUUCCUCGUAAAGCUAAACACGGGCCUUUGUAAUUCCUCGUAACUUUACGAGGAAAUAAUGAGGAUAAGUAAUCUUAUAUAUACUCCCGAGCGCUCACUCUUUCUUUCCUCUCUACUUCCUCUCCACAUCCUUUCUAUUUCGUAGCAAUGGUAAGUCUCUCUAAUUCCUCUCUAAUUUGAUUAGUUUAGGAUAGAUUAUGUGGUUAGUAUAGGGAAUUUAGAUAGGUUUACGGGUUUUAUGUUAAUUAGUGUUGAUUAGGUGGAUAAUGUAGGAAAUUAUACUAUUGAUGUUAAUUUUAAAAAUUAAAUUUUUUUUCCAGACGAUUCGAAGGAACAGACUUACUCCCCAUUACAGACAGAUGUUCGGUGAGCCUGGUAGUCAUUUAGACAUGUCGUCUUCUUCAGCUCCCAAUUCUUCUUCAGCUCCCGGUUCUUCGGAUCCGGAGACUGUUCCCGAGACUCAGUCUUCUCAGAGAGUCUCUCGGUCGCCUUAUUCUAGUGCACCAUCGGUUCCUCCUGUGCCUCCUCUGAUGGCUCCUCCGACGAUGCCUCCUCCUAUGCCUCCUCCGAUGGCUCCUCCGAUGCCCGCCGGUGUUCAUCCCGAUUUGAUGGUGCCUCCGAGUGCUCCUUACUCGCAGUACACUGUCGAGGACAUUCUCCGUCUACCAGGUAGAGAAGGUUUACCAGUCAUCGUCCUCGACCGACCGGACGGAACUUUGUGGUAUGUUACAUUAAUUUUUCUUUUAAUUUGUGUAAAAUUCUUUUAUAACAUUAAAAAAUAAUUUAUAUUUUAAAUUUGUUUUUUUCCAGGUGGGGGGUUGACGGAUGUCUUGCAUCGGACGUAACCGACACGAUCAAAGGUUACUUCUCCAUGCCACAUCCGAACUGGAGUAAGACGCCUCACUACGUCAGAAAGACGUGGUUCAAAAUUUACGCUGUAAGUUUCUAUUAAUUAAUUAUAUAUACUUUAAUUUUUUCAUGAUUUAUAUAUAUUUCUUUUAAAAAACUAAUUAUUUAUUUAAUUUUUUCCACAGCAAAAAUAUCACUGGGCCUUGGGGGUCACUGAGAGGGUGAGGAAGGCGUUUUACGCGAAGGCGAAAAUUCACUUGUUGGACACGGUCUCCAACUAGAAGGGUGACUGGAUCGUGAAGGAGAAUGAGCGUGGCAAACCCGCUGAGCUCACCACGGAUGUGUGGGCUGGCCUCAUCCGUUAUUGGCGUCUUCCUGAUUCCAUUAGAAUUUCCCAGUCUUGCUCUAACUCCCGUAACACGAUCGAUGAGCACGGGAACGGGCGAUGCUUCACACUACGGGCCAAAAAACCCAAGCCGGUGUCCGUAUGGAAACGGUAAUUAAAUAUUUUAUUAAAUAAUUUUUUUAAUAUAUAUAUUUUUAUUCUAACUUUCUUAAAUGUUUUUUAGGCCAAAGAGACGGGACAUCUCCCGUCUCUUAUGGAACUUUACGAGAGGACCCGCAAGAACAAGGCGGGCGUAUUUGUAGAUGGCAAGUCCGAGCAAAUCUACAACAACGUGGUUGCUCGGGUUGAAAACCGCCAGACCCAGUUGACCCAGCAGUCUACCGACGGAUUACUCGUCACCUUAUCCACACUUGAAGUGGAUAAGAUUUACGAGGAGGUAAAUUUUCUAAAAUUUUAAUUUUUUAUUAUUCAUUUAAUUUAACUUUAAAUUUUUACUAACAAUAUUUAUUAUUUUUUUAAGGUUGUUCCUAAAAAAAGUUUACUAAAUUUUUACUACCUAUUUACGUGGAAACUUUACGAGGAAAUGACGAGAAAAAAUAAACGAAUAUUUUACGAGGAAACAUUUACGAGGAAAUGGCGAGGAAAGAUAAACGAGUAUUUUACGAGGAACACGUUUCGAGGUAUUUACGAGGAAAUACAGCGACCUCCUUACGUGGAAUAUUUACGUGGUCUUUACGACGAAAUAUUUUCCUCGCUAAGUUACGACGAAUUAGCGAGGAAAUAUAUGUUACGACGAACGAGUAACGAGAAAACGUGUUUCCUCGCUAAUUCCUCGUAAAGCCUCUUUUACGACGAACUCACGAGGAAAACCGCCCUCGUUAAACUUAUGUUUUCUUGUAGUGAUAAGUGUCGCUUUAGGUUUCGGCACACAGAUUAAGGAAACAAUUUAUUUUGUACAUUUCCUAUAAAAAACACUCUUACAUAUACACCUAACCAUAUUUCAACCAAUAGAAAAAUAAAUUUUGCAUAACAUUAAUAAAUUUUGCAUUGAAAAUCGAAAAUGGCACUUAUUUUGUAACAAAAACAUUCUCUAAAAUGACCCUUAAUAUGAAACGGAGGGAGUAUUAUAUAAUACUAGUGUUUUGUUUGAAAAUAUUGAAAAAUGUUUGUAUAUGUUAUCAAAAUGUUGCAAUGAAUUUUCCACUAAAAGUUAUAUUUUCAUUUUUGGUUAAAGGGGAAUUUAUACAGGACGUAAGACCAUGAUUAUCGGUAAAACCCCAAAUGAGGUCCUUAAGAAUUUUUUUUUUAUUUUUUUUUUAAAGAAAAAAUUAGAAAAUAAACCAAUCGCGGGCCGCCACGUGGCAGUGGGGCCCGCAAACAGUGCAAAAAAUCCCCAAAGACUGAUCCUUAUUUCGUGAUUUUGGGGACUAGUUUUUAAAAUUUUUGUGGGAUCCACGCGUCAGUGGGGCUCACAUUUUGUCAAAAACCUCUUUAAUAAACUUGGGAUGUUUAUGCUCUUAGCAUGAUUAACCCUAUAACCUCAUUUGGAUUUCUUAAUGACUUUUUUAAAAAAUAAAUGUAAUUAAGAACUUUAGUUAAUAAACACUUAGUUUUUAUGCUCCAUUGGUAGUUUCUUAAUUAAGGAUUCUUAAAAAAAAAUUAAAUUUUUUUUUUGAGUAUAAAUUUUUAUUUUUAAAUAAAAAAUAGUACAAGAUAACAUUUUAAGCAUAGAUUUUCAUAAAAAAACAAGAGUGUUGUGAAACUUUAUAUGGACUUUGAAUAGAAAGAGUUUAUAAAUCUUGUGUUGUGAAGUUACUUGGUGUUUGGUGUCAUAGUUGCUUAGUUAAAAAGAGUGUUGUGGAGAGAGUGUUGUGAAGAGAGAACAAAAGUGUCGUGAAGAGAGAACAAAAGUGUUGUGAAGUUAUAUAGAACAUUAACAGAAGUCCGAGACUUUGUAUACAAACUUUAUAGUACACAAGAAUACAACAGUCUGUGAUUUUGAUAAUACACAACGAUACAAAAGCAAACAAAAGCUCGUGACUUUGCAUUGAAACAUGACACAAGCAUACAAAAGCAUACACAAGUCCAUGAGUGAUCUUAGAAAGGCCUGACAACAAACAUGACACUUUUCAUGAAGAUCUUCACACCAUGCAGUGAUGUCUUUCUCUCCGUGGUCCAUCAAACCCUGAAACACAGAAGAACAAAAGUCUCAGUUUUUUAGAUGACAUUUACACGAUAUGAUCACUUACACAUCCAGUCAUCACAAAAACAAAAGUCUCAGUAAUCUGGUUCAUAUUUAUGACAGCAAGAGAAACCAAAAGUCACAAGCUUUUCAUCACUUAGACAACUACAACAGGACAAGAACAACAACAACACACACCUAAACCACUAAAACAGAACAUGAAACAUAAAUAUGAAACAAGAACAACAACAGCACAUAGACACUCGUUUUAAGAGCAGUUGAGUGAUCGUACCAUCACCAGCAUCGUCAUUAGUAGCAGUAGCAAAACUCCAUAUGUGUUGACAAACCGAAAAACAAUCAAGCUUUACUCACACUUACAAAAAAAAGAAAAAAGAAAACAGAUAUGCCUUCUCAGACAAAGAUUCCUCUUUGAUGAUCUUAACUUAGUGAAACCACACAACCUAAUCUUAAUCAUUUGAGCUACUGAGAAGAAGAGUGAGAGUAAUCAUGAACAAGAUAUGAUUCAAUUGUUGCCAAGGAAUAAAUAAAUACAUAUCCAAUCAAUUCAAUUUGGAUUAUCUCUAUUUUAACACAAAUGAGUUAAAAAUCGCACCUUUUGCUCCAUGGAUUGCAUAAGAGCUUGAUUAAUAGAUCCAACAUUGUUGAUCUGAGAGGAUCUAGCACUGAAACCACGGCUGCGCAUGUCCACGACACCGAAACCAGAAACCCUAGAAACUCCUUUGCUGAAAAUCGAAGACGAUGGCCUUUGUCGUCUCAUGGAGAAGACAUCGUCGUGUUCACGGAGAAAUAAAAGAGAAGACGAAGAAAGAGAAAUAAAAAAAAAUAAAGAGAGAAAAAAAAAAUUAUAUUUGAUUGUAUGCUGACAUACGUGUGUUUAAAACCCUUCUAAAGAUCAGUGUCUAAAAUGCUCAAUUAAGGAUCGGUUAUCUAAAUUUAUUUACUUUUGAUUUAAUUAAAUGAGUGAUUUUCCUUAAAAACCCUAUUAAGAAACUGGGAUAAUCAUGGUCGGUUCUUACCAACUUUCCGUUUAAUUUUGCGCCAAACAAAAAUGUUUCCUUCGCUUGCGUUAGCGACGGCACCAAUGCCCUUGACGAUUAUCUCUGCCACAAGACGGUCCCAAGUCACGCAACUUAACGCAAAGAAAACCAAACCGGAGAAGAAGCGGGCAACGACGACGACGUCGACGAGCGGUUUCUCCGGAGGAACAGCGAAGGAGCUGACGUGGCAAUGCAUAGAAGGCUGUGGAGCUUGCUGUAAGCUCGCAAAGGACUUCGCUUUCGCCACACCUGACGACGACCCCGAUGACGUUGAGGUCUGUUUGUUUACACACACCACUUGUUCGACGAAAGUCCUCUGUUCAUUGCUUUUGAAAGUUGAGAUGUUAUGCUUUUAAUCUGUAGCUGUAUCGAAGCAUGAUUGGUGAUGAUGGGUGGUGUAUAAACUACGACAAAGCUACAUGCAAGUGCUCCAUUUAUGCUGGUAGUUUUUUUAGCAAAUCAUUUGUGUUUUUCUCUCUGAUUUGGAGAGUGAAACAAUGCUCAAUAUUUGUAACGCUUCCUGUGUACAAAUCGGCCAUAUUUCUGCCGGGUUGAGCCAGAGGUUUUCAAGACUCUCUACGGGAUCGAAGAAAAGAAAUUCAGCAAGGAAACUUGCAGGUAACCAGACAUCAAUGUUUCUCUUUGGUUGGCCUUAUCAUUUUCCCUUGCAAGAACUUAUUACUCUCUUUCACAAGCUCCUACACUGACAGUGCUGAAGCUUACUCAACUUUUUAUCUGAAUAUUAUAAGAAUCUUUUAGGUUCAGUUGCUAAGAUAAAUGUGAGAAGAAACUGAUUAUUGUCAUUUUUUACGUUUCAGCUGCUGCAUUGAUACCAUUAAGACGAUACAUGGCUCAGAUUCCAAAGAACUAGAUAAGUUCUUAUCAGAAAACAUAAUUUUUGAAAGCCUCUUGUUUACUUCACAAAGGUUCUUAUGAAUUCCUCUUCAUGAAUCAAAGUUCUUAUCAGAAAACAUAAUUUUUGAAAGCCUCUUGUUUACUUCACAAAGGUUCUUAUGAAUUCCUCUUCAUGAAUCAAAGUUCUUAUCAGAAAACAUAAUUUUUGAAAGCCUCUUGUUUACUUCACAAAGGUUCUUAUGAAUUCCUCUUCAUGAAUCAAAGUUCUUAUCAGAAAACAUAAUUUUUGAAAGCCUCUUGUUUACUAGAAACCUCGAUGAUGGUUCUUAUUUCAAUGGCUCCUCCUUCCCAGUUCCUGCUCCUUCAUACAGAAAAACCUCUCAGAAGAUUGAUUAUGGAUUCAAGCCUGGAGGUAACAGUAUUUCUGCUACACUCCAUAAAUUUUGUUUUCCAAGAACCUCUAAAUAAGAAACUCCCAUUGGAGCACAAAAAUGUUGGUGUCUCUUAACUUGAUCUCUUAAGUAACAUUUAAUACUUAAAAAUCAUUAAGAAACUCAAAGUGGGUUUUUUGGUUAAUGAUGCUCUUAGCAUUCAUCUCGGAUCAUCCUGUCUUGUUUAAAGAAAAAGUGAUGGGUUUUGUUGUUCACGUGGUUCCUUUUAAAUAUUAGUAUAACGUUUUUCUUGUAGUCUGAGGAGUUAUAUAUUAAUUUGGAUGCGAUUAUUUAUAUAAUUAUUAAACACAUAUAACUUUUGUUUUGUUUUUGUGUGAUGGGAAUAUGGUGAAAAUUGAGAUCGAAGCAAAGAUAAGUACUUAACACUAUAGAUUCCAUUGUGUGUAAGCCUCUUCUUUACUCAACAAUUUAUUAAAGUUCCAACAACUCAAAUUCAAAUCUUUGCCUUUUAUAUUCUUUGGUAACGUGAUGUAUGUAUAUAUUCGGCUUUUUAAUAAAACCAUAAUUACCAAGCAUAUAUUAGUAAUGUAGUGUAUGGCAAUGCAAAUUCGAUUUUAAAAUACAUGAUGUUAAUAUCUUAAUGUUUUUACAUGAACAAACGAACAAGCUCACAUUUGAAUAUCCAUGAUAUUAUGGAUGUUUUGAGUAUUUACAAGUAUACUAGUUGUUCCGACACACAGAUGCUACACGUGACAAGAAUAAUAUUUACAUUAUUAAAAAAAGACUAGCAGCCUAGCACACACUGGUGUAAACAAAAAAAAAUACAGUUGAAAUUAAAGUUUCUUUUAAAACACGUUAAUAAAUCAAAUAUCCAAGAUACAAAGAUCAUGCAAAAGAAUCAACUCAAGAAUUCUAAAUAUCAUAAAGAGAUAACAAAGAUCCAACAAUAUAUUAUUAUCAUCAUCGAUGACCCUAAAAACUGAAGAACAAAUCUUGAAGUAGUACUUGUUGCUUGUUUUAUCUCUUGUCUUACAUUGUUUGAUAGAGAUAUACGAAGAUUCCAAACUAAUAAAUGGUUUACUAGUUUAAAGAUCAAUGAUCCUGAAGAAACCACAAAUCAACAUGAUGUUUUGAUUUUUUUACUGUAUCCAAUAAUAUCUGAAACCCUCAUCUGUUUUACAUGACCGAAACUACGGUGGUAACAUCGUUUUCUUGCGGCGGAGGAAGAUUCAGAUCUAUCACACAGCGGCGGAGCUCCGGGAAUUGUCUCUUUUCCGGCUUCGUUUCUUCAACUGCAAAAACUGGUUUCUUCAGCACAAUCUUCCUUGAGUCUCUCGAGAGCAUCAUCAAACACAUGGCUAAAUCAUGUUCCUGAGAACCAUCGGAGACAGAACUCGCAGGUUCGGGAGAGCUAAUAUGACUCGUCAUCUUCUUACUCCUUUUCUUCUUCUUCUUGUUCUUGGAAACCGCUGUCCUGCUCCGUUUACGAACCGGGUCUACGGAUUCAGGUUCGGUGUCGCUGUUGUAAACGAUGGAUGACUCAGGAUCUUGACUGAAGACCCGGAAACUUUUCCUCGGGUUCUCUCGCAACCCGUAGACCAGAGUUUUACCUUCUGAAGAAGACGAAGACGAAUACACCGAGUCGCUGAGUUUCUUCCGAGUUGGCGUGUGUGAUGAGACCAAGUGGGACUUCAUGUGACCUCCAAGUGCUCUGCCAUUACAGAAACUCUUGGAACAGAGCUUGCAUUUGUGCUUCUGCAUUUUCCAAAUGAAACAAGAACAGAACUAAAGACUUUAUGUUUCUCUGUCCUUUAGAGAGAGAGAGAGAGAGAGAGUAGGUACCAAGCAUUCUACUCUUUUGGUCCAUACGAUAACUACUACUAAUGAUACGUAAAGAUAAACUUUAUUUAUUUAGUUUUAGUAGAACAAUUUAGAGAAAACUAUACUAUUUUUUAAUUCGACUGACAACGAUGACCACUACCGAGUAUAGAAUCUCGAAUUAAUCCUAAAGAUUGGAAUUUUUAAUGAUAAGUUCUGUGUAUAUUGUGAUUGGAAUUAUACAUGUUCUUGCAAGAGAAUCAGCUAAAUUUUGUUUAUUAAAAAUGUAAAAUCGUUUAAAAGAGAGACGAAAGGAGACACGAAAGAGCAAAAAGAAAGUUGUUGCUUUGCCUUUUAUUGACUAGGCACUUCUCCAAUGCAUAGAUGAGUUUAGAAGCUUAAUAAAGGUAAAUGAUGUACAAAAAUACAAUUUUUUUAAAAAAAAACUUGACAAGAAAACGAUUAUUGAUUGAAAAAUCGUUUGCCAAUAUACCGAGAGAUUAUUGAUUGUACUCAUUGCUCUUAUUUCGAAUGAGAGAAAAAAAAAACAAAGCAACUUUCAGCUUUGUGAUGUGUUCAAGUAUAUGAUUAGGGUCUCAAUAUUUUGAAAUUCGAACUAGGAUUGGAUUUUUUUUUUUGGUAAUCACUAGGAUUGGAUUUUGUUUUAUGACUGCAGGUUUUAUUUGAACGGUCAUAUAACUGCAGUUUCAUGUUUCUACAAACUUGACACAUUCAGUUCGAUCAGACCGGCCCUGAAAUUUUGGGAACCUGUUGAUGUUUCUAUGUAAAAAUUUUUUUUUUACAAAUUUGGGGUUCUAAAUAUUAUUUUAGGAACCUAUUUGUAUGUAAUUUUUUUCAAAAAAUUUGGGGGUAUGUUACAAAUGUUUCACCUAUCAUGACCUAUGGUCUACCCUGGGUUCGAUCAAAAUUUUGUUAUCAAUUACAUUUUCUGUUUUAUUCUUUAAAUUUCCAAGCCAAACAAAUGUUCAUUCAUGUGUUCAUUUGAGUGAACAUCCAAAAAUUGAAACAAUCACAUUUAUAUGGAUUAGUUAUACUCCUCUGUUUCAUAAAAUUUAAGAUAAUGAUAGAAAUACAUUUAUGUUUUUAUUAAUUACAUCUAUUUAACUAAUAAUAUUUAAGAUAAAUAAAGCUAUUUUUAAGAUCAAUGCAUUUUGUAAUUUCUGUUAAGGUUAAAGUAAAUAUAAACUACAUUGAAACUCUAAAAUGUCACUAUUUGUGUAAUAAAAAGAAAAAGUCAAAAUAAAUUGCUUUGUGAAACACAUCGAAUACUUCCUCUGUUUUUUGUUUACAUGAUGUUCUAUGAGUUUCACACAAAUUAAGGCAUCUAAUAAAAUAUUUCUAAUACCCUUCUCCAUCAAUUCAUUAUCAUCUCUGGUGACACACAUUUCAUUUUGAAAGAAUAAUAGUAUAAGGGUUAAUAAAGUCAUAUGUCAUUAUACUUCGUAUUGUUUGAGAACGUCAACUAUAUUGAAACAAAACAAAUAUUCUAAAACAUCAUUUAAAAGAAAAUGGAGAGAGUAUUAAACAUUUAUAGACUAGUUGAAUGAAAAGGUAGAUAAAUAAAAGAGAAAUUAGACUCAAUAUACAUAAAAAAAAAACACAAAUUCACAAACUAACUAAAAUCAGUCUCUCUCUCCUCAUUUCUCUUUCUAUCUCUCUUUAUCUUCUUACUAAAAAUCUAAUUUCCCAUUGUUUUUUGGUUAUUUCACAAAUAAUCCCUAAAUAAAGGUCGUGUUUAAAAAAAAGUAUAUAAGUAAAGGUACAAUCCAUGUCUAGAUAAUGAAAUAUCUAGUAUUUAUUUGUCAACAAUGAGACAUCUCAGGAAACCAAAAAAAAAAUUGAGAAAUUUGGCUAAAAUGUAGUAAAUGGGAGACAUACAUUAUCGCUGGCUGGAUAUAAAUUUCUGGAAUAUCGGUCUACAUUCACCUUAUUCGUUGCUACUUUUCAAAAUUUUAAAAACAAAGUUUAUUUUUAUUUUUUUGGUAAAAAAGUAUAUUUUAUUUAUUCUGUUAGGUUCCUACUUUCUUUGUGGUUGCAGUUUCUGUCGCCAGCUGCAUUCGUAGCUUUGUAGUGGUAGUUUUAUAACACUAAUACAGAACCAUUCAUGUUUCUGUCUUGACACUAAAGAAACAUAACACCUUUUUUAAUGGGCACCAAGUAACUUCCUUAUUUAUUACAGAAAUAUCCCUGAUCCAUCUUUUAAAAUCACGUUUCUGCAUGUUUACCCUUACCUGACUUUCAGAGUUAAAUAAUCAUUUAUCCACUGACGGUCGACACCAUAAUAAAGAUGAAGAGUUUUGUUUAAUGUUUAGAUUUUUAACUUAACUGGAGCAACUUUCUUUUAAAGAAAAGACAGAGGGAAAAGAUUUCAUCAUGUUUUUUUUUGGACAAAUGAUUUCAUUAUGUUAUCCGAACAAAAACAUGAGAUGAAUGGUUUUUGGUAAAUCGGGUCUCGUUGGCCAUAUAAAUGUGGGGCAUGUGGCAUACCCUUAGGCGCUUUAAGCCUUUAAGCUUCUGGUGGAUAAAUGUGGUCCUAGUGGGCCGAUCAUACAUAAAAUGAACUCAAUUUAACAAAAGGUACUUACGUUUUCUUUUGAAAUCUUUAGUUCCACUCAUGCAUUUCCUUUUAAUCCCAGUGAAAAAAGCUAGACAAAUGUGAGAGAUAUAUCUUUGAUAGGAUAUUAAAUGAAGAAAAAGCCAAUGUCAUAUUUGUUAAUAUUCUCUAACCUUUAUGUACAGAAGCAAUCCACCGUAUUAAUCAAUACAAUUUGCUGAGACUAGAACUACUCCCGGACUCCCCCAACCGGGGAAACAAAACCUCUUUGUCAAUCAAAAUUUGAAGAUGGGAUGUGAUCUUCACAAAGGAGACCCAUAGAAACGGUGCACAACAGAAGGCAUAUCCGAAAACCGACAAUGCUCUAACAACACCAUCAGGAUAAGAGGGAAAAGCCAUCACAAGGAGCGUCCCGAGAAUGCCAAGCCACGGUGUCAAAACAUGGAGCACUGGAAGCAAGAAAGCAUUGAUGGGAAUGGAGGAGAAAGCAAAAGAACCGGUCAGGUAGAGUGACCAACCCAUGAGCGGGUGGAUGGUCUGUGGGAUGAUGAAGGAGGGUAUAAUGUAUGCUGACAGGAUCAAGAGGAGUGCAACCAUCUUGAAAGCUGUUAGAUUCUUGUCAGAACGUCGGUGACAUAGCUUGGACAUGCUGGAACGCGUUAGACGCGUGACUAGUAUGAUUCCUAGGUAGAACAUUGCUUGGAUUAGGACCCAAGGCAUCUCCGCUGAGUAACUGCAAUGUAAGAGGAGUGUGAGAAAUUUAUAAACUUAGACGUGGCUCCAUAAUAUAUUAAAUAUAGCCUUUUUUAAUUUAUAACAAAGCGAUAUGGAGAUUAUGAAGACUAGUAUGGGUUUCGGUAUGUGCAAUGAAAUAUACCUUAUGGUGUAGCAGCGUUGGUGGUGCCAUGAUAUACCUAAAGGAAGAACAGGCCAUGACCACCAGUACCAUGGCUUUAACCAGACUGCUCCAGGGAAUGUGAUUACACUGUUUGGUCCACACGGUACGUUCCAUCUGAGUUUAAGGUCUAAUAAUAAUCCACAAAGAUUAGCAAAAUGUUCCUGAACUUUGGGGUUAUUGAAAUGGAGAGAGAAUAGAGAUCACUUACAAUAGUAAGUGGCGUCCAUUUGAUACCCCAAAGGAAGCCUAAAAUGUCCGAUGAGCACGGUGCUGCGGUUAUUAGGAGGACGAAACAGAGGCUGAUUAAGUAAAUCAGAGAAGUAACUAACAAGAAAGCCUUGAUCAGCUCCAUCAGGAUUAUCUCUUUUUACUUCAAGCUCACGAAUCAUGUCUCUGAAGACCUCCAUUGAUGGCUGCAACACAAAGAGGCCAGUGUGGAAGAUGCAAGGGUUGAUGAAGACAGCACAAAAUGAGCCGCAUUGGAAGAGCUCGUCGGUGCUCUUGAGGAAUAGAUUGUCGGCAUCGAGCAUAACAACACGGUCGUAGUUUGAGAGAGACCAAGCGUAGAGCUUGUUCAGACUAAGUUUGAAUCUAUUGUCGAAGUUGGUUUGUUUCUUGUAUGGAUUCUCCAGAUUCUCUACUCUCACUACUUUUGCUCCGUCCAGUUCUUCCCUACAUAAGAGCAUGUUCAUUGUUCAGUGGUAACUUGGUAAGAUCUCAAGAAGGUAUUAAAAAGAUAAUAAGAAAAUGAAAAAGACAAAAAAAGAAAGAAUUAAAAAGAAAAAAAAAAGAGGUGGGAUAAACUUUUUGGACUAAAAUGAGAACUCAUGACACGUUUUAAGAGAUUCUUGUACCAUUUGUCAAAGUGUAAUUAGUUUCAUUUUCUUAAAAACAACUGAAAUUUAUUUAAUUACAAAAUGCUUUGAAAUACAAUAUUUUAUAUUUUAGAAAUCUCUUUGAGAUACUAAGCAUUGAGGGUCUUCUCCCCCAUUAGUGAACUGUAUUAAUUAAGAAUCUAUUGUUCGAGAAUUGUAUUUGUUUUUGUAAACCCUCGAGAACUGUAUUAGAGCACCUCCAACCAUAAAUAUGCUAAUUUGAGAUUUUUAUUAAUAAAGUAUUAGUAUUUUUAAUCUAAAUUAAUUAUUUAUUUAAAAUUAAACUUAUAAAGAACAAUUGACCGGUGACAUGAUAAAUAAGUGGGUGUAAUGUCUUUCAUACGGUUCUUGCUGAGGUUUGUUUUAGAACUUUUUUGAUUUCUCUUUCCUAUUUUGUUUUUAAAUAUUUUAUGUCAGAGAACUCUAUUUACAAACCUCCGUCGGAGAUGCUUUUAGUUUCUUGUAGUUGAAUGUUUUUUAAAUAUUAUGUAUUAAGCAAGAAAUGUAUUUUUAAUUAAUUUGACACUUUUCCCUUUUCAGAAAAGGAAAACCAACAAAUUUUUUUUAAAAGGACCGAAACUAUGAGUUACUAAAAUAAGGUAUUUGACAGCCCCAUUUACUUUUUAUAAUAUCUUUUCUUAUCUCUUAAAAAUUAAAAUUAUCAACAAGUCCACUAUUGUUUAUCAUAUAGUUUAUUUCCACUUUACCUGGGAAAAUUGUUUUUAGGCAAAAAAAUAGUAACUAUUGUCUAUUAGACUAAUUUCUAUUUUGUAUCAUUUUUGCUUUUAGUGCUUUUUAGUAUUUUUGAAAUAAAUUAAAUAAAUAGUUUUACAAACAAACAAAAAAUUGGAAAAAUAGUAACUACUAAUAAAAUACUUAUAGAACUUAGUGGUAUUUUUUCCUGUUCUAAAAAAUGUUUAAAUCAUAAUUUCAGAUUUUGUUCUACAUAAAGUAGAAUUGACAUUCUACGUACGAAGUAGAAAAUGAAAUCCAUUUUUUUCAUUGAAUCUACUAUGUUUAUAAUAUGUGAUCUACGUGAUCUACGUAAAUAAUAGUACUUUAAAAAUAUUUAGAAUACACAUUCAGCGCUUAACUUAUCACUCUUAAAUCUGUAGAAAUCGAAAUUUACAGAUUACAAUAAAUCUAAAACCUAUAGUAAUCGAAAUCUACACAUUAUUAUAAAUCUAAAAACCUGUAGAAAACAAUUUCUACAGAUUUACUGUAAAUCUAAAACCUGUAGAAAUCAAAAUCUACAUAAUACUAUAAAUCUAAAAACUUGUAAAAACCGAGUUCUACAAAUUUAGUGUAUUCUAUGGAUAAGAAUAACCAGUUCCGAAAAUAUGAGAAUAAAAUAUUUGGAAAUAUUCAGUUUCCAUAUAUGAAAAAAUUAUUUUUUCAGAAAAAUAUGGAAAGAAAAUAAUCAUUUUUAUGUGGAUUUUAACGUUUUCUUUUAUUUUAAUUACUUUAAUUAUUUAUUAUAUUUUAAUAUUUAACAAUAAUUUUGUUAAUUUUAAUUUCGAACUUAUAAUUGAAAUUAAGGACAUUAUUGCAAUUUUAAAAAUAAUUAACAUAAUGAAACAUAAAGUAUAUGAAGAUUAGUCUAACACGACAUAGUUACAAUUUUUUUGGCUUAAAAACAAUUUUAUCAAGAAAAAAACAUUAAACUUGCACCUAACCCGUGUAAGUUUUGCAUAAGAAAUCAAAAGGGUGAUACGUAUGGUAGACAAAAACGGAAUUGAUCAUUACUCCCUCUGUUUAAAAAGUGUCAUCCGAAAGAUUUUGCAGCACAUUAAAAAAAAUUCUUUCUAAUUAAUACACUAAUACAUUGAGUUUAAAAAUAAAUAUUUAUUUAAAAUUUUGUAUUGAAAACACAAAACGACAGUUCUUUUAAACAAAAAAUAAAACUCUAAAACAACAUUUUCAAGAAAUGGAAGGAGUAAAACUUUAAAAGUUAGCUUUCUAUGUUUGAAGGAAACCAUUUAAUUAUCGCUAAGAGAAUUGUAUAUCAACCCCUGUUAGGAACUACGGUAUGCGCUAGUCAGACGGUAAUUUCGGACCUAGCGAAUUACCGAAAAAUUGGAGAAUACUCGGAGAUUAUGUGAGACCUAGUUUUAAAUACAAUUUAAUAUAUUUAUAAUAUAUUUAGCUAAUUUUAAACAUGAUGAUACAAGUUCUUAGACAUAAUUAUAUAAUUUUUUAUAUAUAAUUUUAAACAGUCUCUUUUUGAUUUGUAAAUGGUGGGUUUGGUACGAAAAAAAUCCCUAAAUGUAGUAUGUAUGUGUUUGUUUUGGGUUUGAUAGCUAAUUAUAAUUAUUUAGUAAUGAAUAAUUACACAAAAUCUGUCAAUAGUGAGUAAAAAAUAAUCAACCGUGUUUUAACUUACACGGACGGAAAAAAUAAAAAAAUAAAAAAAUAAAAACUUAGGCGGUCAACGCGGGAUUAGGCGAUCAACGCGGAAAUUAGGCGGUCUUACGUGGGUCAACGCCUGACUACACCAAUUUAGGAUAAUCACCGCAGUCAACCUCGGAACAGCGGCUAGACGGCCGUCUAGGCAGCUGCGUUUUCGAAUAGGGAUAUCAACAAUAGGUAGAGCCUAGAGAUAAAAACGAAUAAAAUAGACAAGAAAGCUUAUAAAGGUCGUGGAAACACUUCUGCUAUUGAGACUGUCUUGUUCGGAUAUUUUCAGUUUUAUUUUAUGUUUUCAAAAGAGCCAAGGCGUCCUAAGCAUAAUCUUAAUUGUUAUUAUGCCGUCUUUGUUGCUUCUAAGCUAAAAAUACUUAUAAUUACUAAUUUUUGAAAAUAUUAGAAUUUUUUUCAGGCUGUUACCCGCACACUGCUCUUCCAUGUUCUCCUCUAUUUAGAUAUUAACAAUUUGACUUUUAACAUUUUUGUAAUUUAUACAAGGUUGGGAAUUUUAUGAUAUUACUUAAUUAAAAGUUAAAAAAAAUGUUUUAAACCAAUUAAAACGGAAGUGUUUCGGGGGUGAAAAGAAUAAGAAGAUGAGAAGACACUUACAGGUUGUGAAUCCAGUUGAGUGGAACGUCGAGGGAGGCGAUAACGACGAUAUCAGCGUUAACAUGGUGACCUUUGAGCGAUCUGAUCAAGACACGUGUCGCAACGUAAAACUCGUAGUCCCUUGGAGUUCCCAUGUACAUCAUCGUCGCAUAUGCGUUCUUGUGCUCCGGCCGCCGCGUCUGUAAACCUCGCUCCAUCACCAUGGUCAUCGCGUUUGCGUUUUCAGCUUCCAGCGGCUGAAACAGCUGAUCGCGAUACCCUGACGUCUCGAUGAUCAAAAGAGACAGAACCCAACACGAGAACACCAUAGCUCUCUGCAAAUCCAUGCUUAGUACUCUCUAUACACCAGCCAAGAAGGAAGAAACUAACAACUUUGAGAACUGUGUGUUUGUGGGGAUUUUCAACUUUAAGGUUUUGGGUUUUGUUUCUCUCUUUUUGAGAGAGACUUACGUCACUCAUAUACUUAUAAAGGGUAAGCAAUUAUAUACAAACACAUGUACUAGUUAGACUUAGGCAUAUUUCCCGGAUCCGAAGAUCCGAACCGAUGCCCAUCCGAAAAAUUCGGUUUUGCAUCGGAGGAUAUAAAGAAAUACCCGACUAGAUAUGAUUUUGUUUAAGCUUCGGGUACCGGAUCGGAUCGGGUAUUAUUACCCAGUAUCCGAACAAGUAUCCGAUUGUAUUUGAUAUACUUAUGCAAUUACGUAAAUUCGGCCUCUUUUCUCCUUUUCAUUGAUAUAAGAUAUUUUGAUGUUUCUUAAUCAUUUUUUACAACUCUUGUUUUAAUACAUCUUUUUGAGCAACUUUCUUAUGCAUCUUUUUGUUUGUUUCAUUAUAAAACUUUGGGAAAAUUGGCAAUAUAGAAUAACUAAACUAAAGUAUUGUUGUGGAUAAGCUUCAAUAAGAUAGCUUAGGAUACAAGUUAUUCAUUAAGGAAAGUAGAAUAACUUAUAGAUUAGGAUAAAGAUAAGUUUCCUAGUCUCAAGUGUAUUAGGACAAGUUAAGAGUUCCUAUAUAAAGAGAUCUAUAAUGUAUGUUGAUCUCAUAAGUUAAGAAAUAAAUAAAACGAAGGUACUGUUUUAUUAAAAGCUUUGCACACAAACAUACGAUCCUUGGCAACUAGAUUUGGUAUCAGAGCUACAGGUUCUGUGUUUUGUUGGACACGAAACAAUGGCUGAUCCAAUGGCAUUGGUGGACACGAAGAUAUUAGGGAAAAGAGAAGGAAUCCCUGGCACUGUUGUCUGUCCAAUGUUAAGCUCAACCAACUACACGGUUUGGACAAUGCGAAUGAAGGUCCUGUUGCGUUUUCACAAAGUAUGGGAGGCGAUCGAACCAGGCACGAACGAAGGGGACAAGAAUGAUUUUGCUACUGUUCUUCUGUUUCAAUCAAUACCCGAGAACGUGAUACUGCAGGUAGGCGAAUGUGCAUCUCCUAAAGAAAUAUGGGGAGCCAUAAAAGCAAGAAACCUUGGCGCAGAUCGUGUAAAGGAAGCUCGGCUGCAGACGUUGAUGAACGAAUUUGACCGCUUAAAGAUGAAUGACGACGAGUCUGUUGAUACCUUCUCAGGAAAGUUAUCUGAACUCUCUUCUAAAGCGGCCUCGUUAGGACAAAGUAUUGACGAACCGAAACUUGUAAAGAAGUUCUUAAAUAGUCUUCCUCACAAUAAGUACAUUAUGAUGGUGGCUUCUCUCGAGCAGAUGUUGGAUCUAAAUACAAUCAAGUAUGAAGAUGUUGUUGGAAGAAUUAAAGCGUAUGAAGAACGCAUUAAAGGGAAUACACCAAACGAUCAACAAAACAGCCUGCUAUUCUCAAGUUCAGAAGGAUCAUAUGAUCAGAACUCGAAAGGACAAGGGAGAGGUUCAAGUCGUGGCCGUGGCAGAGGGGACAGAGGAAGAGGACGCAGAAGAGGCAGCUCUGCAGAGUGGACAAAGGGAAAGAAAGAUUACUCGCAGAUCACCUGUUUCAAUUGCAAGAAAAAAGGUCACUUCAAGUCAGUGUGCCCUGAGAAGAAAGAAGAAAAUCAAGAGCUCAAUCAGAAUGAAACUGAAACUGCAGACGUCGCACUUUACAUGCAUGAAGUGGUGUUCUUAAACGAAGAAAAAGUGUUACCUAAAGCGUUUGAUCCAAGCAAAAAAGAAGAUGGUGAGUGGUACUUAGACAAUGGUGCCAGCAAUCACAUGACUGGUGAGAAAUCAUAUUUUUCUGAGCUAAACCAUAAUAUCAAAGGAAGGGUGAGAUUCGGAGAUGGAUUUUGUGUUGAUAUCGAUGGAAAGGGAUCAAUAUUGUUUGAAGCCAAGACGGGUGAACAACGACUUCUCACAGACAUCUACUACAUUCCUGAGCUGAGAAGUAACAUUCUCAGUUUAGGACAAGCAACUGAACAAGGCUGCGUUGUUAGAAUGCGGGAAAACUAUCUAACUUUGAGGGAUCCAAACGGGAGACUACUGACUAAGGUUCUUAGGUCCUCUAAUCGACUUUAUAAGAUAUCUCUCAAGGUAGGUAAACCCGUAUGUCUUCUUACAAAGCUAAAAGAGGAACCAUGGAGAUGGCACGCACGCCUUGGUCACAUAAGUUUCAAGUCAAUUAAAGCUAUGGCGACGAAAGAGAUGGUUCAUGGCCUACCAGAGAUUCAAGAAGAAAAGCAGGUGUGCGACUCAUGCUUAGUAGGCAAGCAGACAAGACACAGCUUUCCGAACGCAACGCCGUACAGAUCAUCAACUGCAUUAGAGCUUCUACAUGCGGAUCUGUGUGGGCCAAUUUCUCCAACUACACCAUCUCAGAAUCGAUAUAUUUUUGUGAUAAUCGAUGAUUGCACAAGAUAUAUGUGGUCCAUCUUAAUGAAAGAAAAGAGCGAAGCGUUUGAGAGAUUUAAAGAUUUUAAAUCCUUUAUUGAAAAAGAAGUAAAGAAAUCAAUAGGAACGCUUCGUACGGACAGAGGAGGAGAAUUUACGUCCCGUCAGUUUCUAGAGUUCUGUAACAAAAGUGGCAUCAAACGCCAUCUUACUGCCCCCUACUCUCCGCAACAAAACGGAGUGGUUGAAAGGAGAAACCGAACUCUCAUGGAGAUGACCAGAAGUAUGUUGAAAGCAACCAAAGUUCCUAAUUACAUGUGGGGAGAAGCAGUACGUCACGCUACGUAUAUUAUCAAUCGUGUUCCUACCAGAGCUCUAAUGAAUCAGACGCCAUACGAGAGCUUGAAAGGAAGAAAACCUAGCAUUGGACACAUUAGAGUGUUUGGUUGUGUUGCACAUGCAAAAGUGGACUCGGUCCAUUUAAGAAAAUUAGAUGAUCGCUCACAAGCUCUCGUUCAUCUUGGGAUCGAGCCUGGCUCGAAAGCUUAUCGACUUUACAACCCUACUACUAAGAGGGUUGUAGUAAGCCGAGACGUAAUUUUCAAUGAAGAUGUAGCUUGGAAUUGGAAGGGAGCAGAUAUAGAAGAAAGCAACUCUGGUAACUUUCAUAUGGCUUGGGGAACAACACUGGACGAAGGCAAAGGUCCGUUUGUAAUAGGUGCUAAUCAAGAGGAUGCUGCCGAAGAAACAGAACAUCAAGAAACAGAGCAACAAGAAGAUGGAACAGAGCAAACACACGCCGAAGAUCAAAUAAGUGAGGGAGCUAAAACUCAUGCAACAAGAAGAUCAACUCGUCAAACAAACAAACCUAGCCAUCUUGACGACUAUAUCUUGCUUGCAGAAGUAGAAUGUGAGUUGCUGCUACACUCAAUCAAUGAAGAACCUACUAGUUUUCGAGAAGCAAAGAACAAUAAGCAAUGGACAGGCGCGUGUGAAGACGAGAUAGAAAGCAUCAACAAAAAUCACACUUGGACGUUAGUAGAUAGACCAGACGGAGUCAAGAUCAUUGGCCUCAAAUGGGUGUUUAAAAUAAAAAGAAACGCAGAUGGAUCUAUCAACAAGUUCAAAGCUCGUCUUGUGGCAAAAGGAUAUGUACAAGAACAAGGUAUCGACUUUGACGAGGUAUUUGCCCCUGUAGCCAGACUAGAGACGAUAAGACUUCUAAUUGGCUUAGCUGCUGCAAAUCAGUGGGAGAUCCAUCAUUUAGAUGUCAAAACAGCUUUCCUACACGGUGAGUUGAAUGAAGAUGUUUACGUUUCACAACCUGAAGGGUUUGAAAAGAAGGGAGAUGAACAUAAGGUUUUCAAACUCUCUAAAGCGCUUUAUGGUCUAAGACAAGCUCCACGAGCUUGGAACACAAAGCUUGAUCAGAUCCUGAAACGACUAAAGUUCAAGAAGUGCUCAAAGGAGAGUUCUGUGUAUCGAAGAGAAGAUGGAGGUAAAUUACUUAUAGUGGCGAUCUACGUUGAUGAUCUCUUUGUGACUGGAACUUCUGUAAAAGAAAUAAAAGAGUUCAAGAAGGAUAUGUCGAGUAACUUUGAGAUGUCCGAUUUGGGUCUGCUAACCUAUUACCUUGGGUUAGAAGUUAAACAGAGUUCGGGCUGCAUCACGAUCAAACAAGAAGCCUAUGCUCAACGUAUACUAAAGGAAGCUGCAAUGGAUGACUGCAACUCAACUUGUAUACCAAUGGAGUUUGGUCUACAACUCUCCAAAGGAAUGGAUGAACCGGAGAUUGAUGCAACACUCUAUCGAAGAAGAAUCGGAUGCCUCAGAUAUCUUAUGCAUACACGACCUGACAUGGCUUUCUCGGUUGGCAUCCUAAGUAGAUAUUUGCAUUCUCCUAGAAUUUCACACGGCAAAACAUUGAAACAAAUCCUAAGAUACUUGAGAGGAACAGUUGGUUACGGCUUAUCAUUCAAGCAAGGAGGAUCCAAGAAGCUCAUUGGAUAUAGUGACAGUAGUCACAACACCGAUCCCGACGAUGGAAGAAGCACAACAGGUCAUUUGUUCUGCCUAGGAGAAACGCCAAUCUCUUGGUGUUCUCAGAAGCAAGACACAGUGGCAUUAUCUUCGUGUGAAGCGGAGUCUAUGGCCGCAACUGAAGCUGCUAAACAAGCUAUUUGGCUACAAGACCUGGUGAGUGAAAUCACAGGAAAAGAGAUGGAAAAGACAAUGAUUCGUGUGGAUAAUAAAUCAGCUAUUGCACUGGCUAAGAAUCCUGUUUUUCACCGUCGAAGCAAGCAUAUCCAUAAACGCUUCCAUUUCAUACGAGAACGUGUGGAACAAGACGAGAUCGACAUUGAGCACGUACCCGGAGUCGAACAGAAAGCGGACAUCCUAACUAAAGCCUUAGCAAGAAUCAAGUUUAAGGAGAUGAGAGAAAAGAUUCAAGUUCAAGACCUAAGUGAAAAUGAUUUGAAGCUUAGAAGGGAGAAUGUUGUGGAUAAGCUUCAAUAAGAUAGCUUAGGAUACAAGUUAUUCAUUAAGGAAAGUAGAAUAACUUAUAGAUUAGGAUAAAGAUAAGUUUCCUAGUCUCAAGUGUAUUAGGACAAGUUAAGAGUUCCUAUAUAAAGAGAUCUAUAAUGUAUGUUGAUCUCAUAAGUUAAGAAAUAAAUAAAACGAAGGUACUGUUUUAUUAAAAGCUUUGCACACAAACAUACGAUCCUUGGCAACUAGAAGUAUUGUCUCCUUAGAAUAAAAUCAACUUUUGUCACUUUUGGACAUUCACUACCCUUUUUGUAUAUAAAAAUUCAUAUCAAUUUUUUUAGAAUGCAAAAAAAUCUGGAAAAAUAGUAUAUUUGAUGUAGAUAAGCAACUGCAUAUAAGAAAAAUAUAUUUGGAUUAAAAAAAUGUUUGAUUAGUAAUUUCAAAAAUGAGGUAAAAGUGUUACAAAAUCAGAUCUACUAUCUACGGAGGUUUAUAAUAUAUAAUCUAACAAAGACAUAGUGAUCUACCAACCGUAGAAUGCGCAAUACACCGAAAACAUUAACAACUACUAGGGAAGAAUAUAAAAUCCUCAUUCCCUCUAUGUUCUACAUAACUGGUAGAUUUGAUGCGCUACAAAAAUUAAUUAAUCUACUAAGGUAGGAAAUGCAUUAUUCAUAUUGUCUUUUUGUCUACAUUGGUGGUAUACAAUAUUCUACCAGGCCUUCUAAUUUCUAAACAGAUAGAAUGCAAAUUCUACCUAACAAAAUUACAAAAUCCGAAAAUUUAGCCAAAAACGGUUAGGAAAUAUUCAGUAAAUCUUUUAAUUUUUUUUUAUUUCCUUUUUUAAUUUUUUUUUCCUAAAAUCUAGUCUUCUUCUUCAACAUAGCACGAUUUCUGAAGUUAAACAUGGAAAUUCUUCUUCAUUUUUUAGUUCUUCCAAACUUUUGUCAUUUCAAAAAUAUGAAGAUUAACAUCUAUGCUUCAUGUGGUUUUUUGAAAUCGUCGAUGAACAAUGGAUGGGGAUUUCUUGUUGAUGAAGAAAAAAGAGGCAGGUUACUUACUUUGGACACAGGUUCAAGCUUUGAAAACCUAAAGGUUAUGGUGUGUGAAGACUUUGGAAUUGAUGUAAACAUGGUCAAUAUAGAGCUGAGUUAUUUACCUUCCGAUUUGAUCAGUAGCAUCUACUCACCACCUGUUAUCAUCACCAAUGAUCGGCAAGUUAGAAAUUUUCUUACAUAUGUAAAGAACAAAGCUUCGACGCAGUUUUGUGUGAGUACUCAAGCCCCUAACAUAGCGGAAGAAGGUAUUGAGUCGCCUAACAGAGAGGAAGAGCCUAUGGAGUCUGACGACUCAAGUGAUAUGGAGUCUGACGAUGCAGCUGAUAUGGAUUCAGAAGAAGAUGUUGAGGUACCUGACAGUGAAGAUGACAAAAAGUGUGACAAAGAGAAGAUCAAUGAAGAUAGUGUUCGCUUUUCUUUGGUGGAUGUUGUGAAGAAGGGUCAAUCUUUUAGUUCCAAAACACUUUUGAAGGCAGCAUUCGAAAUAUGUGCAAUGAAACAUAAUUUCGACUACGUGGUUGCCAGAUCAGAUAAAAAAAUGUGGUACAUUCGUUGCUCAGAUGAUGAUUGCAGCUGGCGUGUUUGUGCAGAAGGAUUAACAGGCUCAUCGUAUUUUAUCAUCAAAAAGUAUGUACCUGAUCAUUCAUGUGCUGCAUCCAAUAGGAAGGGUUCUGUUAGGACAGCUUCACCAAAAACAGUGGGUACUAUGAUUAUGCAUAAGUAUGAAACUGCUAAAGAAGGGCUGAUAUCGAAUGAUAUAAUCCAGUAUAUGCGUAUGGUAUAUGGAGUUGAGAUAUCCUAUUCUUUGGCGUGGGAUGCACGCGAAUAUGCAAUCAACGCAAUGAAAGGUAUUCCAGAGAAAGGUUAUAAAAAAAUUCCCAAAUACUUGCACAUGAUGAAGGAAGCAAAUCCAGGGUCACACACGUUUUAUGAAACGGAUACAAAAGGGAGAUUCAUAUUCCUCUUCAUCUCGUUUGGUCAGAGUGUUCGCGGUUUUUAUGAUGCAAUUUGAAAAGUUAUUGUGGUGGAUGGGACGUUUUUGAAGAGCAAAUACAAAGGAGUAUUACUAGUUGCUACUGCAUUAGAUGGAAACUCGAGUUUAUAUCCAAUUGCCUUUGAAGUUGUCGACUCAAAGAAUGACCUCGCGUGGAACUGGUCUAUGAGACAACUUAAUGUGGUCAUUGCUGACGACCAUAGUUUAGCUUUUGUGUCUGAUAGGAAUUCCUCAAUUGCUAAAGCUAUUGCGAGAGUGUACCCGCAAGCUCAUCAUGGAAUUUGCAUUCACCACUUGCUGAAUAAUGUUUGUAACAUAUUUCAGCGGGAAAGGUGCAGCUGGUUUGGUUGCAAAGGCUUCUAAAGCUUAUCGAGCUGCUGAUUUCGUAAGGUGUUCACUGCUAUUUUCGCUAUUAGUCCUGAAAUUGGAAAGUAUCUCAUAGAUGCCGAUGUGAGGAAGUGGGCUCGUUGUCAGUUUUCGAGUUACAUAUAUGAUAUUAGGACUACUAACCCUGCGGAGUCGAAAAAUGCUGCUUUGCGUACGCCUAGAGAGUUUCCAGUGAUACCUUUGUUGGACAGCAUUAGGAAAAUGAUGAUUUGAUGGUUUUUCAAACGUAGAACUUUAAGUUCUAAGCAUUCGAAACCACUGACCAUUGUUGUGGAUAAGAAGAUUGACAGAAGGAUUGAGAAGGGUAAAAUGUUUAAGGUCUUUCCAGUUAGCGAUCAUAGGUUUUUAGUUCAAGGUGACACUUUCGACUACUCGGUUGACUUGGUCAGACGCACAUGUUCUUGUGGGAAAUUUGAUCUGAUGAAAAUCCCAUGCCGACACGCCAUAAAAGCAGGCUUCAGUGUUGGAAUAAGACCACACACACACUCACAUAUGACAUGUACACAACUGCCUCAUGGCGCUCUGCUUAUGAAGAAAGCAUAAAUCAUAUUAGCGUCCCCGAAGAUGCAUGGAAUGUUCCAUCUCAUGUGGAGAAGUCGAAAAUCCUUCCUCCAGAGAGUAGACGAGCUGCAGGUAGGAGAAAGAAACGCAGAUACGAGACAAGGAACUCAAGGCUCUACAGUUCGGAAAUGCAGUCGAUGUGGGAUUGAAGGUCACAACAAGAGAACAUGUGAUAGAGCAAUAUAGGAUUCUCAAUUCGUUCUAUGCAAGUUAUGUUUCAGAGACUAUGUGUUUCUUUCUUCUUGUUUUAUGCAAGUUAUGUUUCAUUUUUUUCAUGUUGAAUUCAGUUUGAUGCAUAUUUCAAGAUUGUUUAACAAUAGAAUUUUAUGUUUCAGAGACUAUGCAUUUUGUUCUUCUCGUUUUUGGAAGUUAUGUUUCAGUUUGUUCAUGUCAAAUCGUGCAAGUGGAAAUCGUUUAGGUCUUAACAAUAGAAUUCAAUAGAUGUUUUAUUUUCACAUUUGUUCGAUACAUGACGAUAAAACUGGAAAUCAGAUUGGUUUAAUCUUUGACAAUGUAACUUGAAUCAAAGAACCAUUACAAUAUCAAUCAUAUUUGGACCAGAGACAUAAAAUACUGAGAAUGGAUCCUACACAACCUACAUGGAGCGAACUCUUCUGUUUCAUAACUUCCUCCUCAGCUGUCUUCUUCAUAGAACUCCUCAGAUCUUUAAUUUCCUCAGCAAUUCUCGCCUGAUGGUCAUCCAUCCGGUGAAUCUCAUUAAACAGAGCCUCGUCGACCCACUUAAAAAGAUGCUCUUCUUUCUUUCUCUGUUUGAAAACACAAAAACAAGUCAAUCUCACAUCUGUUUAUUCUCUUAUCAUAUAGAAUAAUGAUGAAUAAGUAAUUACAGAUUUACCUGUAUACCAAUCUCGCAUCUGAAGAAUCGUCUUUAUGGGUUCUCCUCUGUUUUUGAAACAUAAGUGACAAUCCCCUUCCCACACCAGCAUCUGGAAGGGAUCCCUUCAUUGUUAUUCAUGUUAGUCAUUCUUUAUUGAGAAGGAAACAGAGGUUUUUUUUAAAGAGAAGUAGAAGAAACAAACGAUGGAAUAUGUAGGGUUUCUGGCUAUUUGAUGGUCUUAUAUAAGAUUAUUUUUAGGGCAAACGUUUCUUCCACUCGGGUUUGGUUUUAGAGUAAACUUGUAUGUGUUUUGAUAAUUAAGAUUUGUUAUGAUUAUUAAGAUUUUUUUGUGAUUUAUAAGGUUUGUGUGGAUUAAUUUGGGUUGAAAUCGUUUGUUAUACUUUAGUGGCAUUUAGGGCAUAGAUAAGGGUUCAAAUAGUUUGUGAUACUUUAGUGGCAUUUAGGGCAUAGAUAAGGGUUCAAAUGGUUUGUAUUACUUUAGUGUCAAAUAGGGUAUAGAUAGGGGUUGAAUUGGUUUGUUUUACUUUACUAUCAUUUAGGGUUUAAAUAAGAGUUGAAAUCGUUUGGGUUUUACUUUAGGGUAUCUUUAGGGGUUGAUAAGGAUUGUCUUUGCAUACAACUCAUUUAGGAAAUAUUUAGGCAAACUCAAACUGUCACAAGAGUUAAAGAGAGCAACUAAAAGUUUCAAAUAAAGUAAAAAAUAAAGAGUAACUACAAGAAUCAAAUACAAGAGUCAAAUAAGAGAGUCAAUAACAACCUACUUCCUUAACAAGUUAUAAUCGAAAGAACUUCAUUCAAGUUUCACUAGAGGAUUUGUAAUCGUCUUUGGAGGAGUGUAUUGUGCCAUUCUCAAAAUAAGCUCAGGAUCAUUGGCAGUUUCCCAUAGGUCGUAAGCAAUCUUUUGGCGCGCUUCUCGAAUGUUAUUGUCAUUCACCAGGGAGAAGUCCAAGCCUAGAAGAUGACAUUAAAUGUGCUUCAAGGCAUAUACUCCACAAUCACUGCUACUCUUGUUUAGUAAGUAGGGCACUGGGCAUAACUGACAGUAUAUUGCUUGACCUUGAGUUGCUGCCGACUCUUUGAAGACUGAGCAACUUUGACAAUUCUAGGGAUGAGAAAGGCAAAUGGCUCCACUUCCUUGUUAUAUUUCAAUCCCUCACAGUCAAGGACCUCUAUCGAACGAGAAACAAAGUUGACACACAUAGAGAUCUAGUGUUUACCGACAUUUAGAGGCACAUACAUGCGUGUAACGUCAAGAUCCCACAUUAGUCAUGUUCGUCCGUGUGCUGGAAGUUCACCAAUGUCGUACCGGCGAAGCAGUUCUGAUACUUUGAAUUUCUUCUUGUCCUUCCGAAACUCUUCGAAAGAGUUCUUCAUUUGAUUACUGAACAUGCAGCUCAUGAAUGCUACUUUACUUGGUUCCCAUCAUCGCAAAGUAGUCCUCUCAGUGAAUAAGUACAUUAUAGCAUCAAUUUCCUGAAAAUUUUAUAAGAGAUUGUAAGUCGUGUACUGAAAAUAUUAAUGACCAAAUUUAGACUCACGUGAUUCUUAAGCCACUCUGUAGGUCCCAUGACGUGUGCUGCUAACUCACUUGUUAACAUAGAAGGUCCAAUUUUCAGUUCACUGCAAUGCAAAAUUCAGUUAAAAAUGAUCCAAUUCUAACGCUUUGAGAAACAAUAAUAUAAACUUACUUGGAAGUUGAGGACCACUCAUUCAGUUUGGCCCAUGAAUCCUCAGGGGCAAACACUAAUGAGUGACCACUGUCAUGCACCCGAUCCUCAAGUAAAUCCUCAUCUUUGAGAGUAGGUGGUCUCCAAUCCGGAGGCUGAACUGAAGACAGUGGAGUAACCCAUUCUGCUGGUUCUUCGUCCUUCAAUUUUUGUGAGGGAUUAAAACCUUUAACAUGUGAUGCUUGAGAAAGGUUUCUCAUGGCGUCUUGUAACGACUCUUGCAUCCCCUUAUCUACAUAGUUCGAUGAUUGUGACAAAUUCUUCAAAAAAUCGAACAUGUCAUCGUCAUCAGUUUGAACUUCCUGUUAAUAAAGCCAAGCAUAACAACAUUAAUAGCAAAUUACAUUACAAAAUAUUCAAUCCAACAUGUCAUAGUUAUCAGUUCACUUCAUAGAAAACAACAAGAUACAUUACAAGCCGAUAUACAACAUAGCCCAAUACAAGGACAUUACAAAAUAGUCAAACCACAGAAAAACUUACAACCGAAGAUAAUUCGUCCUACAUAUUAUAAAGCUUCAUGUUUUGGUUACCUUUCUUACUGGCCGAGGGCUACGACGAAGCGGAGGAGGAUCCACACUCAAAGCUGCCUUGCCUUUGCCUUUUCCCUUUGCUCCUAAAGGACCCAGACUCUGUGAUGAUUUGUCUUGGUCUUUCCCAAGUGUUGCAGAAGGACAGAGAAUCUCAGAUGCUCUGUCUCGUCCCACUGCAUUUGAAGGAUCCGUAAUCUGAGACAUGGUUUCCUUCAGUUGAGCCAUCUCAUUGUCGACCUUGUCAAAACACUUGUAUGUCCUUCUGCAGCAGCUCCUUGAAAGAAUUGAAAGUAGAGGUGAACAAACCUUCAAUGAAGGUCUUCAUUUCACCGGAGACACCAAUAUUAUGUUCACCCGUCCAUUGACAAAGUAGUUGUUUCUUUCGAGACUCGACACCAGGAUCAAUUAGUUUACGCUUGCCCCUUUUUGUAACAACAACCGGUUCCUCUGCAACAACAGCUGGUUCCUCCACAUGUGUUUCUGUAACAUUUUCAACUUCGACAUCCUCUUAUGCGUUAGAUAACACCAUAUUUGGAGGCAGAGUCUCAACUUCCCAAGUGAAUUGCUUCUAAUCUUGUUUGGCACUGAUCAGAGCAACAAUGCGACCGACUCUUCCGUCAUUCUUCUCAUCUUCCCUAAAGAACUCAACAUUAUCAAUUGCCUUAGAGCUUCCAAUAGAUGAUAUAAACGGGAACAACUCUCCCUGGGAAGAACAAACGAAACAAUAAGCUUCAGUUGUUUGAUUAUUGAACUCAACAUUAAUAUAAGAAAGAUAACUACCUUAUCAAAGUUGGGCUAUAGGCUGGUGAUAUCUUGGUAUGAUACUUUUCCACUUCCUUUCCAACUCCUACAUCUCACUUUGGUCAAGUUUUUUUUUAUCUUUUUACCCACCAUAGAACCAAUGUUUGGAAUUGCCUCCAUAAUCCAUAUCUGAAACGCAUAUGAGAAUCCAUCCAACACAUAACUGUUUUUCAGAUGCACAUCUUCCCUUGCUUUGAAUAUUGAUGCAAUCAGCUCAUCAUACGCGCCAAGACCCCAAGGAUACAUCCUCAUUUUCUCAAAAUCCAUCACCAAACGAAUGAACUCGUGAGGGAUAAACACUCUCAAAUCCUUAGCAAUGACGAAUCCAUGUAUAAUACACAGAUACACUAGCCUCACCCUGUCGACAUACGUCCACUCGUUACAGACUUUAAGGAGCUCAUCCCUUAUAAUCAAUAAGUUGAUCUUUCUAUUUUCCUUCAGCACUGUGCUCCAGAACCCCUUAUCACUCUUCCAGUUAUUGAAGUCUACAUCGGGUUCUUCUUUAAACUUCAAUCCAGUCACAUCAUAAAACUCUUGCAUAGAGAACCUGAGAGGCCUCUUUGCAAAUAUAAACCACAACUCGUGAAGCUUGGAAACCUUAAGCUUCUUGCAUAUGAAGCUGUGAAUAAUAUUCCCUGAGUAAAUGAGCUUGUUCUCUACGAUUGCCAGAAUCGGACCAAAGACAGGGUCUUUCAAAACUUCUUGAUACUCAUCCCUGAGAACCACCUUCAACGUCCCCAGAAUCGUGCGUCUACAAGUGUUGUUAAUCUUAUCAAUCUUGGUCUCAGCUCCUUCUUCAAGAAUGUGUUUUGGAAACUGGUAAUCCAUUCCUAUAAAACAUGAAAUCAAAAACUUUAACUCCUUAGCCUUUUCAAGUCCAUUACGAAUUCAAAACACAACACAAAGCCGAUACCAAAAAAAAUAGAAUUCAAAAUCAACUCAAAAAUAAACUACAAUCAACUCAACCCACAAACUACAAUCAAAACCAUAAACGUGAAUCGAUUUGUGUUUUUAAACAAUUCAAGCUCUUUCUACUACAUGCACAUAAACAAAAACGAACAAAAAGAAAAAAAAAAUCAUAAAGGGGAUUUCCAAACCCUAACCUUCAAUUCUUGGGAACCGAGAUGAAGGAAGAUCAAAAGAAGAACAAUGUGAAGCCAAUCGUCCUUUAUAAGCCAGAAGAAGCUACUCCCGAGCUUGAAUAACUCCUAUCGGUAUCGGCGGAUAUUAAAAAGUGAUUGUAAUCGAUGGUUCUCAAAGAGGAAAGACGACAGAAGAAGGACGCGAAGAGACGUGACGACGAUAUCGUCGUCUCCGACGAACGUAGACGGCCAAGAGAAAGAAAGUGUCGACGGCGGCGAUUUGAAAUCGCUUCUGCCUUUUACAAACGGGAGUCGGAGACAAAGAAAAUUCUUUUUUUUUUACUGCCUACGUUUUUACUUCUUAUUAUUAACUGUAUUUUACUAAAAAUGACAAAACAUGUUUUUCAUAUUUUUUUGUUCUAAGGGGACAAAGAUUGGGAUUUUUAUUCUAAGGGGACAAAAGUAUACUUCUUUUGUUCCUUAUCGGCAAAAAUCCUAAACUUUCAUCUCUAUUUUAUGUUUCUUUGCUUGUUUGGAAUGCUGGAUUAUCCUAUAUUUGAAAUGUUGGAUUUCUUGUUUGUUUGAAGUUUGCUUAAACUUUUGUUUUUUUUGGUUUUAAAUCUUUUGUAUUUAUCUUAUUUUUAUAAUGUGUUUGGGUUUAUAGUAAUUUAGGAUAGGAUGUUGAUAUUUUCGAUUAUGAUCGGAUAAAAUAUGUCAACCCGAACCAAAACCAAAAAAUUUCCAGUUCAUUUGGAUAUAUCCAAAAAUAUUCGGAUCUAACAAGUACCGAACUGAACCUGAUCUGAAAUUCUUAAUUACCCAAUCAGUUCCCAUUUUUUUCUAUCCAAAAGAUCUGCUACCUGAAAUAUCCGACCCGAACUCGAUCCGGUAUCCGAGUGUCCAUACCUAUGCCUAGUACUAAUAAAAGAGGAGGAGGUUUAGAGUAGAUUGGGAAGGCGUUAAAGUUAUAGACUGAUAGUUGUGAGCAAGAUUUCUUAUAUAUAAAAGUUUCUUUUUCUUCCAGAAUUGUAAAAUUUCCUACUUAAGAAUUAAAUAUUUGGAAAAAGUUUAACCAAAAGUGGUGGAUUUUGGUUGUUAUAACCGAAUAAAUUACUGGUAGUUGAACCCAAAAUUUUAAUGGACACUGAGAAUUUCUGAUACAUGCAUUGGCUGUAAAAUUUCAUUUUCACAUUUAGCUUAAUAGUACAUGGAGUUUUUUCUAAAUAUACGUUGCAUUUAAUCAGAAAUUUAGCAACGGAACAAUCAGUCCAUCUUUAGAGAACCCAUCUAAUAGAACUUAAAUAUCGUAGUCCAAUAUAGUAAGUAGCCCAAGACACGAAAUUGCAACGUAAAUUUAUUUCCAUCAAAUUGCAUCCUAAUUUAAACAGUAGAGAAGAAAAAACAUAUUACUGAUAAUAUAUGGCAAAUUCGUAGGAAUUCAAACUCUUUGUGGACGAAGGAAAGAAAUUUUGGCUACGAAUGAUUAGAAAAAAAUAUAGUAGCAAACCAAUUUUUAAUAACUUUUAAAAUAAAAAAGCAAUUAAAAUAAAGGAAACCUAAUUUUACUAUUAAUUCACGAAAACAAAUCCAUCACUAAUAAUUAUAUUCACUAUUAGUUAUAUAUUUUAUUUGCAUAAUUAAAAGACUAAUCUAAUUAAUUUCCAGUUGCAUCUGUAUUCAUUAUACAAACAAAUUUUAACACCAACAGCUGUUAAGUUUAGAGGGUAAUAGUUGAAUUACAACAUCGACUUUCAAAUAAGGGAUACUACAGUAUAUUAAUUUUAGAGAAAAAAUGCUAUACAUUUUUACACAAAACAUCUUAUUUUUAACAGUGAAUAACAAACAACUAGGUAAUAGUCCGCGCGUUGCGCGGUAUGUGAUUAUUAGUUUCGUUAUUUUUAAUAAAAAGACAUUAAAUCUGUUUAAUCUGGAUAUUGGUUUGGUUUUAAGUUUUUUUUUAGUUUUUAAUCUUCUAAAAUAUAAAUGUUAUUUUAAAUAAUAUUCAUUUUAGUUUAUUCGGUUAAAAUAUUUGACUUUUUGGUUUUUUCCCGUAAAAACUAAAAAUUAAUAUUAUUUGUUUAUUUUCAUGUUAUGAAUUUUAGAUAGUCAUCGUGUUGAACCAAUAGUUUCAUAUUAUAGCUUCUAAACAGAUAAUAGUUUAUGAAAAAGAAAAGAAAAUUAUUAAGACAAAUCAUUUCACUACAAUUUGGUCGGUAGUGAAAGAAGCAUUAAUAAAAAAUAUUUUAACUUUCAAAAAAAUUAGAUAUUUCUGUUGUGGUGAAUAUUUAGUUAGAAGGUGCUCACAUCAAGAUGCACAUGUAUGUGUAUGUAAAAAAUAAAUAAAAAUAGUUGAUAAAUAGAUAAAGAUAUUGUUAAUUAAUACUAUUAAAUGACAUUUUUGUUCAAAAUAAUACAUGAAAGAUAAAAUUAAAAUUAAUUUAAAGCAAAAAAGACUUUGACAUUAGUCAUUUUUUCAUAUAAAGAAAAUAAAAUUGUAUCCGUAAAUAGGGGUGGGCACAGAUCGAAUAUCUGGGUAUUUGUAAGCAUUCGUGUCGAUUCGAUCUUUAGCCACCUAUAUAUUCAGUGACUCGGAUAUCCGAAAUAUUUUAGAAUUUUAAAGAAUAUUCGAUUUAAUCCGUAAAUAAAAUAAAAUUUUAAAAAUAAUUGAAAAUUUUAAUAAUAACAUUUUAUUACAAAAAUAAAACAUUACUUAUUUUAAAUUCUAGUACCUAAUAUAAUAAAUCUAAUUCAUAAAAAUAUUGUAAAACUGAUAUAAAGUAUAAUAUAUAUAACGUAUAUAUAUAUAUAUAUAUAUAUAAUUCUUUUCAUAUAUGUAUAUAUAGGAAUAUAACAGAUUGAAUUAAAUAUAUGUUCCUAAAAAUAUUGGUAUUUGUGAUUUGCUUCUUUUUUGGAUAUUGUAUUUUAGUAUUUGAUUUGUUUCAUAGAGUUAUGGAUAUCCAGAUUUUUUGGUUCAAAUCAAAACGAAUAACGAAUCGAAUCAAAAUUUAUGAAUAUGUUGCUCAACUUUAUCCGUAAACAAUAAAAAUAAUAUAUAUAUAGUUUGACUUUUGAUUCGUUAUCUAUUUUUAUUCGAACCGAAAAAUCCAGAGUUUUAUUGGGAACCAUGUAUUGGGAACCAUGUAUUGGGAAUCAUGUAUGUGAGUUUUAUAUUAAAAAAAAGCACAAAGUACAUAGUGUGAACACAUUUAUGAAUAUAGUGUGACGCGUUAGAAUAUUUAUUAUCAAAUCAUUGUGAGAUUGCUACAUGUCUAUUAUUGUGUGAAUGCAUUUAUUACAAUGCUUCUCAUUUAAUAUAUAAGAGAUUUACAUGCGAUGAUUAAACAAUGGGGAAAGUUCUUAGGUUCUAUUUUCAAAAAAAAUUCAGAGGUUCGGAUAUAACCAAAACCGGAGACAAAGAAAGCAGUGGCCUGAAAAAAUGAUAGAAAUGUAACCACUGGCGGACCCAUGUUAAGAACUAUGGUGUCAUUUGACACCACAAAAAUGUAAAUCGAACUUUUCAAGCUGUAAUUGUUAAAUGACACUAGCUUUUGAAAGCUUGUCUCUGAACCCACAAAUCUGGGAUCACAUCCCUUCUAUGUCACUUUUUCUUAAUAUUUUUGUAUAAAAAGUUUUCUGGAUUCGUCUCUGAAUGUAACCACGUGUGACCAUUAAUAUAUAACACCAUAUAAUGCACAUCCUAGUAUGUAUACUCCCACUUUUGACCCAAAAAAGAAGUAUGUAUACUCCCACCAUCACUUCCUUUGAAUUCACUCUGCAACAAAAACAGUCACACGUUGUUUUUUAGAAUGUACUAGUAUUAAAGCAUGGGAAUAUUUUUCCUUUCAAACAAACAAAAUUUUAGUAUAAUAUGAGAAAAAUGCCUAAAACCAUUAGACAAUUUUGAAUAAUUUUUUUCAUAUUUAACGCACAGAAUCUACUUUCGACAUAUACUCAUUUGUUUUAUAUACUCAUCUCUUUACCUCAUUUCGUCAGUUUCAUAUGACGAAACUUACAUGUACAAAAUAACUCUGAUUAACCACGACAUAUAAGAUUAGAUUAGAUUAGAUUAGUUAAAAAAAAAUUGAUCUUUAAUUAGUCCACUGGAUACAAAUACUAUUUUAAAGCUUUCCUUUUUUCUAUGUCUUGUUUAACUUGUGGUCUUCCUAAUUAUUAACCUACAAUUUAUGGCUUCUUUGUCUUAUUACAUUUAGUAUCAAAGUAUUCACUAUUUUCAAAAGUGUCAGACAUUUUUCUGUAAAACCUUUUGUACAAUACGAAAACAAUUAAACAAUUAAGCUAAUACGUCCUUACCUGAAUAAAUUUCUGAAUUUGGUGCCCAAAAAUGGGAAAGAGCACAAAAGACAACUGUGGUCAAGGAAAUUUCACGUCUUGGAAAUUCUAGAAAUAUAUAAGAACAGGAGAAAAAAAGUUUGUGAAGGAAGGAAAAGGAUGGUGGUUCGUGGGUUAUGGUGGAAAAGAAACUGUUUCUACAGUUUGUUUUCAAAACAUUAUUUUGUUUUAGUUGUUUUUUCUUAAUUUUGAUAAUAUGAAUUAUGUGGCAAAUUUUAAUUGGUCAUAUGACUUGUACUUUAGUAUAUAAAGAAUGUGUAUUUCUUAAAAAUACCACGUAGCUCUACUAGUAAGUUUUCUUUUAAAUUUUGUUUUUCUAGCUUUUUAAUGGGUUCAUUCGAUCUAAGGUCAAGGUGAACCUAUACAUUCACCAAUCAAUAAUAGUUUGUCAUUCUGUGUUCGAAAAAAAGAAACAAAAUAAUAAUAACUUGCUAAGUUAUAUUAUUUUUUAAAGUAAAAAGAUAAAAAUAAAUAAAAAAUAGUAGGAACUGCCAAAUUUUUUUUUAAAACAUUGUUAAUGCCGUCAACAAAACACUAAUCAUAAAUCCUAAACACUAAAUCCUAAAUCCUUGGAAAAAACCUUAAACUCGUAACAAAUAAUUGUUCCCCUGUAUUUUUGAAAUAGAAAUUUUAAUGGAAACAACAAUUUGUAACUAACCUAUUUGUGAUACUUUGAUGAAUGGCUAGCCUGUUACAGAUGAUAGUCACAAUAGUUUUGGAAAAAAAAACAUAUAUACGUGAAGAUAUUUUUUGUGUAAUGAUUUAUUGUACUUGUCUUGUGGUUGUAUUAGGCUGUUCAUCUUCAUCUCAUGAGUUCGACGCGUCACCUGUGUGAAAUUUUAUGUGUGGGGUUAAAUGGUCCAGUGUCCAAGGGUCCAUACGCUCAAAAGGCCAAAACGCCCAAAAUAUUGACAGUUGGGGUGGCUUAUUUAGGCUAUCUGAACUGACUUUAAUUUUAAUUCUUAUCUAAAAAUAUCAUUUGAUUCGUCGAUCGUCAAAAAUGUUUUGCUACAAAAAGAUUUUUUUUUAGCAAGUUUUAAAAUUAUCAGUUGUGUUUUAUAUCAGUUUUCAAAGCAAUAGCUAAAAGAUUAGAAAAAUCUGACAAUAAAAAAUUAUUAUUAUUUUUGUUUGAAUGAAUGUAAAAUUUUAUUCAAACAAAAACACUGUUACAUCAAGUGCCACUAUUAUCCCUACUAUAUAAAAAUAACUAUUUUCAAAUCUUCUUACACUGUCCACAUAUGAUGAAAUAUUCCUAGCCAAUCAUUUGUCCAUGUCAUCAAGGAUUCUUGGGCCAUGAAUCUGUGUUUUCAUUUGGGCUGUGUUUACAUUUAUUAAACUACUUGAAUCCAACCCAUCUCACCAUUUCUGAAGCGUGACUCUUCCCCGACUAUUCAUCUUCGACAUUACUGAUCAAUUUCUCAUCACCAAACACUUCGCCAUUACAGUUAUCCCUCUUCAUUAGUAUAUUAUGCUCUUUAAUCUUGCUUUAAUGGUUUCAUUCCACCUUCCCUUUUCUCUCUUUCUAUAUAAAGGGCUCCAUCUCAUCGUUAUCCCAGCCCUAAUUGAAACUCUGCAGAAACAACUACAUUUACCGGCAUGAAAUCCACUGGAUACUCUCCCCUCUCCACCGGCAAGUCUUCCGUCGCUGUUUCUCUCUCCAAUUGAAAAUGACGGGCUCAAAGAAGGACGAGGAGGACCAUCUUAAAAGAAGGAGGAGAUGAAGAAUCUACUCCUCCGUGAUGAUGACAGCCCGAGAAGUAGAAAAAAAAAUAUUUCGAUCCAACUUCUUUUGGUAUGUUUUCUACUGUUUCAUCUGAUCAAAUUUCAGUUAAGCUUCAAAUUUUGUGUUAAAUUGUGGUGACAAAAUAUGAUUUCGGGUUUUGAACCUAUCCUCCAAAAUAAGUUAAGAGGCUACACGAUGGGUUAUAAAGUUUAUGAUUUUAGCAUUGGCCAUUUUAAUUAUGUCGAGUUCUAACCAUUUUUUGUCUUCUCAGUUUUCAAGAUCAUGUACUUGGAUGGAUAUGGACCUCCACCUAGACGUUUCCAACCAAACACUCGAGCAAGUUGAGUGAUGAAGAGCUUACCUACUUACAAAAAUAUUUUUCUCAAGCUUUACCAUUUCAUUUCAUCCUUGGUAAUUUGCUUUCCCUAUUUUUUACUCAUCUUCCUCGCCACUUUGUGUCUUCUCUAUAGUUAAGCUUCAGGGAGAGUUGUGCAUAAGCAUCUUGAAGAUUUCAUGAGAGAGUGAGGUAACUUGCUCAAACGAGUUCUUUUCACAAAAAUAAAUCAGUUCAUGAGUAGGUUUAUAGAAUGGGAAGAGCUAAGAUCAUGAAAUGGUUCUAAUGGUUAUACAAGUUGCAAUAUUUCAAUAUUUGUGUUUAAAUUUCUGUCUUUUGAUUUGUUGAUACUAAUCUUUGUUCUCUUUACUUUGGUAUUAACUAAGUUAUGAUUCUUCUGCAUUUGGCCUGAGGUUUUCUUCCUCCAGCUCCUAAGUUCCUAACAGUCUUUUCCUUUUUCCUUAAUCUGUAAAGGGAGGAAUAAUGAGCUAGCUUCUGCCAUCGUGAAACUGUGGAAGAAAUGUGUUACUGCAAUCAAUUAAUUACUGUUUAUCGUCUUUAUAUUUUGUCACGCACGUAAAUACAGAACAAAUACAGAACGGCAAGGCAUCAACUGGAGACUUCAGAGGCUACCGGUAUAUACUUUUACAUAAUAAUUUUGUGUUUUUCUGAACUAUUAACCACACAUGUCUCUAGAAAGUUGCUUACUCUUUUGAAAGGUAAAGUCUCGAAGGCAAAACAUGUUACAAAUAUUUCUCUUUUUUUUUUCUUUCACAGGAGAACCUCGAGUGAAAGAAGAUAAGGAUGGCAUCUAUCAAAGAUAUCAAAUCUCUUGACAUUAAAACUUAAAUUUCUAUCAAAGAUAUCAAAUCUCUUGACAUUCUUUUGUAUUUGUUCAGAAUUUAAUUGUUAUAAUAUUACUUACAUGUUUAAUUUUGUCACUCUUUCUUUACAAGGAGCUUCGAGAUCACAUAAGCUCCAAUGCCACAAGUGGAAGCUUAGAAACGUUUCUUUGAGCUGACAGAGGUAAUUAUAUCACAUGCAUGGUUGCUAAAAAUAACCUUUGUCUGCUUUCUAACCAAAAAGAGCAUCAGUCCUAUUAUAUUUGAUGUUGUUUUGUUUAUAUGCCCCAUAUCCAAAGCUCCUUGCAAAUACAGAUUGAAAACAGGGUGGUACCUACAGAUGAUGUUGGAGAAACAACAGAAGUUACAAGAGACCCAUGAGCUUUUCCUCAGUGACAUCGCCAAAGCAAUGCAAUGUCACAUUUGCCGCAUCCGAAUUUGGUUUCAAGACAAACUGUGAACCAAACUGUAUCUGCUUUGGUAUCAAUUAAACUAAGUCCAUUCAUUUAUUAUUUUUCAAUUCAGGUACAAUUAAGGAAAUAUUUUAUGUUGGAAAAAUGAAGAUACAUAUAUAUAUAUACAUAUAUAUAUAUAUACAUUGUUAUAACAGUCCAUAUAAGAGAACACUACAAAGAAGCUAGUUUUUUUUAUCUGUGUGUAUACUUAGAAGUAAUAUAGAGCUCAAAGGUUAAUAAUGUGUGGAAGUUCAGUUAGACAAACUUUUGCCUAAACCGAGAAGAAAUGACUACAAAAACAAGACAAAGAUAACAAGCCACCACACAUAACCAGAGAAUAUUAGUACAUUAACAUUUAAGGUUGAUUUUUUUUGGCUAAACAUGUUUAGUGGGAAUAAUGUUAGAUGGUUUGUUAAAACUCAGAGAUUCAACAAUACCAUUUGUGUUAUAAGAAAAUUGUCUUUUCUUUGCUUCGAAGCUCAUGCAACACAACUGAAGUAGUGAAGAUGAGCACCAACACUACUAAAACUUUAUAUCUAUUAUUAAUAUUUAAAUAAGUCACUCUUUUGUUUAGCUUAUUAUGAUAUUUAUAUUUUAUCUUAUAAAUAAUAUUAGAUUGGAAAAUCAAAAGGCAGAUAGUCUAGCACGAUGUGCCAGAAAACAAUCGUCUUUCGUCGUUCACAUGGAUGCGGAGUUACCAGUUUGGUUCGUAGAGUCUAUAUGAGUCUGUUUGUUGAUGACAAAAAAAAAAAAAUAAAUAAUAAUAAUAAUAUUAGAUUCAUAUAAUAUACUAGCUAAUUUUCUAUUUAUAAAGUAACCACACUACAACGAUUACUUUAAACAAUAUUAUGUUAUUUUAAUUAGACAUGUGCUUUGCAUAUAAAGUAUCUGGUCGGUUUGGUUAUUAUUAAGGUAUGUUAGAUUAUAUAUAUUUUUCUGAAUUCAACCAUAAUAUUAUUAUUUUUAUAAAUUUGAUUAUUUUUGUUAAUGCAUUUAGUUUAGUUAUUUUUUCUUAGAUUUGUAAAUUUGAUAGAAUUAUAUAUGAUUUAUAUAUUUUGUAUUGAGAAUUGAAUAUAAAAAUUAAAGUAUUGAUCAAUUUAAAAUUUAUAAUCUCAUGCUUAUAUAUAAAUUUUCAAAAGAAUUAAAUCAUAACAAUUUAAUUAAAAGUACACUUUCAUUUAUCAAUGUAUCUUGAGUCAUUCCGUAAUUUUACAUGUAUAAAAUUAAAAAAUAUUAUAAAGUUAAUUUUUUAUUUUUUAUAAGAAUCUAGAUUGAUUUGGUUAUUCAUUUUCAGAUAUAUUGAAUUACAUAUCUCUCUAAACGGAAUUAAAAUAUUUCUGAUAAUAAUUCGACCAAAUCAUAUUAGUUUUAUUUAUUGCAUUUAGUUAAGUUCUUUAUCUAAGAUAUGAAUCUAUCUUUUCAUAAAAAAAAUUGAAAUUCAUAAUUUUACUGAUCUUUUUAGUUGAUAUAUUUUGAAAAAAAUAUAUAAGAAAAAUGUAUGUUUUUUUGAAAAUUAAUAUGCAAAAUAAAUAAGUAUAUCCAAAAAAUACUUACAUAAUUAGAAAAAAUCAAAUAGUUUUUAUUUUAGUUUACAAAAUAAAUAUUUUAAUAGACGUGUUUAAGUAUAAGAUAAUAAGUUACUAUAUUUUCAAAACAAAGUUAUAAAUUCAUUAAGAUUUAGAUAGUUUUAGAACUAAUUAACAAUAAACCAAAUAAUUAACCCAAAAAUACUAUGUUAAUUAUUUUGCUUCUGCAAAGCACACAUCUCACAACAUAAAGAUGUCUUCGCCACAAGCUAAUAAAAAAUUAUGAAAAUUAAAGCAUAUAAGUUUUCAACCUUAAACAAUAUCUUCUAACUACUUUCAUUAAUAUUAGGGAAAUUAAUAUCCUCUUCUAUUUAAGAGCUCCAAUGGAGGUUCUACCCACUGGAGUUCUAAACUUACCAUAAAUGUAUAUGUAUAUAUUGUAUAUAUGUAUGCAGUUGUAGGGUCCAUUAUUUUGUGGAGAACCUCUCCAAAAUCUCUUAAAAUCUCUUAAGAAACCUGAUUUUACUUCAACAAGAAGAUGGAGAAUACUUCAUACAAAUUUGUAAAGAUAAAACCAGAAAUAAAAACAAUGGAACCAAAGUCUACGCCACCACAAAUCCACAACUUGAUUUAACAAAGCCAAUGUUUUCGGCAUAAUUUCUUUCACUAGCCUAUGUUCUUUAUAUUUUGACAUCAUGUAUUGAUAUUAUUCUUUGCUUAACAAAAAUUCUAUAAUAAUUCUUACUUUUAUGCUACACCAAGUAGAACCACUAACCACCUCUGAUCAAUUAUAUAAUUUAUUUCUCACUCAACCCUAUUCAAAAUGAGCAAUACUAAGUUUACUCUACCAUUAUGUGCAAAUUGGUAAUUAUACACAUGUAUUUAACGUUACAAAUAAAAUUUACGCCCACAUGAAAUCAUCAACAAAACAUUAACAAAAUGGAACCCAAAAUCUUAUCGUACUUUUCAUGUACAAAGUUUGUAGGUUUUUUUGAUACAAAAUGAUGAAACUAUCGAUAACACAUAUUCAUAUUUAUCUAAACAGAAAAAAAUAUAAAUACAUAACUCAUAAAUCAGCUUCUUCUAUCUUAAGUUGUUCGUGUUCCAAACCAAACACUCAGCCCUUCUUCUAAAUACUUCUUCCCCUUCCCUUUAACUGUCAACAGCUUCAAACGGAUCAACUUAUCCACAAACUUUGAUAUCAUUCUCUCAUCCUUUGGUUGCUCUCCAUGUUUACGAGCAUUCCUUUCUCUCCAUAUGCUAUGAACCAAAGCCUGAAAAGCGUAGCUUACGAGGAAUCCCUCCGCAGUUGUAUAACUGAUUCGAGAUAUGAGGGAAAUAAUUUCAUCCCAAUCAGUCGUAAAUUCUUCUCUUAAUAGUCCUCCAACCAUUUCCUUCCAAAUUUUCCCAGAGUAACUGCAACUGAAGAACAGGUGGCUCCGCGACUUGUGGAUCCUAACAUAGCACACAUGUUGUAUCUGUUGCUCUGUUCCAAAGCUGCAUCCUAUCACAGGUUUGCAAUCUGUUCCGACUUGCUAACCAAACUGUCAAAGAAUAUUUUGGUGUUGAUUGAGGAAGCCAGACUCCUAAUUUAUUCCAAAUGCACUCCGGCUGGGAUUGACGUAGAUACAACCAAGUUUUCUUUGUAGAGAAUUGCUUGGAGUAUUUUCCUUCCUUAUACUUCCACAGAAGAAUGUCUUUCUCCUGAUUCACACGCGUUCUUAAUGUAUCAAUCUCAUCCUCCAACUGAUUUAAAAUGCUAAGCAUGUGCCUUCUCCUUCUAUGGCAUCUUAGGACAUCAGCAAUGUGAGCUUCAUCAUCAAUACCGAAGUCAUAACUUCCUCUUCCAUUUAACAGAUCCUUCAGGCAGCCCAACUGAGACCAUGAAUCAUACCAGAAAGAUGUGUAUCUUCCAUUCGCUGAAGUGUUUUUGCCAAAUCUCUUAACUUCAAAAGCUUUUUCCACAUCCAAGAACCAGAAUUCAUGUUGUAUUUGAUAGACGAGAAAGAGCCUUUUCUGAUCAAAUAACAAUUGAUCCACUGGACCCAUAGAGACGAUCGAGCAGCUGAUAGCCUCCAAAUCAAUUUCAGGCAAAGAACCUUAUUAACCUCCUUCAAUGGCCUAAUAGCCAAUCCUCCCUCCCUUUUUGGUAAACAAACACAUUUCCAGCUUACUUUUGCCAUACUUGUUUUGAGUUCAGGUCCAGACCAUAGAAAAGCUGAACAAAGACUUUCUAUCUCCUUUAGACAGCUACUCGGUAGUCUGAAAGCUUGGAGCCAAAAAUUAGCUAGACUUGUUAUAACAGACUUAAUAAGCUGUAAUCUACAUGCAUGUGAGAGGAACCUCUCAGUCCAUGAUUUCAUUAUCUUUCUCACUUUCUCAACCAGAGGCAUAUAAUCAUGAACCGUCAUUCUUUUUGUGAGUAAAGGAAGCCCUACGUACUUUACCGGUAACUGGCCUGAUGAGAAUGAGAAUUGGGUAAAUAUUUCCUCCUUCUGGCUAUCUGACAUCCCAGCAGUAUAUAAUUUUUUUUUUUGCCAAAUAAAAAUAUUAUUAUCUAAAACAAUAUUUUAGCUGUAACAAAAAGUAGUGAUGUAAAAAUAUUUUUAUUUUUCAUUUUUUCUUUUAAACUUUAUACGUACAACAUAUAAAAUAUUAUUACAAUUACAGCAUAACCAAUCAUCAUCUGCAUUUGUUUAUUACAUUUUUUGACGAAUAUUUUAACAAGUUAUAAUUCCUUGUAAAUAAAAGUACACAUUUAUUUCUAUUUUUGAGAGGUUUGAGGUCUUAGGGCAUCUCCAACGGUUGUCAUAAAAAAAAAAUUCAACAUGAUGUAAACUCAAAAUUAAUUUGAGUUUUGCUCCAAUGGUUGCAUUCAUUUUUCCCAUCAAAAUAUAAUAUUCUAAAUAUAUUAUAUUAUUAAUAAUUAUUAUUAUUUAUAAUAAUGAUAUAUAUUUUAAAAACUUACAAUUUUACCCUGCUAUAAUUUUUAUUUUAACUAAACUAAAUCUUCAUUUAUACAAAAAUUUAGUUUCUAAAAGAAUAAACAAUUAUUUAUAUGAACUUAUAAUUGUAUUAGUGGAAGUAUUAUUAAUUUCAAUGAAGUAUAAAACACAAAUAUUUAAUCUCUUAAAUAUAAAAUAAAAAUAUAUAAAAAUUUAAGAAUCAAUUUGUAAAUAAAAGUUCAAUAGUAAAAAUGAGGUUGUGAAUAGUAUUCUCUCCCCUGGAAGCCAAGAGACAAACCAUGUAAGAUAUCAUAUAUUCCUAUACGUGUGCAGCUUAUUUGAGUGGUAGGUUUUGAACCUAAGAUGUUUAGCACCUUUCCAAGUCCGCCACACCAUCUGGUCACGCCCGUGUGGGCUAAAAUAAUUGCGUUUGGAGAAAUCGUACACAUAUUGUAAUAAAUAUAAUAUUUGUUUUUGUUUUUUGGGUUCACUUUGGUACACUACAAGAAAACACCGGUAUUCCGACGACAAAUAUCGUCGGUAUGUCCUCGGAAUAACAGUAUUCCAAGGACAUACCGACGAGAAUGGUCGUCGGAAAUUUCUCGUCGGAAAGUAAAAUUUCCUCGGAAUUUCACCGGAAAAUUUAGAGGGAAUACCGAAAAUCAAAGAUUCCGAGAACAUUUCGAAGAAACAUUUUCUAGGAUUUUUCGUCGGUAUCUCCUCGGAUAUUUCCGAUGGAACGGUCCUCGGAAACAUUCCGAGAGAAAAGAAGUAUCGGAAUAUUCCGACGAACUUUGGCCGUCGGAAUAUUCCGAGAAACCUUUGCCGUCGGAAAAUUCCGAGGAAGUGUAUCCGUCGGGAUAUUCCGAGGAACUACGGCCGUCGGAAUAUUCCGAGAAACCAUUGCCGUCGGAAUAUUCCAAGGAAGUGUAUCCGUCGGAAUAUCCCGAGGGAUACACUUCCUCAGAAUAUUCCCAAAAAUAAUUUUUUUUAAAAUUAAAAAUUUAUUUUUUUAAUUGAAAUUCGAAAAUAUAAAAUUAAAAUUGAAAUAGAAAACAUAUUAGAUAAUAUUCAAAGUUGUACGUACCAAAAUAAAACAUUCAGAGUUUUUGAAAAAAAAAAAAGAAACUAGGGGAACUGCUCGUUCGGGUACAUCUUCCUCAUCAUCUCCAUCAUUUGCUCGUUCUGCCUCCUCGUUGCCUCCCAUCCCGCCUCUUGAUCCGCCAUCUUUUGCUCCAACGCAGCUAUGCGGUCAUCUUUGUCCUUCAACUGGUCCAGCACUUCUUCUGGAUCAACAUANNNNNNNNNNNNNNNNNNNNNNNNNNNNNNNNNNNNNNNNNNNNNNNNNNNNNNNNNNNNNNNNNNNNNNNNNNNNNNNNNNNNNNNNNNNNNNNNNNNNNNNNNNNNNNNNNNNNNNNNNNNNNNNNNNNNNNNNNNNNNNNNNNNNNNNNNNNNNNNNNNNNNNNNNNNNNNNNNNNNNNNNNNNNNNNNNNNNNNNNNNNNNNNNNNNNNNNNNNNNNNNNNNNNNNNNNNNNNNNNNNNNNNNNNNNNNNNNNNNNNNNNNNNNNNNNNNNNNNNNNNNNNNNNNNNNNNNNNNNNNNNNNNNNNNNNNNNNNNNNNNNNNNNNNNNNNNNNNNNNNNNNNNNNNNNNNNNNNNNNNNNNNNNNNNNNNNNNNNNNNNNNNNNNNNNNNNNNNNNNNNNNNNNNNNNNNNNNNNNNNNNNNNNNNNNNNNNNNNNNNNNNNNNNNNNNNNNNNNNNNNNNNNNNNNNNNNNNNNNNNNNNNNNNNNNNNNNNNNNNNNNNNNNNNNNNNNNNNNNNNNNNNNNNNNNNNNNNNNNNNNNNNNNNNNNNNNNNNNNNNNNNNNNNNNNNNNNNNNNNNNNNNNNNNNNNNNNNNNNNNNNNNNNNNNNNNNNNNNNNNNNACUUUAUGGACGAAGUGGUGAUAGAUAAAGAGCGUCUCAUCGGAAUUCCAGUUGAACUCUUGCUGAAAAAAAAAACACAAUUUGUAGAAAUUUUAUAUUAAAGAUUAAAAAUAUAAGUUAAAAAAUUAGAAUACUUACCGCAAACUGACGAAACCACAUCUCCUGGUCCUCGGCAGGGAAGUGAGAGAAAGUCGGAUAUCCCUUGCUGAGGUUCGAGUUCAUCAUAUUGUUGAUCCAUGCGCUGAUCCCGUUCUCGGAUCGGUUGAACCUAAUAUAAGAAACAAAUUAUUAAUAACGAAACAAAUUUUAAUGAAAGCAAAAAAAAAAGACUUUUUAAUUACCAUGUUUGACGUCGUCCCUUUGGACACGGAGUGAGAUAGAGAAGAUGCUCACGACCGGGCUGUUGAAACAACUGGGCAACAGUCGUCACUCCCGGAACGACUGGAGGAGCGGGAGGGGGUGCAGCAACGGGAGGGGGUGCAGCAACGGAAGCAAAAACCGGAGCGGAAAAUGAAGAAUCCCGACAGUGGCUGCUCGACCAACGAGAGUGGCUGGACGAACCCCGAGAGCGGCUGGGGGAGAACCGAGANNNNNNNNNNNNNNNNNNNNNNNNNNNNNNNNNNNNNNNNNNNNNNNNNNNNNNNNNNNNNNNNNNNNNNNNNNNNNNNNNNNNNNNNNNNNNNNNNNNNNNNNNNNNNNNNNNNNNNNNNNNNNNNNNNNNNNNNNNNNNNNNNNNNNNNNNNNNNNNNNNNNNNNNNNNNNNNNNNNNNNNNNNNNNNNNNNNNNNNNNNNNNNNNNNNNNNNNNNNNNNNNNNNNNNNNNNNNNNNNNNNNNNNNNNNNNNNNNNNNNNNNNNNNNNNNNNNNNNNNNNNNNNNNNNNNNNNNNNNNNNNNNNNNNNNNNNNNNNNNNNNNNNNNNNNNNNNNNNNNNNNNNNNNNNNNNNNNNNNNNNNNNNNNNNNNNNNNNNNNNNNNNNNNNNNNNNNNNNNNNNNNNNNNNNNNNNNNNNNNNNNNNNNNNNNNNNNNNNNNNNNNNNNNNNNNNNNNNNNNNNNNNNNNNNNNNNNNNNNNNNNNNNNNNNNNNNNNNNNNNNNNNNNNNNNNNNNNNNNNNNNNNNNNNNNNNNNNNNNNNNNNNNNNNNNNNNNNNNNNNNNNNNNNNNNNNNNNNNNNNNNNNNNNNNNNNNNNNNNNNNNNNNNNNNNNNNNNNNNNNNNNNNNNNNNNNNNNNNNNNNNNNNNNNNNNNNNNNNNNNNNNNNNNNNNNNNNNNNNNNNNNNNNNNNNNNNNNNNNNNNNNNNNNNNNNNNNNNNNNNNNNNNNNNNNNNNNNNNNNNNNNNNNNNNNNNNNNNNNNNNNNNNNNNNNNNNNNNNNNNNNNNNNNNNNNNNNNNNNNNNNNNNNNNNNNNNNNNNNNNNNNNNNNNNNNNNNNNNNNNNNNNNNNNNNNNNNNNNNNNNNNNNNNNNNNNNNNNNNNNNNNNNNNNNNNNNNNNNNNNNNNNNNNNNNNNNNNNNNNNNNNNNNNNNNNNNNNNNNNNNNNNNNNNNNNNNNNNNNNNNNNNNNNNNNNNNNNNNNNNNNNNNNNNNNNNNNNNNNNNNNNNNNNNNNNNNNNNNNNNNNNNNNNNNNNNNNNNNNNNNNNNNNNNNNNNNNNNNNNNNNNNNNNNNNNNNNNNNNNNNNNNNNNNNNNNNNNNNNNNNNNNNNNNNNNNNNNNNNNNNNNNNNNNNNNNNNNNNNNNNNNNNNNNNNNNNNNNNNNNNNNNNNNNNNNNNNNNNNNNNNNNNNNNNNNNNNNNNNNNNNNNNNNNNNNNNNNNNNNNNNNNNNNNNNNNNNNNNNNNNNNNNNNNNNNNNNNNNNNNNNNNNNNNNNNNNNNNNNNNNNNNNNNNNNNNNNNNNNNNNNNNNNNNNNNNNNNNNNNNNNNNNNNNNNNNNNNNNNNNNNNNNNNNNNNNNNNNNNNNNNNNNNNNNNNNNNNNNNNNNNNNNNNNNNNNNNNNNNNNNNNNNNNNNNNNNNNNNNNNNNNNNNNNNNNNNNNNNNNNNNNNNNNNNNNNNNNNNNNNNNNNNNNNNNNNNNNNNNNNNNNNNNNNNNNNNNNNNNNNNNNNNNNNNNNNNNNNNNNNNNNNNNNNNNNNNNNNNNNUAACACCAAAUGCAUCUGUUCUCACACCUCGAUCUGGGGUGUUGUCGUACCAAUCACAAUAGAAAACAGUACAGCGCAAUCCAACCAUGCCCAAAUACUUGAUUUCCAAAAUCUCAUGUAUGUGUCCGUAGUAUACAUCAUCUCCUGAUGCAGAACAAACGCCAGCAUCAUAAGUCGUACUCGAACGUCUCCUCUUUUGAGUUGUGAAUGCAUAUCCUCGAGUACAAAAUCUCGGAUAUGACUUCACAACAUACUCUGCUCCACGCACCAUCUCGCGUAUCCAAUCGUCAAAUGUUUCACCUCUGGUCAUACCAGCAGACACCUAUUAAUAGCACAUAUAUAUGUUAUAUCAAUAUAUGUGAAUUAGUAUAAAUAUGUGAUAAAUAAUAUUUUAAUUUGUGUAAAGCACUCACAUAAGUAAGCAUCCAUCCAGAAAAUUCUCUCUGUUUUAGUUCUUCAAGUUCCUCCUCUGUGGCGUAUCUAUAUUCGAACCGCUUUUCUGACAUGAAAAUCCUGUACAUAUGUUGACAAGAAUAUAAUUAAUUAAAAUUCAAAUUUCAACUCAUUAAAAAAAAAAUUUGUAAGCUAAUUUAUUUACCUAUCAUAUUGAAGAACAUCUUCGCAAUUGGUGAGCAAAUAUGUUUGCAAAUGACUGCGCUCCUGCUCAGUAAGUUGACGGUCCUUUGGUUUUCCGCUAAGUCGUCCAACAUCUGUGAAGAUGUCUGGAACCGUAAAAUGAUAUGUUGCCCGUUCGCCUCUAUCAUCAUGCCGAGCAGGUCUUCUUUUUCUGGCCUGCACUUCUGCUGGAAAGUAGAACUCGGCAAAUUUUGAAGUUUCUGAAUUUAUCAUCUGUGCGAUUAUAGAACCUUCCACCCUACUAUAAUUUUCACCAUCUUCUUCAAAUGGUACAUAUACCGCUCAUACAAAUACAUCCAUCUAUACUGCACAGGACCACCAAGUUCCAAUUCUCUUUCCAGGUGAAUAACAAGAUGCUCCAUAACAUCAAAAAAUGAUGGAGGAAAUAUCUUCUCAAGGUUGCACUGAAUCACGGCUAUGUUAGUCUUCAAAUUUUCAAUACCUUCAAGAGUCACUGAUCUCGUGCAUAAAUCGCGGAAGAAACCACUUAUCCCUGCAAUUGCUUCAUGAACAUUUCGUGGUAANNNNNNNNNNNNNNNNNNNNNNNNNNNNNNNNNNNNNNNNNNNNNNNNNNNNNNNNNNNNNNNNNNNNNNNNNNNNNNNNNNNNNNNNNNNNNNNNNNNNNNNNNNNNNNNNNNNNNNNNNNNNNNNNNNNNNNNNNNNNNNNNNNNNNNNNNNNNNNNNNNNNNNNNNNNNNNNNNNNNNNNNNNNNNNNNNNNNNNNNNNNNNNNNNNNNNNNNNNNNNNNNNNNNNNNNNNNNNNNNNNNNNNNNNNNNNNNNNNNNNNNNNNNNNNNNNNNNNNNNNNNNNNNNNNNNNNNNNNNNNNNNNNNNNNNNNNNNNNNNNNNNNNNNNNNNNNNNNNNNNNNNNNNNNNNNNNNNNNNNNNNNNNNNNNNNNNNNNNNNNNNNNNNNNNNNNNNNNNNNNNNNNNNNNNNNNNNNNNNNNNNNNNNNNNNNNNNNNNNNNNNNNNNNNNNNNNNNNNNNNNNNNNNNNNNNNNNNNNNNNNNNNNNNNNNNNNNNNNNNNNNNNNNNNNNNNNNNNNNNNNNNNNNNNNNNNNNNNNNNNNNNNNNNNNNNNNNNNNNNNNNNNNNNNNNNNNNNNNNNNNNNNNNNNNNNNNNNNNNNNNNNNNNNNNNNNNNNNNNNNNNNNNNNNNNNNNNNNNNNNNNNNNNNNNNNNNNNNNNNNNNNNNNNNNNNNNNNNNNNNNNNNNNNNNNNNNNNNNNNNNNNNNNNNNNNNNNNNNNNNNNNNNNNNNNNNNNNNNNNNNNNNNNNNNNNNNNNNNNNNNNNNNNNNNNNNNNNNNNNNNNNNNNNNNNNNNNNNNNNNNNNNNNNNNNNNNNNNNNNNNNNNNNNNNNNNNNNNNNNNNNNNNNNNNNNNNNNNNNNNNNNNNNNNNNNNNNNNNNNNNNNNNNNNNNNNNNNNNNNNNNNNNNNNNNNNNNNNNNNNNNNNNNNNNNNNNNNNNNNNNNNNNNNNNNNNNNNNNNNNNNNNNNNNNNNNNNNNNNNNNNNNNNNNNNNNNNNNNNNNNNNNNNNNNNNNNNNNNNNNNNNNNNNNNNNNNNNNNNNNNNNNNNNNNNNNNNNNNNNNNNNNNNNNNNNNNNNNNNNNNNNNNNNNNNNNNNNNNNNNNNNNNNNNNNNNNNNNNNNNNNNNNNNNNNNNNNNNNNNNNNNNNNNNNNNNNNNNNNNNNNNNNNNNNNNNNNNNNNNNNNNNNNNNNNNNNNNNNNNNNNNNNNNNNNNNNNNNNNNNNNNNNNNNNNNNNNNNNNNNNNNNNNNNNNNNNNNNNNNNNNNNNNNNNNNNNNNNNNNNNNNNNNNNNNNNNNNNNNNNNNNNNNNNNNNNNNNNNNNNNNNNNNNNNNNNNNNNNNNNNNNNNNNNNNNNNNNNNNNNNNNNNNNNNNNNNNNNNNNNNNNNNNNNNNNNNNNNNNNNNNNNNNNNNNNNNNNNNNNNNNNNNNNNNNNNNNNNNNNNNNNNNNNNNNNNNNNNNNNNNNNNNNNNNNNNNNNNNNNNNNNNNNNNNNNNNNNNNNNNNNNNNNNNNNNNNNNNNNNNNNNNNNNNNNNNNNNNNNNNNNNNNNNNNNNNNNNNNNNNNNNNNNNNNNNNNNNNNNNNNNNNNNNNNNNNNNNNNNNGACUAAAUCUAGUCUUGACUUCAAAUUAUCCUUCGUUUUACCUUGGAUGUUAAGGACUGUGUUCAUCAGAUUGUCGAAGAAGUUCUUCUCAAUAUGCAUGACAUCUAAAUUAUGCCUUAGCAGAUGAUCCUCCCAGUAUGGCAGAUCCCAGAAAAUACUCUUUUUGUGCCAGUUAUGUAGCUCUCCAACCGCACUGACUCGAAUGUUUUCAUGUCCACCUACAUCUGGCGUCCUUUCUGCAUCAAAAUACCUAAACUGCUUCAACGAAUCUUUCCCACUAACUUCCUCAGGUGGACCAUCAAACACCUGCUUGUUCUUCGUAAACGAAGUCUUACUCCUGCGAUAUGGAUGAUCAGGUGGUAGAAAUCUCCUGUGACAGUCAAACCAACACGUUUUCCUUCCGUUCUUUAGUUGGAAAGCAUCUGUGUCAUCUUGACAAUAUGGACAUGAUAGCCUUCCAUGCAUUGUCCAUCCAGAUAACAUACCAUAUGCUGGAAAAUCACUUAUUGUCCACAUAAGUACUGCCCGCAUUUGAAAGUUUUCUUUACAUGAAGAAACCCAUCAAGUGAAUAACAAGUGAUCUCUUAGGAUGCUCUGGUCCGGGAACGAGAAUGGAGAGAAACAAAAACUCUCGUCGCAAGCACAAGUUUGGCGGUAAGUUGUAUGGUGUAAGAAUGACUGGCCAUAGAGAAUACUGUCUUCCACUCUUGCCAAACGGGCUGAAACCAUCAGUACAUAAUCCAAGGUAUACAUUUCUUCUCUCAUACGCAAAGUCGGGAUAUUUUGAUUGGAAAUGUUUCCACGCUUUUGCAUCUGAAGGAUGUCUAAUCUCACCAUUUGUUAAAUGCUCCGCAUGCCAUCUCAUUGGUUGCGCUAUGCGUUCAGACUGAUACAACCUCUGCAACCUUUCCGUCAAAGGCAAAUACCACAUCCUUUUAAAUGGCACUGGAACUCUUCCACUCGUAUCUUUAUAACGAGCCUUUCCACAAAAUUUACAUGUAACCCGCUCUUCAUCCGCCCUCAAAUAAAUCAUGCAGUUAUCGCUGCAUACAUCUAUUACCUGAUACGAUAAACCAAGACCAGCUACUAGUUUCUGAACCUCGUAGUAUGAAUCAGGGGCUACAUUAUCCUCAGGUAGAAUACCUUUUACAAAAUCAGCAAUCGCAUCCACACAGUCUUCAGCCAAAUUAUAAUCUGUUUUAAUGCCCAUCAGUCUUGUUGCAGAUGAUAAAGCUGAAUGACCAUCUCUGCAACCUUCGUACAAGAGUUGCUUUCCAGUAUCCAACAUAACAUAAAAUCUCAUAGCUUCUGCAUUGGGUAAAUCUUCCCCUCUAAAAUGAACAUUUACCAUCUGCUCAGUACCUACACCAUAAUCUACAUCCAUUCUAAUUGGUUCUUCUAACCUAACCGCAGGCUGAGGUUCACUAGUACUACCAUAUUCAUAAUCAGUUUCUCUAUGAUGAUACCAAAUUUUGUAACUUCGUGUAAACCCAUUCAAAUAUAAAUGAGUCCAAACAUCCCACUCUUUAAUAAUCUUUCUAUUUUUACAAUUAGAGCAAGGACAUCUUAACAUACCUGUUUCUGCUUCCGGUUGUCGUUGAACUAACCCCAUGAAUUCGGUUAUACCUCGUUGGUAUUCUUCCGUAAGCAAUCUCGUGUUCGGAUCCAAAUGAGGUCGAUCGAUCCAAGAACGAUAAUAAUUUGAAGAAGACAUGUUUUUUUCAAUCAAAUUAGUGUGUAAAUAUAGUAUGUGAGAGGAUGAAGAAAUGAAGUGAAUGAAGAGGUUGGGGGUGCGGGUAUUUAUAGAUGAAAUGCUGCCGACAGUACCGAGGAAAUUCCAACGGAAUACCGACGGCAACGGCUCUUUUCUCGGAAUUUCCUCGGAAUUGUUAAAAUCCCCAACGGCUCUCCAACGGCUAUAAUAUAUCCUCGGAUAUUCGUCGGUGUUUUCCGAGGAAUAUGCCUUCCUCGGUAUUUCAUCGGUAUAUUCCGAGGAAGUUCCGAGGAAACCCAAAUUCGUCGGAAUAUUCCGAGGAUCUCAUUUUCCGUCAGAAUAUCCGUCAGAAUUACGAUGUUUUCUUGUAGUGGUAUGUAUAUAGAUGAUUUUAACAACUUCUUCUUCAAUGCGAAAUCAGAAAACAAUUGUAUCAAAAUAUCUAAAUUAUGUUUUAUUGUUAUGGUAUUAGAGCACUUUUUUUCCUCUUUGAAUCUCUUUUGUUUUUUAUUUUGGGUUUUGUUCCUAGCUCAAAUUUAUCGAAUAAUCAAUUUUCCUAAUUUUGAUAUGUGUUCCUAAAACUCAUUUUGCUCAAAAUGGUGAAGCGAGGUAGAAAGACGUAGAUUCAAAGCUCAACGCGUGAGAUUCUAUGUUCUGAAGCUUGGACUAGGUUUUAAAGCUGAUUCUUGAUGAACACGAAGAUUCUCAUGCAUAUGUAUUCAAUAAUAAAGUGUUUUUUCAAGAAUCCUAGAAUUCUAUAUAUACUAAGAACUAAAAGAUAAAGAAGAUAUAUGAUCAUAAGAGCAUCGUUAGUAGUGUAGUACUUCCACAAAUUAUUUAGUCAAUUAUCUCUCUUAAAAUCCAUUCUAUCUAGCCUUUUUCUACCUCUUCUAGGGUUUCAGCCGCAAAGUCCCAUUUUUUGGCGGUUGCCACCGUGCUCUCAAGCGACCGUUGGGACUCAGAUUUCUUUGUCUAUGUUCUCCUAUGUCGCCCCUGUCUUCUGCGGCUGAGGGAGUGGUGGUCCAACGCAUCAGGUCUGGUUUCACCAAAUCCGAUCUAGGAUUGUGGCAUUUGGAGAUGCUUGAGGACGGUGUCACUUUCUGUCGCGUUCAUCCUGCAUCUGGCUAGGUCUCUCCAGCGUUUUUUCCGUGUGCUUAGUCUUCUCCUCCGAGUGUAGUGUAGAGGCGUGUGCGGCGCCGUCAAACUCUUCGUUGGUCUCGUGUUCUUCCUCUGGUGUGGCGUCUGGUGGUGUAUGAGACUGCUUGUUGAGUUGGAGCUCUGGGGUUUGUCGUCUCCGGUAAGGCUUGUGUCUCUGUUUUGUUUGUGGUGCCUCCGGUGUGUUCCCGUUGGUAGCAGCACGUGUGGAUGGCAGAGGCGUCGGUCUGCUUCUCCGAGGUCCCUGGUGGCAGCGUGUUGGUGUUUAGCUACCUCCAGUUGGCCUCAGAUCGUCUUUGGCUCCAAUGUGUGCCGUCACUCUCCAUAUCAAAACGGUAGGUUGUGGCCUGCUCUGUCUCUCGCUCUUCUCAAAUAAUCCUUUCAACGCCGUGUUCAUGUCUCGUGAGCGAGUGACAGCUCGGGUGUGUUCUUUGGUGCGAUAGUUAGUCACUCAGAUCAGAGUGUGGCUUCAGAUUUUUUCUUCUGGAGGGUUGUGCGUUUCCUGAUCCGUCUUCUCUAUAUGAGUAGGGAUUGGAUUGGUGUGUACGGUCCCGGUGGAAUGCAAAGGACGUGGUAAUCUCUAGCGUAAACUACUGAAUGACAGCAUCUUUGGGUCUCGGCUUCUCCUCGUACUGGUGGUCUCAUUUUUCUGGCCUGCUUUGGUUUCAUGUUCGGAUUCUUUGCUCGGGUAUGCUAUGGGUUCUCGUUUUAAGCUGGAGAAGCCGUAGCAUUCAGGGUUUUAGAGUGCUCUUCUCUUGGUAGCUCGCGGUAACUAGCGGGUUUUCUCAUCUAGAACUUGUGGUUGGUUGGUCUGAGCCUGUUUCGCUAUUAACUGUUUAAUCGCUUGCGUUUGUAUUGCUUUUGGUUCGUUCCUUUGUUGUUGCGUAGUUGUUCUGGUGUUUUUGUUCAUUGUUUUUGUUACUUGUUUCCUAUGUAAUGUCUGUCAAUUUAAUAUUAAUAUUAUUUUUCUGUGUAAUUAAAAUUAAAGAGAAAAGAAAAAGAUCAUACAUUAUUUGACACUUAAGAUUUUGAGUCUCUCACCAUUCUUUCCAAGUUUCUUUAAGAAUAAUCACUUUUCCGUUUCAAAAUAAAUAAUAAUUUCAAAAAUAAAACUUUUUAUACAUUAAUAACUCUAUAAAUUAAUAAAAUAUUAUAGCUCCAACAUUAUUAGUUUAUAGAGUUUUUACUUAAUUGGUGAGAAUCAUGGGAAGAAGCACUGCUCUAAUAAUAGUAAUCAUAAUCUAAGAAGAAUUUUUUUACAAUUAUCCUAAUGUAAAAUAAAAAUAAAAGAACUAUUUUUAGACGUAUGCACCAUCCAAGUAAGUCUAAACCGUCUAAAGUAGUGAAAGAUAUGCUGAAACGAAAAUCAACAAAGAGAACACAAUUAAGCCAAUUAGGACUUCAAGCCCUUGCAGUUGCAGCUACAUAUGUUCCAGGCUUUUGCUCCAAAUGAGUUUCUCAAUUUCUCAUUGAAAAAAUAUUAUUCAGUUCUUCAUUUUUUUAAGAUGAACUUUUUUAUUUACAAACUAGUUCUUAACUUUAACUUAUUGUUAUUUUAUACUUAAAUAAAUUAUAAGUGUUGAUUUCACCCAAUUAAUUUCAAAGUUUGUAUUAUUAUUCUUUUCUAAUUAGAUGUUAAUAACAUAGAACAUGAAAAUAAUGAUUUUUAAGAAUUUUAAGUUUCUUUUAGAAGAAUUUAGAAUAAAAUAAAUACAUUUUUUGUUCUUACAUACUUUUUGUUAAUCACUUAGGAGAUAUAUAUACUUGGUGUUUCUUCAUAAAAUCUAAUAUUCUUUAUUUAUUUAUUUAUGUCAUGUGUAAUAAUUAAAUCAUAUAAUAAUUUUUAAAUUAUAAUAAACAGUGAUUGUUUCGGAUUAUUGUUAAAAUAAAAUAGUUGGGUAAAAUUAGUGAAUUUGAAAAAAAAAUUAAGGUAGUAUUUAUAAUUGAUUAUAAAGUGAUAAUAUAAUAUAUUUAGAAUAUUUCUUUUUAAAGGAAAAAAUGAAUUAAACCAUUGGAAAACAUGUGGUUCAUUGUUUUAAGAACUUCAGAAAAAUAAUUUAAAAGAAAGAAAAAUCUAUACUAUUAAAGUUUUGGAUUAUGCCCUUGAGUUUUUAUCAUAUUUACAAGACCAUAUCACUCUUUAUUUUUAGAAUUUUGAACUAAAAUUGGCAAGAAAUAUAACAGAUUUUAUAUAUAUAUGGAAAACUAUAUAUAUGGCAUGUCAACAAUUAUUAUUAUUUUAAUAGGUUUUGGAAAAAUAUAUUUAAAACGAUUUUCCAAAUUAUGGUAACCAAAUUUAUCUCAUCAUUUUAAAAAGUCACAAUAUUAAAAUAUUAACAAUAUUUUAAUUUUGAAAAUCCUUAUACGCUCCAAGGUAUUCCCUAAAAAUACUAACAACCUAAAUAUUAAAAUAGCUUAACGUGUUUUCCUAUCUAUAUUAUUAAAGUUGAAGUAUCUAUAUGAAUUAAAAUUUGAAAUAACCUUUUAAUCACAUCUACUUUCAUUUCUUUUUUACUCAUAAAUAUAAUUAAUUUUAAUAAGUGAAUUUACAAAAAAAAAAAUAUGAUGAAUAUGAGUUUCCUUAUAAAUCAUAGGUAUUACAUUAAAUUACCUAAUAUUUAGCUAAUUGAAAAGAUUGCAAUCUUUCAAUCAUUUAAUACUUAACAAAAACGAUUUUAUAAAUAGCAUAUAUAUAUAUAUACAAUCAUAUCUAAUUUUAAAUUUAUCUAAUAUUCUCAAAUCUUGGUUAGAAAUUAUUGCGAAUAAUUAUUUGAUUUCGUUUGAUCUAUGUGCAGGUCGGUUCACUUUCACAAUAUAAAUUUUCUACGUGUAUCAAUUUAUUACUAACUUUCUUUUAUUGUUUUUAACUAAAUUUACAUUAUUUUGAACCCUCUAAGCAUGACAACUGUAGAUACUGAAUUUUUUAUACAUGAAUUACAUUAAUUUAAUUUUCUAUUUUUUCAAAAUAAAAAAUCUAAACACUGCUUUCAAUUUUUUAGAAAUGAAUUAAACACUUCUUAAGAAAAAUACAAUACAAAUCUAUUUUUCUAAAAACUAAAUGAUUUUGGUCACUCAAAAUUAACUCAAACCGGUUUAAAUAUAUGAUCAUUACAAUUCAUCUAAAUAGAUAGAAUUAUUAAGAACUUAAAAGUAAAUGAGUUCAAGCGGUCAAGACAUAAAUGUGUGAUCUAAAUAAGGUGAAUCUACCAUUUUAUAAUUCUUAACAAAGAAUUUGACAAAUUUUUCAAAAUCUAGUUAAGCAUUAGAACACAUACUCUCGUUGACUUGCUCGGCUUCUUGUGAGUCAAUCGUUUUGGUUUUUAUCUUUUUGUGAGUUCGGGUUGAUUGGUACUUAAUGGGCUUUACUAGGCCCAGUAACAUGUCGGUUCUAGGGUAUUAGACUCCAUGUAAACACAAAAUAUAUACGGCUGAGAUAUCGCGAAACAAAAGAUCCAACGGCUAAGAAAAAUUUACAUCCAAUAAGAUGUGAGACGAACAACAAUCCAUCAUCCACAGAAAAAAUUAGACAUCCCUAAUUUGACCGAUUUGUUAUUUGCCUCUGACCUCCUCCUCCACCAGCUCUUGUGUCUUUCCUUUCCCUGAAGAUCAGAUUGGCUAGGGUUUUAUCCCUUUCCUAAAAUCAAAAUUCUCGAUUCUAGCCAAUUUGUGCGAGAAUAGAAAAGUUUCGUCCUUUUGGUAAGUUACGAAUCCGUCUACGUUUCUGGGGUUUCGUUUUGUGUUCAUUCAAUCGGAUGGUUUCGUGAAAGCGUUUUUUGUUUGCAGUGAUGCCUUGGGGUGAGAUAUGAUCCUCUCCGUCUCUGGUGAUUACUACUGGUUUCUAUAUCAUCCUUAAACAAGAAUGUUACCCGUGAGAGAAGGUCUUCAGAAACAGGUUAAGAUUCUUAUUGGAUUAGGGUUUGGGGGUUACCGGGGUUUCCACUCUAGAUUCGCUCACCCUAACAGGUUUCUCGAGCCCGCGAGCUCCGAUUUGCUUCUGAGCAACGAAAGGAGGAACCUUUCUGUCCUCGGUGCUCUCUCUCGAACUUUCUCCGUUCCUUCAGUGUCCGGUCCGGCGUUUCAGGUCUGUGGUUAUCACAUUGAUCUCUUGCUCUCGGACGCGAGUUUGAGAUCGGUGGGUGAAUCAAUGGCGAGUCUUGGUGGUUCAAAGUCCUUGUUUUUAGAUCGCCGUUUUGAUCCUUCCGUUUCUGGUGUGAUGGUGUGUGGAGAUGGUCGUAGCCGUGGAAGGAUCAGUAUGAGACUCAGAGGAAGAGAUCACGGGGAUAAUAACUCUACGGUCUACGGCUACUUUGCUUAUCGAGCUGCUAAGAAAUGGAUUGCUUUCAAUCCUAAAACUGGAGGGUUAGGGUUUAGAGGCUUACACAGCUCACUGUUGAGCCGCUUUUCAGUUGGGAAUGCGCCUGAUGUCUCGUUUGAUAGCUCUCCCGCCGAGGAGCUGGCUAAAGGCUCUUCGGAUUCUGUAGCGGAUAAGCUUUGUGUUAAGCCGUUGAAGCUUGUCUCCGGGUCUUGCUACCUACCUCAUCCUGAUAAAGAGGCGACGGGAGGAGAGGAUGCUCACUUUAUCUGCGCAGAGGAGCAAGCUUUGGGUGUUGCAGAUGGUGUGGGAGGUUGGGCAGAGCUUGGCAUCGAUGCGGGUUACUACUCUCGUGAGCUUAUGUCUAACUCUGUGAACGCAAUCCAUGACGAGCCUAAAGGAUCGAUCGAUCCUGCCAGAGUAUUGGAGAAGGCUCAUACUAGUACAAAGUCACAAGGGUCUUCAACGGCUUGCAUCAUAGCGUUGACGGACCAGGGACUUAACGCGAUCAACCUAGGGGACAGCGGGUUCAUGGUGGUCCGUGAAGGGCAUACCGUUUUCCGCUCUCCCGUUCAACAGCAUGACUUCAACUUCACGUAUCAGCUGGAGAGUGGGAGCAACGGCGAUUUGCCAAGCUCAGGUCAGAUGUUCACGGUCGCUGUAGCUCCCGGAGACGUGAUAAUAGCUGGAACAGACGGAUUAUUCGACAAUUUGUACAACAACGAGAUCACAGCGAUAGUGGUUCAAGCGGUGAGAGCUGGAACAGAUCCUCAGGUGACAGUACAGAAGAUUGCAGCUUUGGCGAGGCAAAGAGCACAGGACAAGAACAGACAGACUCCAUUCUCUACAGCAGCGCAAGAUGCUGGGUUCAGAUACUAUGGAGGUAAGCUUGAUGAUAUUACAGUUGUAGUCUCUUAUGUGGCGGCUUCGAAGGAAGAAGGGAGAACAUUGAAAUGAAGAUACAAAUACAGAUGUUGUGUGAUGUGUUGAGUUUCUUAAGGUUUGUGUUUUGCAGAGAGACCUCUCUUGUUUUUGUUUGGUGGCUUGUGAGCAAGCCGGAUCAACUGAUUAUAUUUGAUUUUUUUGAUAUAUGUGUUGUAUAUGUAAAUAAAAGGAGAAAGAGAACUUGUGUUAAUAGCUCGUUAGCUGUAAUUGAUUCAACACACCCACGGGACUUGCAAAAUCUAUUAACACGCCCACAAUAUAAGUCUCUGCUGGAGUUUCUCUGUCACAUACUUUUUUUUUUUUUUUAUCUUUUUACUUUGACUACAUAUCUCAACUACAUAGUCACUCAAAGUUUCACUUUCUUUGUUGAUCAAGAUUCUCAUCUACUCUACAUUUAGCAUUGAAGUGCAUCAUUUUUAGCUGUCAAAACAAUGAGUGCAUGACUUAGUCAUUUGAGGAACCAUUACUGUACAUCACCAGCAUCAAGUUUACUUAGAUUUCUACUUUCUAAUAAGCUUAGGCGUCGUUGAUCAGUACAAAUAAACAAUUAGGUCCCAACUCUCAAGUCAUUUGGUUGUGAGAAAGACUGACUCGUACAGAUAUUUAGACAUAAAGUGAAAAUGGUUAGACGAAAACAGUCAACAGAGAGUAUGUGUGAUGAUAAGCUCGCCGUUAGAAGAAGGAUCUAAGGAAGCUUUGAUCCCUAUGGAUGAUAGACCUUCCACUCCCACUGCGACUGGCUUUCCUAGUAGCUUCACUCCUUGCUUCCAAUAUCUUUCAUCUGCACGAUAGAUAAUGUGAUAAAAAGGAUUGCAACAAUACCGAUAAAUAUAUUCGCCUCCUGAAACUAACAUGUUAGACAACCCUAUUCUACCCCUCCUGAAAGUAGAAUCCAUCCAUCAACAACAGCCUUUCGUCGUCAAAUUAAAUCCAAAUUACAUGUUAGUAACCACAGGCAUUAUUUCGAACCGCUUUAUGAGUACACUGAGAGUUAUGAGUCUCAUACCCGGUCCUGUUGAGAUCACGAUUGAGUUUUCUUUGUCCAUCACCCAAUCCAUCCACAAUGCAAUUCCAUGGCAUACACCGGGUUUGGUAAACUCAAUCUGUUUGCAGAGAAAAUGCAUUCAUCAGAGUUGUUUGUACUAAGGAUGCAUGCCUCUGCAAACUGUCUGCAUGUACAUAAUAUAUACGUUCUGAAUUCUCCAACGAACAUACCUGGACUUCCCCAGAACAUGGACCUGCGAUGGGCUUGGAGAAAUCAAAGUCCAUAACUGUGAAUUCCUUGCUAAGUUUCUGCUAAUUAACAGGAAAAAGAACAACGUUAACAUACACCCAACGCUUGUCAGUACAGAUUUUAAGAACUUUUGUUUACCUUUGUCUCUCCACAUUGCCAGACAAAAAAGGGCAAACAAGGACUUUCUUUACCAGAAGGUAGAUCACCACAUCCCCCUAAAGUUGUAUUCACCAGUGCAUGGUCAAACCCUUCUACACUCCCAAGGCAACAACGGCUCUUCCAAAGAUCCUGCACCAUAAGCCAGUUAAUGAAUAAUAUAUAAGCAAACGCGUCACUGUUUUAGAAUUGGAAAGAAAUGAUAAGGACUACUUACAGGAAGAUACAUUGCGCAACCUCUCAAAACUCCUUUAUACGGCAUCACCACUGCAUCUUUUGACAGGACAGGAUCCAGUAGAGUUCUGUCUUUCCUUCACGCAUACCAGAAAGCAAAUCAGCCAACCGUUAGCAAAACUUUAUAGCAUCUUUUUCAAAGCUAAGCGACCAAUCGAAUAGCUACAUUUACCAGAAUCUGAGAUUCUGCCACGGAAGCCCGCUUUCAAGUCCGUAGUAGUAUGGCUCUCCAAUCAGCAGAUCAAUCUGUUGAUAGAACAUAGGGACACAGUCAAAAUGGAACCAACGAAUCACUAAUUUUAUUGACUUAUUAGCAUAAUGACUAAACUAAGAGACAUCACUUUUCAAGAGGCACAAUUUAACUAUGAGUUUUGAUUCUUUAAAUGUGAUGUAGAUCACGUGAAUUACCUUGCUUGGAAACGCUUCCGUCAACUUUGCCUUCCCUUCUCUGAAAUAUUCAAAACGAUCUUCUGAAAAGCCAUUUGAGUCAGCAAUGGCUUCCAAAUAUCUGGCAGCAUUCUCUUGCAGCCCCGGUGACAGUGAUAUUACCCGUGAUCCGUUGGAGAUAUGUAGAGCCGUAAGUGGUAAGAGAAGACUAUCAUCAAUGACGAGACAUUGUGCAUCAGAUUUUCCCUGUAACUGGAAAAUAGGUGAAGAAACAUUAAAGUGUGAACCAGAAUAUAUGAGAAAAAAUAGCAUAACUAUACGAAUAAUGUUCCUUAUGCAAUUUUUCAGAGCAAACUAUUUGUUGUUAACGUAAGACAGAUAUAGAACAUACAGCAUUUCGUGUGGCCUCAAAUAUGGUUUGCCUAUAUAUGCUGUCGCCAUAUAUUGCAACUCUUUCGGGUGGUAAUGUGAGUAGCAGUUCUCCAGUGCUAAAAGAAGAGUGUGUCAUCUCAUGUGCCUUCUUCAGAUUGUACAGGAUGUUAGUACAAGUAUGAGCAGCCUGCAAAUGAAACUUUUCUCCUUUGGAUAUGGAUACGCCUGCUCCUGGAGUAAACCAAACACACUGUUUCCAAUGGUCACACCAGUCCCUAGCACCUGUAUUAUUAUGGAUAAAAGAAACGAAAAUUCGUCAAAUGAGAUCAGUGGGCAAAUACGGCAUGGAUCCCAACGGAGCUAAAUGUGGUGCGAGGGUCUGUAGAGAAAAGGGAUUCCACUACAACCAUAUAAGUGCGUGAGAAAUGAGGUAAAUCAAAUGAUUUCCACACGAAGGUGUGACUCACUUAUCUCAGAAUUUGACUCUAUCCAUCUGGGAGCGGUAGAGUAGAAGAUUGUUCCUUCACUGUCAAGCUGAAGCACCCACCUGAAUGGAGAAAAUAAAAGGUUCCUCAUAUCAUAUUGGGAAAACAGAACAGAUCUUGAUCCCUUUCCCUAGGCCUUUAGGUGGACUUUAGUGAACAUAUUACCAUGAAAUUAUGGCAUGGACACUACCCUCGUUUAUAGCUUCGAUGUGCACAUCAAGCUCUCCAUUACUUUCAGGCCGUUUCCAAAAGUCAAAUUCAAAUACUUUGACGGGCUCUGACAACUGGAUGAAUAUAUAUAAACUGAGUCUAUGUGUAUAAACACUAAAUCUUAUAGCAAAACUGUAGAGGAAGGUUAGCGAUAUAAAUACCAGUUUGAUCUCUUUCUCAAUUGCAUCGAUAUGCAUGCUAUAUUGCUGUGAUUUGAUGCCAAACAGACUCUCUAAGCCAGGAGGAGCUAGACGAACACCAUCGGAUAUUCUAGCCUCGUUACUUUGUAGAUCGUGCAUGUUACAUAAGAAUGUGCUUUCUACAAGCUUGACAUUUCAAAGGAAAACAACGUGAGAAGAGGUAUUCAAUCAAAAUCAAGAUAAGCCAGUGUUCUUAAAAUCGGUCUAGUCUGAGCAAAACGAUUUUUUCAAACCGAUUUAUUAAAAAUCGUUCUAGGCAUUCAAAAAUUAGGUCUAGGCGGCGCCUAACCACCUAGCUAUUUCUUGAACACUGAGAUAAACAAUAAAGACAAAGCACACAAGCAACGAACCUGACAAUACGUAGUAGCACGGUACGGCACCGUUUUAGGAUUGUCAACAAGCAACAUGUCAUGAGCAUGUUGUAAACUUGGGAUUAGACCUUCACCAAGUAACUCAGAGUCCAAUAUUUCGCUUACCUAAUAAAGAAGUAGCCAUUUAUAAUUAACAUUUCCUCUCAAAUUCCAUACAAAGUAUGUACAUUUGUAUCUUUUUACUCACAAGAACAUCAGCUCGUGAAGCAAUGUCAGACCCAACUUCCAGUUCAUCAGAUCGUUUAUUGAAGAGGUUAAUGUUCUUGGUCAUCCCGUUCUUAUGCAAAACCUUUCUCAUAAGCUUCACCAUCGGGAGGUACGAUUCACACGCCGUCACACAAGACUCUUCUUUAUCUCCCAUUGCUCUGGCAGCCAUCAUCGAUAGCAAUCCAGUUCCAGCACUAUAACACACACGCACAUUCUCCGUGUCGGUUAAUUACUCAUUAGGGACCAAAAUUGAAUUCAAAUUGAGUUGUGGUAAUGAGGAGAAACAAACCCAAUGUCGAGGACGUGGCAAGGUUCGGUGAUGGUUUUCUCGAUUGCUAGACGGUAAGCUCGGUUGCGGCGAGUGUCGUUGAGCAUGUCUAGAUACGACGUCGUAGCGAGGAGGCCGUCCGUGGAAGUUACUGGAGCUCCAGCUUCGUCGUUCUCGUCGAUGACGAUCCAUUCCGAGGUGCCGGUGAGAGGGUCUUGUCUGAGCUGGAAGACGCGUUGAUUUGAUUGCGAGGUCAUGGUGCGAGCAGUGACGACGGAGCUUAGGCGAGUCGGUGGGGGCCAACGGAAGGAGAGAAAGGGAAUAAAGGUUUUGGGGAGAAGAAGAGACAGUGGCGGAGACAUAGACGGAGGAGCCUUAAAGGGUUUAAGCCGCCGUGAUGACUAGUGUGAGGAGAUUCCGCACUCUAGAUCCCCACAAUAUUCAUUUUAUUUCACAUUAACUCCAGAGGUUUUAAAAGGAGAGUUUUACCACCAAAUCAACAUGCAACGAAAUUUUGAUGUCAACUGAUAGUAGACUAGACUAGUAGUAAUAUGUUGUAAAUGUUAUAUGAUGGUAGUCAACUCAAACGAUGCCGUCAUGUUUGAGGAUGAAAUGUUGAAACAUUUUAUUGAAAACCAAACCGAAGUCUUCGGGUCUGACCAGUGACCAUUCUGGAAACAAGAAGAACGAAUAGGAAAAGAACGUAAAGGAAUAAAAUUGCAGGAACGAAAAGGAAUGGUUGUUUCAUCUCAAAUUUGACAAGAAAUAAUUUUGUUCUUUAUUUCUUUAAAAAAAAAAGAAUGGUAGGGAACGAGAAGAAAAAAUUAUUUUUUAUGAAUGGUGAUUUUUUUUUAGGAACAUUAAGGAAUGCAUUAUUCUUUGUCGUUCCUUGGUCACCAUUCGUACCCUUCCUAACAAAUUUGUUUUUAAUAAUUAUGAGUGAUUUAAUUUAUAAGAUAUUUGGAUUUGGCGAGAGGGAAAAUGCAGAAAUUAUGAUUUGUACUAAUAAAUAAAAACAAUCUAUAUUAUAAUAGAUCAGUUUUUGUUCACUUCUCAGCGCGCCACGUCAUCGUUUUGUGGAUCCCACUUUUAAAAAGUGUGAAAAAGUGUCAAACUCAUGGCUCGAACCCAGGUUAUUGAGAUAUAAACACCAACAUUUAUACCACUAAGCUAACUGAUACCUUUGUACAUUGAUGGCCGAACCUAAUAUAUAUUUAUGAAGGUCGGAAGCUCUUGCCCCUCGGCUUCCUCUGAGGGUCUUGAAUCUUUGUGACACGUCAGCAACUCCUUUAUGUUUGUGGGUCCCACAUUUACAUAAAGUCUCUCCGAUAUUUUAGAUACCAUUGAGAAUUAAAUUAGUCUCACAUUAAAAAUGAUUGUCUUUUCCACAUAUUCAUUUUUUUCCUAAAAUAACUCAGACAAACUACAAAGAAGGAAACAUAUUAUUAAUAACUCAAACGAACUACAUUGUUUUCCUAAAUGUGAUUUCCACGACUACAAUAAAGGAACUACAUUAAUUUAGAAUCCAAAAUAUUAAAAUAAGCACAAAAUCUUUGAUUUACGCCUAUAAUAAAGGAACAAGCAUAAAAUCUUAGAUAAACAUUUACGCCUACACUUGCGGAACAAGCCCAAGUUCUUAUCACGUUUUUACAUUUUUUUCCUAACCUCAUUCAAUUUUUGUUGUUGUUGUUGCAUUAAUCUUUUAAGGUUAAGCUUUAAGUUUUGGUGAAGGGGUGACAUCAAAAGCGAAGAAGCUGGUUGUGGAAAUUGGGGAACACCAGGAGAAGAAGUUGUUGUUGUGUAAGCAUUUUCUGAUGUUUUAUCUCAUAGUAGUGAUUGUGAAAUUGGAUUAAAAAAGAAGCUCUGGUGUCUAUUUUAGGGAGACUGAAGAAGUUGCUGGUGUUGAGACUGAGAAGCCUGCUGGUGAUGAGGUUGCUGCUGAUGCUAACAAGGAGAACACUGCUGAAGUGGAGGAGCAGAAAGAGUCUGAAGAUAAGGUAAGCAGAUGAGUUAAGAGAGAUGUUAGGUUGCUAGAUUAGGACAUGGAACUGAACUUACUCUUGUCUCGGCUUUUUUCUUUAUUAUCCUUCAAUGCUUAUUGGCUUGUGGUUUGGUAGGAAAUGACUCUGGAUGAGUAUGAGAAAAAUACUUGAGGAGAAGAGAAAAGCCCUUCAGUCUCAGAACACCUCUGAAAGGAAAGUUGAUACUAAAGUGUUUGAAUCAAUGCAAAAACUCUCAAACAAGAAGAAGUCUCGAUGAAAUCUUCAUCAAGUUGGUAAGACAUAUUAUCUCUCUGUCUUGUCGACUAGAAACACUCUUAACCGGUUCUGAACCUUGCAUUUGAUCUAUCUCCCAGGGUUCUGAUAAGGACAAACGCAAAGAUGACAAAGAAGAGAAGGCUAAGAAGGUUUACAUUGUUGUCUGAAUGAAAGAGUUUGUAAAAGUCAAUAAGUUUGCUUAUGGAUGUGUUCUGUGGUUUACAGGCUGUGAACAUCAACGAGUUUUUGAAACCAGGUGAGGGUGAGAACUACUACCGAGGAGGAGGUCGUGGUGGUCGUGGAAGGGGACGUGGUGGUCGUGACGGGGAAGGUGCUUCUGGUGGUGGAUUUGAUGGUUACCGUAGUGAAGCUGCGCCUGCCAUUGGAGAUACUGCUCAGUUCCCAUCUCUUGGGGGCAAGUAGGAUCCAUCCUUGGAAACUUGUGCUGUCUCCUUCAGUUUUCCUCAUCAAGACUGAAGUGUUUCAUGCUGAGUGUUUGCCGGUCUGUUGUUGUCAGGUGUAAAUUGUUAGUUGUCGUCAGUUUUUAGAGUUUCUGCAAACUUAUGCAUGACCUGUCUUUUUUUUUAACGUUUGAAACAAUACCCUUUUCUAUUUUGGUUUACCACUUAGUCUUUAUAGUUGUUUGUUGUCUUCUCAAUAUGCCUUUUUUUUUCACUCAACUCAUCGUCUCCCAUCUCUCUUGAUUUCUUAUAUACUGAUUACGUCAAAAUCUCAAGCGAUCAUAACCAAAAUCAGAUGAACCACUAUAAAAAACGAGCCCCCAAAAGAGAUACCAACAUCUGGUUGUCUCAUUCUGUCCAUCUCCACGUUGAUGUUAUUAUCUCUCUGUUCUAAAAUGAUUACCGAUGCGGUGAUGCUAUUUCUGACCGAUGCGAUUUGACGAUAUUCGCCCUUGCCAAAUUUCAAAGGAGAUUAGUGGUCGUCAUCUCCGUUUCUGAGAUUCACGUAACAUCAUGGGUAUCAUCCUCUUACUUUAAGAUGAGAAGGUAUGAACAUCAUGACCCUCGCACCAACUCAUUAAUUCAUUACCAUAUUCUUAGCUUUGAAACAAAUCGUUUUUAUCUUAGACAUGGCGAAUUCAUGGGCUUUCUACUUUGAUUCAUGAAAAGUUAUUUCAGUAUAUAUACUUAAAAAUAUGUAAUCUUCUGUUUAGAAUAUGUUACUAAUAACGUCUUCACUCAUUGUCCACAUCAUAUUGUAAUCCAUGGCUUCAUUUCAACCUUACUUUUUUUUUCUAUCACAAAUCAUUUUCAACAAAGUCCAGUAAAAAUUAUAAAAAUAAAUAAUUUUGUAAUUAUAUAAUUUUAUAAAUUUCUAGAGUUAUUAAUUUAAUAAAAAAACAGUAUACUACAAUUCUAUAUUUUUGAAGUUAAAUUUGGAUAAAAAAAAAAUAAUUUAUUGUUCGUAUAAAUUGUUAAAUUUUUAAAUCCGAAUAUUAUACAUUUUUUUACGCUAUUUGAUUUAUAUACUAACAACUACCUAAGUAAACACUAACCAAUCCCUUAAAUUUCAGCUUUUGAACAUGGAAGCGCUAAUAAUGUUAAUGUCCAUCAAAUCAUUACGAAGAUAAGAUAAUAAAAUAUCAACAAAUAUGAAUUCGCCGGUCAUUCUUAUAUCACCUUAAUCAAACUGUGUAAUAUCUGAUGUUCCAUUCAUCACCAUAAUAAACAACACGGAAAAUCAAAAGUUAAAAAAAAAACGACAACAACCCAUACACAACACUACACAACUCAUCAAACAACGUAUCCGGCUCCCGCUUGCGCGGGGGCUAUGUCCCUAGUAUAUAUAAAAGUGAAAGUAAUGGUCGAAUCAGUUGAGACUUGAGAGAAUAUGGUAAGUGUUAUAGUUAGACAAGUUAGAGAAAACUUAUGGUUUAUCACAUGAACAAAGUGUGACAUAUGGAGGAAGUGUGUAGAAUUAUAAUUAAUGUUUUUAAAAGUAUGCAUGAGGGUAAAUAAUUAUAUUUUGAAUUGCUUAUGGAGACUGGUUACAUACUUCCAUAGUAGUAAUAUGUUUUUUUUUUUUUGCAACCUAGAAUUAGAUAGUUGAAAUAUGUUGAAUUCUCAAUAUCAUGAUUUUUUCGUAAAGUUACUAUUAAAACUUUUUUUUUACUUUCAUGCUAAACAACAACAAAAAUGUUGUAGCUAUUUAGUCCAAAAAAUCACUAUUCUCUCAUAAGAUGUAUCUGUUUUUAAAAGGUUACAAUAUCUCAUAUGCGUUGUCAAAGAAAAAACAUAUAUACAAAAUGCGUAUGUUUUUCAAAUUUGGCACUGAAAUAUAAAAAUUAGUAUACCAAAUUGUAAUAAACAGGAAUAAAGGGUUUAACUCAGAAAUUUAAAAAUACUUGUGGGUACUUAACAAAUGUUUCUCAGUUAUGACAAACUUCUUGCACGGACAGUUUCAUCCAAAGUCCGAAGCCACCCCAAAAACUUUGAAAUCGGAAUCCAGAUUGCCGAAUUUGAUCGGGAGAAGAAAUGACGGGAGCGAAUCAAACGUGUAUAUUCUGUCAGAUCUUGCACGAUCCCAGCUCAACUACUCGUCUCCUUCACACCGUUCGUUCUUCUUCUCCCCUUACAUCGUUCCCAAUUUCUUUUUGAUGAGAGGCUAAUUGAAGAACUUUUAUUUUUUUUUGUCUUUCUCAGGAUGAGAAGGUCGUCGCGUUUCAAGACAUCAAGCCUGCCGCCCGGAGGUUUGUUUUGUUCACUCGCUUUGGUUCAUGUUGAUUCAGAUAAAUUAUUUUUUUGUAGCAUAUAACAGCUAGUAAUAACACCAUUAACCUGUGUAAUCUGGUUUAUGGAAAUGACGAUAAAACGAAAUGACUGGAAAUGGUGGUUAUUAGUUUCUUUUUGAAUUAGCCAUCUCAUCACUGUUGCAACUUCUUGCUUAAUUAUUAUUAUUAAGAACCAAAAAACACUCAUGUAGGCACUACUUGGUCAUUCCAAAAGAACACAUCCCAACUGUGAGAGACCUCCAGAGAAGAGAUGAAGACUACUCUUUGGGUUAGUCCGGAAAAAAAACAUAUAUUCUGUUUUAUACACUAUUAUUCUGUUAUAUAUCUAAUGAAAAAUUCGGAUAAGGAUGCGUUAUUAUUUUUGUGUGUGUGAUUUGAGCAGUGAGUCACAUGCUAAGUGUGGGACAAGAACUGCUGCAAAAAGACGCACCUCAAACCAUUCAUAGGUGAGGCUCUCUCUAUUAUUAUUAUUAUUAUUUUUGGAUCAAACCCUCUACUAUAAUCGUAAGUGAUGCUUGAUGUUUUCAUUGUCUUUGUGCUAACUAACUUAUGUAGCAUUGACCUGAUCUGUACUCCCUCACAGAUUUGGUUUUCACCAGCCGCCUUUUAACAGUGUCGAUCAUCUCCAUCUCCAUUGUUUUGCAUUGCCUUUUAUGCCCAGGUACACCAAUAUCCUUCAUAUCUUACUUUCCCAUGCCUUGAAACUGCAAAAAUACGAUUUUCUUUUCUUAUCACACAUUGUCAUCAAAACAGAUGGAAAGUCGUCAAGUACAUGUCUUUGGGACCUUUCGGUGGUUUUAUUGAAGCACAUAAACUUCUGGAGAAGAUAAGGCCUCUUCCUUCAAAAGUUUAACUGAAUCUAACUUCAUUGCAGUGCUAAAAUUGGUGCUAUAUCUCUUUUCUAUUCUUUUUUUUUCUGGCAUGUCAAUACCACAUAUCAUUGUUGGUUUUGUAUGUAAGAAGGACGUGUCGUGUAAUUUUAUGUAAUUUCUGUCGCUUGCCAAUAGUUGUAGGCAAUGACGCCAUUCUCAUUUUUGUGUCAUACUUAUAAUAUAGACAUUAAUAAUUCUUCUAAUAUAAUCUCUGGUGACUGACAUAGAAGUAGACUUAAACAGAGAUUCAUAUAGGAUCUCUUAUGUAAUUUGUUUGUAGGCUUCUGCUGUUGUUUUGAUGCUCUGACAUCUCUAACAACAAGUGUAGGGGGAGGUACUGGUUGCAGUGCAUGAGAUUAUCAUUAUUAUACUCCAGCUUAACUGAGUGAAGAUGCGCUCUUGCAACAUCAUAGCAAUCUCCGCAGAACAGGUAACGCUUUAGUAAACCUGUACGUUAGCAGUAAUCUUUCAUGCUAACAAAAUUUAUGAGUUGUUAAACAGUGUGAUAAACUUGUACAUUAGCAGUAAUCUUUCAGUAAUUCAUGCUAACAAAACUUGAGUUACUAAACAGUGUGAUAACCUUGUACGGUAGCAGUAACCAUUUAUGCUAACAACACUUACGAGUUAUUAAUUAGUGUGACACGAGAAUGAAAUCCUUAUAGCACUCAAGUUUCAGACAAGCACCUAUACUUAUCAAUAGCGAGGAUUAAUAUUUUGAUGUUAAACUAAAAAUUAUGUGCUUAUCUUAAGAACUAGAUGCAACUGAUACCAAAUCUUCUCUGCGCACGUGCAACUUGUUCAACUAGGCACAAGUACAGCUUGCAGUUGCAGUGCCUUACGCUUCUUUGGUUGAUAUUUCGUCUACGGGACUAGUGUUUCUAAAUAAAAGAUUGGUUAUGGGAUAACAUUCUGGUGACGUUUGAUAAGAUUCACUAGAAGAACAUGAGCUAACAAACAACAUAGCUUCUUAAUGGUGUUGUGUCUUCAAUAAUUGAAAUUCUUGAUUUGCUAUGGUCUUCGAAGGAAAUAGCCCCACAAAUUAUAAGUUCUUUUGGAUGGAUUUACUGGUUAUUCUCAACCACUCUUGUCAAAAUACCAACUCUUUGUUUGGACUUGUUUCUCUGUUCUUUAGUUAAUAAGUUCUGCAUACAGACAUAUUCACAGUAAUCAAGCGUUUUAUUUUGCUUAAAUUUUAAAAUGGUUGGUCCUGUCCUUAUAUGUUUUUUUUUGUUUUGUAUUUCUAAUGCCUUUAAAGCAGAUAUAUUAUAUUUUAUAAUAAAAUAUCGAUUUGUUGUUUUGAUUGGCAAUGAUUAUAGAUAUAGAGUUUGGUGAGUUCUUAGGUUUCUCAAUGAUUAUAGAGUUUGGUGAGUUAUUAUUCCCCAUGUCUGUUGUGUCACCUUAUGAUACUACAUGUCUAAGUAGUUUAUUGAAUCAUAUCCUCAAAUAAACCAUGAAAUGUAUAUAGUUUAUGGAAAUAAGUGGUAAUCUCAUGCAUGGACUAGCUUUUUUAUUACAUCAAAUGUCUAAUAACCUUUUUGUUUGUGGUGACACAAGAAAGUUGAAAAGCUUGAGCUGGCUCCUGUGACUUGUGAGGAGAACAUCUCUUGCGAGGAAGACAUCAAUGAACCUUUUCUUCUCGAAGUGACGACCAAAGUUUAUUGAUUUUUUUUUGGUGCAGAAAACAAAGUUGCAAUAACGUCACUGUCAAGUCUCAACACACUCAGGUAUGCCUUUGCUUCAUUGGUGCCUUCUUCUCGUUUUCCGAUUUUCCAAAUACAGCAAAUAUAAUUUUUCUUGCAUAAUUCUUCGAAUACGCCUCACUGUUAACAGCUGUAUCCAAAAGCUGAAUUUUUAUAAAUAAAAUUCUUGUAUGAUUUUUUAAGAAAAAAAAAAAAGAAUCCAUACUCUCUUUAAUUUAAGAGAAGAAGAAUCCAUAUUCUGUACAUUGACACGGUUUCCUUUCGUUUUUCAAAAUUUCAAUUACUUUUAGUAAAAUAUAAUGCUAGUAUUUUAUAUUUCCAAAUUUUCAAUGCGUUCCUUUUGCGAAACUUAUCCUUAAAGUUAUUUUAUUUUAUUUGUUUAUAGAAAAAUAACUAAAAAGUAUCGGCUUGUACCGGAGGAGGUUGGUGAAUUUUUAUAGGUCCCUUGGUAGUAGCCCUUUUGUCGUUUAGCAAUUCUCCACCUAAUCCAGCUUCCAAUAAAACAUAGCCAUAGCAAUUAUAUUUAGCACUCACAUAUUAAUUCUUUAAAUUCUUAUCUAAUCACUAUUUGUAAUUGUAAGUACUUAUCUUCCUUUGGUAUUGAUUGAUUAGUUCAUAAAAGUUAUUCAAAUUCAUUUUCUCAAAAAAAAAGUUACUCAAAUUCAGUAUACGUUUAUAUAACAAGAUAUACUUGUUUGGAAUACACAAUGCAUCGCAUUUGGUCAUAUAUCUUUCUACAAAUUAAUAAAAUCUUUGAUAUCAUAACUAGCAAAUGUAAUGUGUGGAAUUAUAAAGUUUGGCUGCAUGACAUAAAUUGUCAGGAGACAAUACCGAAGGAGAAUUGAAGUUGUGUGUGGAGAAGACUAUGGUACACGUACCUUUCACUCUUUAACCUUGUCCAUGGCGAUAGUCCACCUGGCUUGUCUAUGUGGCCUGUACACAAUUAUUAUUUUGUAAUUUUUCGUUGUUAUGGUAUUUUAGGGUUUCAAUGCAUUGAUUUUCAUUUUGAGGUUUAUGUGUAACCGAGGGGAUGAAUUGGAUAUGUUAUUAGCCAAUUAAUAUGGUUGAUAUUGAAAUAUUAAUAGGGACCUAACCUAAAUAAGAGAAGAAACAUACUACUGAAAAUGUAAUAAAUGUAGAAAAUGUAUGGUUGCAUUGCAUGCAAAACUCCCCCCACAAUGGAGUUGACUUCCAGUGAUCAGUUUUCACUAUUCUAUUGCGUAUUUGUUUUGUAUUGGUUAGUUCCGUGUCAAACUCCAAUGCUAUAUUUGGGACUCUGCAUGACACUAUUUAAAUCGCUCAUCAAGUCUUUUUCUUUCAACCAUAAGUAGAUAGUCCAAAACAAUGUAUUUUGUUACUAGUCUUCAUAAUUGCUAUUUAAAUGUUAAACAGUUAUACUUCAUGCCAUCAUUUAAUAAUAAUUUUAUCUACCGAUCAUGUCUUAUUGCUCUGUACUAUAAAAAAGAGUCGACCUCUUCUUCACAUUCAAAAGCAGAGUCAUACAAAUAUAUCCGCCAUGAAAACGUGUUGCAUCUUCUUCCUCUACUUGGCGAUUAUUCUCGAAUACUGUUUCUACUUCUCUGUUUCGUCAUCAUCACCUCUUCUUCUCCCUCUCUCUCACUCUCUCACGACCUCCAAACACUCUUCCUCUCCUCUCCACCUCCUAAAGUCAUCUUCCUCCCGCUCCUCCGAACGUUUCCGCCGCCACCACCAUAAACGCCAACAACAUCAACUUCCCCUCCCACUAUCUUCCGGCAGCGAUUACCUUCUCUCACUCUCCGUCGGCUCCUCCUCCUCCGUCUCUCUUUACUUAGACACCGGAAGCGACCUCGUCUGGUUCCCUUGCCGUCCUUUCACCUGCAUCCUCUGCGAAUCCAAACCUCCUCCUUCUCUGACCUCCCUCUCCUCCUCCGCCACCACAGUCCCCUGCUCCUCCCCCUCUUGCUCCGCCGCUCACUCCUCCCUCCCCUCCUCCGACCUCUGCGCCAUCUCAAACUGUCCUCUCGACCUCAUCGAAACCGGCGAAUGCAACAAUUCUUCCUACCCUUGUCCUCCUUUCUACUACGCCUACGGUGACGGCUCCCUCGUCGCACGUCUCUACUCCGACUCGCUCUCCCUCCCUCCCCUCUCCGUCGCUAACUUCACCUUCGGAUGCGCUCACACCACCCUCGCCGAACCCAUCGGCGUCGCUGGCUUCGGACGCGGACGCCUCUCUGUCCCCGCGCAGCUCGCCUCUUUCGCACCUCACCUCGGUAACAGCUUCUCUUACUGCCUCGUCUCUCACUCGUUCGACUCGGAGCGAGUCCGCCGUCCGAGUCCACUCAUCCUCGGACGCUUCGUCGAGGAGAAGGAGAAACGCGUCGGAACCGAUGAUGACGAUCAUAAGGAGAAGGUCGAGUUCGUGUACACAGAGCUGCUUGAUAACCCCAAGCAUCCUUACUUCUACUCUGUUUCCCUCCAAGGAAUCUCCGUCGGAAAACGGAAUAUUCCUGCUCCGGCGAUGCUCAGACGAGUGGAUAGAAACGGAGGCGGAGGAGUGGUCGUUGACUCGGGGACGACUUUCACGAUGCUUCCGGCGAAAUUCUACAAUUCGGUGGUGGAGGAAUUUGAUAGCCGGGUCGGGCGGGUACACGAACGGGCUGAUCGGGUCGAACCGAGUUCGGGAAUGAGUCCUUGCUACUAUCUUAACCAGACGGUUAGAGUUCCGGCUCUGGUUUUGCAUUUUGCCGGGAACGGAUCCAGUGUUACGCUCCCCAGGGGAAAUUAUUUUUACGAAUUUAUGGACGGUGGAGAUGGGAAAGAAGAAAAGAGGAAGGUUGGAUGUUUGAUGUUGAUGAACGGUGGAGAUGAAUCGGAGCUUCGAGGUGGGACCGGGGCGAUUCUGGGGAAUUACCAGCAACAAGGGUUCGAAGUCGUGUAUGAUUUGUUGAAUAGAAGGGUCGGGUUCGCUAAGAGGAAGUGCGCAUCUUAUUGGGAUUCGCUCAAUCAAAGCUAACGAGCGCGCGUUAUCCAAUCCCAGCUUCAAUCUUUUAAAUAAGUCAAUGUGCGCCUUACCGGUUCUACCGAAAACCGGAUGAUGGGUCUUAUCGAACAGUAAUUAUGAUAUCGAGCUGUACGUAAAAAUAGCUGUAGGUUUAAUAAUUCGAUGGACCUGUCAUCUAAAAGUAUAUAGAAGGGUGUAUCAUGUAUGUAUCUAUCACCGGUUUUGAAACGUUGUAGAUAUAUAUUUUUUUUAAUUAAGGCCAUUUGUAGUAUUAUGUUUCGUUUAAAGAUUUUAUUCAUUAUAAAAAAAAGUUAAAAGUUUGGGUGUUGUUAUUCAUUAUUGGUACGCGUCGCAUUAACUAAUUGAGAACCAGACGGAUCAAAGAAAAUCUUAAACGAUGUCGGCAAUUUAGUCAAAGUUUUGCUUGUAAACCAAUUAGACCACACCUACAAGUGACUACUAUAAUUUGUGAUAUUUCAUAAGAUAUCACUGUCUUGAUAGAUAUUUAACGAACAAAAACAAACGAGUAACCAUCAAUUAUUUGGCUUAGUGUCACUAUUUAGUUGGAGGCAAAGAACUAUUUAGUUGGAUGAAAAGAAGAUGGCUUUGAAUCUUUGAUAAUUAUGAAUCAGAUGACUAGACAAAAGGAUUGACAGGCGAGCAUACGUGGCGGCGGAUUACGACCAGCAAGACUAGCAAGCACUAGUCGUUCGUUAAUCUUAAUUAUUGAUUUGCUUUUCAACUUACGAAGAUAAAAUUUUGUUAUCCAAGUUUAAAACUUCAAGAGGGAUUGGCUCGGAGUCCAGAGACAGCUAGCUGUGAUCCACACGUGUGCUUAUAGAUUCUUUCCGCAUAUUUAUGUAGGAGUGUAGGACCAUUCAUUACAAAAUAACGAAGAACAAAUUAUCUCAAAAGUUUUUUUUACACUAAAUGUAUCCAUUGUUUUAUUGGUUUUGAGACAUAUUUUGUUGUAGCCAACUUAGUGUUAUAAACCAAAUGAUGAUCGACCAUGGACCAGUCCGUACUGCAGGCUCAAUCCGGGACAUGAUAAAGACAACCAGAGACUAUAUGUUUAUCUAGUAUAUAUUCCAUGUAUAUCUGUAACAUAGUGUUUAUCCUUAUCCUUAUCUUGUUAGGAUAAACAUAACCUUAUGACGGUCUAAUACCUUGUAUAUAUAUGGACCUUCUGGUCGACAGUAAUAAUAACAGAUGUAUUUCCCCAACACUUCAUUUACAACACGUUAUCAGCACGACGUUGCUCUCAUAAACCCUAACCCUAAAAACCAGAAAUAAAUCCGAGCAGUAAAAACCCUAAUUCCCGACGAACUUCAAACAACUCUAUCCCUCAACUCCGGUGGAUACAGACGACGAGCCAGAUACCAAAUUAAAGCUCUUGACGAGACGAAGCCAACGCCGCUAACCCCGCAUCAAUCGGAGUUCGGACGCGCCCUCACGCUCAGCUACAAUACAGGCGGAAAAUUUGUUCCAAAAAUCAAAAUCUCUCUCAACCAUAUACCAGUCUCCUAUUCCAACAAGCAGCAACAAAAACAAUAAUUCCUAGCAAUCCAUCGGCUAACUAGGAAAAUCUCUAACUGAUAGACCGAUCAACCCAUCAAAAGUCUUCAGGUAUCAUCGAAAACUCAUAUAAAACCCAUAAAAGUAUUAAAUACCCCCAUCCGCAGCCAUGUAGCUAUAUAUAGCAACAUGUUUCUGCAAAUAAAAUAAAACCAGAAACCAUAAACUCUUUAAAAUCUCGAACCUGAACUUGUUUUGAACCUGUUCUUAAUCUAAAACUGAUUUUAAAAUUGUUUAAAACUUUUCCUGAUGAUCGUUUCACAUUAGAACUGUUUAGGAUUAAAAGUUAAACAAUUUUUUUAAAAUCUGACUGAUAUAUGUUGAAAGAAACCGACUGUUACUUGCUUAAACUUAUCAUUAUUGUCCUGUUUAAUGUUCUUAUCUGAUCUGAAUCAACUAGAACUGUUAAGGACUGCAUGUUACAUAAUUUUUUUUGAAAAUCUGAUCAUGGUUUCAUAAAUUAAUCCGAGGUUUUACCUCCUGUUCUUGUCUGAGAAAUUUGUUUUCCUGAUGAUUGAUAACGACUAGAACUUGAUUAGGAUUGAAAAAAAAAUAUUUUUUAAUAUUUAAAAUCGAAAUAUCAGAGAUAUAUCUGAGAAAAUAUAUUUAUUUUUUAAAUCGAAAAGUAUAUAAUAAAUUGCUUGAAUAAAUCAAAUCUUCCUGAUUUUUUUUAAGUCACAAUAAUUUCUGAUUUGAUUAUUUUUCGAAAAAAUAAUAAUAAAUAUAUGGUAUAUUUUUCGAAAACCCUAACCUGAUUUCAUGAUUGAAUUGGUUUGCUUGAUUGCAUAUUGUUUGCAUACUAAUAUUGCAUACUGAACAUGAAAUCUCGACUGUUAGGGAUAUAGAUCAUUCAUAGUUUUCAAGCAAUCUGAUCUGAACUGAAAAAAAAANNNNNNNNNNNNNNNNNNNNNNNNNNNNNNNNNNNNNNNNNNNNNNNNNNNNNNNNNNNNNNNNNNNNNNNNNNNNNNNNNNNNNNNNNNNNNNNNNNNNNNNNNNNNNNNNNNNNNNNNNNNNNNNNNNNNNNNNNNNNNNNNNNNNNNNNNNNNNNNNNNNNNNNNNNNNNNNNNNNNNNNNNNNNNNNNNNNNNNNNNNNNNNNNNNNNNNNNNNNNNNNNNNNNNNNNNNNNNNNNNNNNNNNNNNNNNNNNNNNNNNNNNNNNNNNNNNNNNNNNNNNNNNNNNNNNNNNNNNNNNNNNNNNNNNNNNNNNNNNNNNNNNNNNNNNNNNNNNNNNNNNNNNNNNNNNNNNNNNNNNNNNNNNNNNNNNNNNNNNNNNNNNNNNNNNNNNNNNNNNNNNNNNNNNNNNNNNNNNNNNNNNNNNNNNNNNNNNNNNNNNNNNNNNNNNNNNNNNNNNNNNNNNNNNNNNNNNNNNNNNNNNNNNNNNNNNNNNNNNNNNNNNNNNNNNNNNNNNNNNNNNNNNNNNNNNNNNNNNNNNNNNNNNNNNNNNNNNNNNNNNNNNNNNNNNNNNNNNNNNNNNNNNNNNNNNNNNNNNNNNNNNNNNNNNNNNNNNNNNNNNNNNNNNNNNNNNNNNNNNNNNNNNNNNNNNNNNNNNNNNNNNNNNNNNNNNNNNNNNNNNNNNNNNNNNNNNNNNNNNNNNNNNNNNNNNNNNNNNNNNNNNNNNNNNNNNNNNNNNNNNNNNNNNNNNCUCACUAAUGGUACAUCACCCACGUCCAGCCUAAAGCUUAAGGACAUUAUGUAUAUAAAUAUUGAUUUACAUCAGGCCAUACAUGUAAGCAUAGACAUUCCCACCUCUGAAUGAUUAAGGGUCAUAAACCAGACAUAUACACAAACCAUCUUAAGAAAAUACGAAUAUUCCACCACAUAUAUGUGUGCCAUUUAAGAUGGAACCUCAGAUGAGGAUUGGGAAUAUAUAUUAGAUAAAUAAGACUUCCUCCACGAAACUAUAAUGUAUCUUGUGCCAAACAAGGAUGAUUUAAUCAAGUGGUCAAGAACACAGAUUACAAAAGAUAGUAAUCUGAUUAUCCAACUUUGAAAGGAGAAAGUUAUCAGGCUGAUAAAGAGUAAAGAGUAAAAGAGAAAUAUAAUGGUAUCAACCAUAGUUGUCUUGGCAAGAUCCUCAGACCAAAGAUUAUGAUCUAGACGUUCUAAAAGAAUAUGAUCAAAAGAUAUAAAAGCUAGCAGAAAUAUAUGCCAGACACACUGAACCGAAAAGAAAAAAUGACUAUGUCAUACCAGCUUAAGCACCACGAAUUUGAUGUCUAAGAGACACAAUCAAGUUGCUACAAUGUCUAUUAGAGAUAGACAAAUAAGUUCCAAAUAAUAAGGAACCUCGGAAAGUAAUGAAAGGUGCUCAGAAUCGUACAAAUCCGAGUUCAUAAGAGAAACCAGUCCAGACAGAGAAAUAAGGUUGCACAACCACACGUCUAAGGUACCAGACCAUGUAGUUUGGGACGCCAAACUGCAAGGUAUAAAGGUCUUGGAUAAUAAGAUCUCAAAAUCUAAUUAGAUCAUGUCUGGAACAGUAUGAAACUAAAGAUAAAGAGUGUUAACACCAAAGAUGUAUUUACAUACAUAAGAGCUCAUAAAAGAUUGUAGUACUUGGGAUUUGAAGGAUAUAACCUGAGGAUCAUGAACCCACGUAGAGUACUCAUAAAACCUAUAUAGGGACGUGGGGUGUUCAAAAAAUUCAAAGUAAUUAUAAGACAGAUGGGCGUAGUAACCAUGUACAUACAGAAAAGCCAUCUAAGAAAGAAACCAGUGAAUGGAUCUUGUGAGAUAAGAAAUUCCGUGAGAUUAAAGGACAUGACCACAUGGUAUAGUGUGUCCAUGUUCCUUCUAAAUAACGUUCAAGUAUCUAAGUGAGAACCAUAAACCAGGAUAGUGACCAGAAGGAUGUCUGGUCGUGGCUUAAUGAUUAUAAGCAUUGCUAAAGCAAGAAAAGAUCGAUAACCAUGUACAAAGGACAUGAGUGUAUGACUGCGAAUUCAUUGUGUGAUGAGUUUCAUUGCAGCAAAUAAUUAUUGAUGGUAUGACCUUAGACACUCAUGAUUAUGAACGAAUAUAGACAAGGUCUAUAGCUCAACAUGGAUCGACAAAAGAAAAUAAAGAAUGAUUGGUUACAAUGGAUAAAGCCAUUGGCACAUACGAAGAGAUAUAAGUCCGAAUGAACGAAAGAUAUGAAGUAAAGUUGUUCGUAUGUGUUCUGGGUCUAUGACUCAAUAUAUAUUGAAUGUCCACGUUUUGGGAAAGCCAUAUAACCAAAGAGAAUCCGUGGGAUAUGAAAAAGGACCUGCAAGUAAAGUUUUAUUGCAGAUUAUAAAGUCCAUCCGAGCACCGUUUGAAGCACCAUCAGUUCAUCCAAAACUUACAAGUUCAUUCAAGGAGAAUCCAGCUGAUCAUCUUCACCAAGUCAUAGGCAACUUCCAAGAAGACUCGGAUACCAGAUGGGAAUGCGUCUACUACAGUGAUGCAUUCAUCUGGGGGAGUUCAUGUGUUGUACUCUUUUUCCUGUCCUUAGUUUCCCAUUUUGUCACAUUGGUUUUGGGGUUUUUCAGGAGAGGUUUUAAUGAGGCAAUAUUAAGCAUGCAACGAACCUGUACCGGAUGUGUCGAUCAAAGGGGAGUGUUAUAAACCAAAUGAUGAUCGACCAUGGACCAGCCCGUACUGCAGGCCCAAUCCGGAACAUGAUAAAAACAACCAGAGACUAUGUGUUUAUCUAGUAUAUAUUCCAUGUAUAUUUGUAACAUAGUGUUUAUCCUUAUCCUUAUUUUGUUAGGAUAAACAUGACCUUAUGACAGUCUAAUACCUUGUAUAUAUAUGGACCUUCUAGUCGACAGUAAUAAUAACAAAAGUAUUUUCCCACACUUCAUUUACAACACUUAGCAUAUAAUUCGAGUUUCUGGCGAAUUUAGUUGUAGUCUGUUAACCAGGUGAUCUAUCCGUCUUCAUAGCAGGUGUCCACUGAUCAGAUGGAGAAACUUUUUUUACUAUUUUGUCGAUUUAUUUGAUCAGCUGUCCAAGCGUGUAUUGGGAUUCUUCACCGCUUUGGCAGUUUGGCGAUUCCUCUCUCCAAAUAUGAUUAAAAACAUGUAUCAAAAUAUAUGUCAAAUUUUCUAAUGUUAGGUUGUCGAUAUAAACGAUAGUAUAUAGUCCCAAUCAGACAUGUAAUGCUGCUGCAGCCUGCAGGAGGCCACCCGCCAAAAAUACAAACCAGACCUGUUUUGAAUAGUGAUAUGUAAAGAACAUAUGGCUUUAUAUUUUUUUUUUGCGGAUAUCCACAAAAAACACAUUCCAAUAGCCGGCAUGCAGUCCACUGUAACAUUCAGUCUCCAGUUGUUAGACGAUUGUAUAUGGCUAGCCAUAUUUCAAAGGAGAAUUUUGGUGUUAAAUGCUUGAACCAAACUUCUUAACUCCAUACUUUGAUAUUACUUCUUAACUGCUUGAACCAAGGAGUAAUAUAAUUGCUAGCUAUUUGUUGUACACUCUCGAUCAUAAAUUUUUUGAAACCAUUAAAACUGUUAUAUUAAACACAUCGACUAAAAGCUACUACUUCUAUAUGUUAUAGGUUUAUGUUAUCAUGUGAUUCAUGUCCAUAUAUAAAAGCAUCACCUCGAACCCAAGAAAAAAACCAUCACCCAAAUUAGUUUCUGAAGUGGGCUUACAUCCGAUUAAUAUAAGGCCAUUUAAAACUUGAAGAUAUUAUUCAUGCAUAGUCCUGAGAGAAUAGGCUCUAUGCUAGAUCAUUAGUAGAUGUAUAGACACUGUUAACAAAAAAAUAUAUGUAUAAACAAAUAAAAGAAAGAGAAUAACGAAAAUCGUAUAUGUUAACUAGGUCUGAGACGGAUCGGAUAUCCGGACAAUUUUAAGGUAUCCGGAUCCGGAUUUUUAUUCGGCGGAUCCAUAAUUUUACUAUCCUUAUCCGGAUCCGAGGUUCUCGGAUAUCCGGGUGUCGGAUAUCCUUCUAAAAAUUGUAAUAUCCGGUGGAUAUCCGGAUCCGGAUUUGGAUCCUUAAAAAUAAAUAAAAAAUAAUAUUAAUAUAUAUAAAAUAUUAAAAUAAUUUUAAAAUAAAAAAUAUAUAAUGUUUUUAAUUAUUUCUAUGUAUAAUAUUACAAAAUUUACGUAAAAUUUACAUAUACUAUUAUAAAAAUGAAAAUAUAUUAAAUAAAUUUAAUUUUUAUUUAUAGAUAUUACUAAUUUUGAAAUAGUUAUAAAUAAAACUUACGGAUCCGGAUAUCCGGACGAAAAAAUCAAGAUAUCCGGAUCCGGAUCCGGAUCCGAUUUUGACGAUCCAACAUUUUAGUAUCCGGAUUCGGAUUCGGCCCCUCCGAAUAUCCGAAUUUUCGGAUCGGAUCCAGAUCAAAUCUCGGAUCGAAUCCGGAUAUCAGAUAAAAGUCUCAGACCUAAUGUUAACCACAGGAGAAGGUCGAGUUCGUGUACACAGAGCUGCUUGAUAACCCCAAGCAUCCUUACUUCUACUCUGUUUCCCUCCAAGGAAUCUCCGUCGGAAAACGGAAUAUUCCUGCUCCGGCGAUGCUCAGACGAGUGGAUAGAAACGGAGGCGGAGGAGUGGUCGUUGACUCGGGGACGACUUUCACGAUGCUUCCGGCGAAAUUCUACAAUUCGGUGGUGGAGGAAUUUGAUAGCCGGGUCGGGCGGGUACACGAACGGGCUGAUCGGGUCGAACCGAGUUCGGGAAUGAGUCCUUGCUACUAUCUUAACCAGACGGUUAGAGUUCCGGCUCUGGUUUUGCAUUUUGCCGGGAACGGAUCCAGUGUUACGCUCCCCAGGGGAAAUUAUUUUUACGAAUUUAUGGACGGUGGAGAUGGGAAAGUCUGAGACGGAUCGGAUAUCCGGACAAUUUUAAGGUAUCCGGAUCCGGAUUUUUAUUCGGCGGAUCCAUAAUUUUACUAUCCUUAUCCGGAUCCGAGGUUCUCGGAUAUCCGGGUGUCGGAUAUCCUUCUAAAAAUUGUAAUAUCCGGUGGAUAUCCGGAUCCGGAUUUGGAUCCUUAAAAAUAAAUAAAAAAUAAUAUUAAUAUAUAUAAAAUAUUAAAAUAAUUUUAAAAUAAAAAAUAUAUAAUGUUUUUAAUUAUUUCUAUGUAUAAUAUUACAAAAUUUACGUAAAAUUUACAUAUACUAUUAUAAAAAUGAAAAUAUAUUAAAUAAAUUUAAUUUUUAUUUAUAGAUAUUACUAAUUUUGAAAUAGUUAUAAAUAAAACUUACGGAUCCGGAUAUCCGGACGAAAAAAUCAAGAUAUCCGGAUCCGGAUCCGGAUCCGAUUUUGACGAUCCAACAUUUUAGUAUCCGGAUUCGGAUUCGGCCCCUCCGAAUAUCCGAAUUUUCGGAUCGGAUCCAGAUCAAAUCUCGGAUCGAAUCCGGAUAUCAGAUAAAAGUCUCAGACCUAAUGUUAACCACAUGCAUUAUACGUGGGAAUGAAUUUGGGGACUGCGCAAUAAAGUUUCAGUCUUGCUAAUAUUUCCAAAGACGAACUUAAAUGUAAAAACACAGACCUUUUUCAAGUCUUCAGAUUUUUUUAACAAAUUAGAGGAUGACGCGUAUCCUUUUUGUCGUUUUCACUGAGAAUAUCUUCUUUCCCUCUCUCGUUGUUACCUUGCCCUCCCACAAAGAUCCAAAAAAGAACUAUAAAGCUUAAAAUCUCAGAGAGCCAGAUAGUAUUAUAAAGGAGAAGAAACCCUAACAUUAAGUAGCUUUGAAACUCCCUCUGCUGAAUCAUGGCCGCCGUCCCUGAAGGAUAUUACGAAUCCACAAACCCGUUUCUUGUUCACGGGCCAAGAGGUUUUGAAGAGUUCAAGUUGCUUGAGAGUUUUGGAAUGUACGUGAGGAUGGACUUUCCCGGCGUUCCGGAGGAGUGCGUGAGGGUUUCUCUAGACCCGGCGAAGAAAUCUUUGGCUGUCUACGCAGAUGCUCCCAAGGUCCACAGAUACGACCUCGCUCAACGGAAGUACCUCUCCGUCAUCGAAACCGUCUGCAGAUGCUGCGUGUUCGACCGCUUCACUUACCAAAUGUCCGACGGUGUUUUAAGGCUUCAUCUCUCCAAGUCUAACAUCGAUCCAAGUCACUCUUCCUGCAUCGGUACGUACGAGACUUUUCUUUUUCUAUUUUCUUGUUCUUCAUACAUUUAAAUUUAUUAAUUAGAGUAUAGGUGAAUGAUUAGAUUAAUUUUCUGAUUCUUUUUGUUUUCUACAGAGUUUAAAUAUUCUGCUUUCGGAGAAGGUAUUUUCACAUUUAUUCCAUUUCAAUCGAUAUUUUGAAAAAAUGUGUUUACUCAUUUGCCUGUAUUUGUGCUUGUAGAUAUCUCUGGCAAUGACAUGGACGAGUCGUAUGAGUCGAAGCAGCUCGAAGACGGCAAUUAACAUUUUAGUAUCCGGAUUCGGAUUCGGCCCCUCCGAAUAUCCGAAUUUUCGGAUCGGAUCCAGAUCAAAUCUCGGAUCGAAUCCGGAUAUCAGAUAAAAGUCUCAGACCUAAUGUUAACCACAUGCAUUAUACGUGGGAAUGAAUUUGGGGACUGCGCAAUAAAGUUUCAGUCUUGCUAAUAUUUCCAAAGACGAACUUAAAUGUAAAAACACAGACCUUUUUCAAGUCUUCAGAUUUUUUUAACAAAUUAGAGGAUGACGCGUAUCCUUUUUGUCGUUUUCACUGAGAAUAUCUUCUUUCCCUCUCUCGUUGUUACCUUGCCCUCCCACAAAGAUCCAAAAAAGAACUAUAAAGCUUAAAAUCUCAGAGAGCCAGAUAGUAUUAUAAAGGAGAAGAAACCCUAACAUUAAGUAGCUUUGAAACUCCCUCUGCUGAAUCAUGGCCGCCGUCCCUGAAGGAUAUUACGAAUCCACAAACCCGUUUCUUGUUCACGGGCCAAGAGGUUUUGAAGAGUUCAAGUUGCUUGAGAGUUUUGGAAUGUACGUGAGGAUGGACUUUCCCGGCGUUCCGGAGGAGUGCGUGAGGGUUUCUCUAGACCCGGCGAAGAAAUCUUUGGCUGUCUACGCAGAUGCUCCCAAGGUCCACAGAUACGACCUCGCUCAACGGAAGUACCUCUCCGUCAUCGAAACCGUCUGCAGAUGCUGCGUGUUCGACCGCUUCACUUACCAAAUGUCCGACGGUGUUUUAAGGCUUCAUCUCUCCAAGUCUAACAUCGAUCCAAGUCACUCUUCCUGCAUCGGUACGUACGAGACUUUUCUUUUUCUAUUUUCUUGUUCUUCAUACAUUUAAAUUUAUUAAUUAGAGUAUAGGUGAAUGAUUAGAUUAAUUUUCUGAUUCUUUUUGUUUUCUACAGAGUUUAAAUAUUCUGCUUUCGGAGAAGGUAUUUUCACAUUUAUUCCAUUUCAAUCGAUAUUUUGAAAAAAUGUGUUUACUCAUUUGCCUGUAUUUGUGCUUGUAGAUAUCUCUGGCAAUGACAUGGACGAGUCGUAUGAGUCGAAGCAGCUCGAAGACGGCAAUUUAUACGUGCGUUUAGACAUGCCAGGCGUUCCCAAGGACAACUUCACUGUCUCAGUGGCUAACGGCAAAGUAAACGUGACUGGUCAAGCUCCUGCUCUUGACCACGACUCAGGUUCUCGGUUGUACUCUAGCGACGUGGUUAUCCUCUCCGGUCCUGUCGACUUUCCUAGCCAUCAGGUCAAAACCAUCAUCAAGAACGGUGUCAUUAGACUCCUCAUCCCUCCCGUUUGAUAUCAUUAAUUAUGAUGACGUGGCUAAAGAUAUGUUUCUUUCUGUUUGUUAAGUGGACCUAUUUUGUUGGGAUUGAUUAAUAUUAGGAUCAAUGAGUUUGGAUAUAUUCCAAAAAGAAACAUUACUUCAAUUUGUGUAGCACUCUUAUCUUUUUUUUUUAUAUGAAUAUAUGUCUAACCAAAUAAAAACAAUAUGAUAAUAAUUAUGAACAAAUGAAAAGUGUAUUUUAUGUGUGCCUCAAGGCUGCAUUUACGAAGUCUACGAUAAAGCUGAAAACUUACCAAAUUUAGGCAAAGACCAACUUUGUUGUCUAUCUUGAUACAAGACAAAAACCUCAGAGCUUUCACCAGUGUAGAAACGAAAAGAUGAAAUUAAUAAAACUUAUACGUUUGUAUAUUAGUGGUAAUUAAUAAGAAAGAUGAUAUUUUCGUGUCACUGGAAACUGUUGAGGUGAACACGCAUCCUAGUACUAUCAUAUAGAUCACAUUCACAAAUGUAAAGUUAACACGUGUCAUAAGAGGGAUUGGUUGUCAUUUUCACCUGACAACCUCCCCAUACAGUCUCCAAAACCUCUCUAAAACCCUAGAGACAGUGAAAGAAAGAAAGAGAGAGAUCUCCAAAAAGAAAAAACACUAAAAUCCUAAUUAAAAACAGGAAAAUACUUAGCUGCCUAAGACCAUGAUUAUCGGGGUGCCUUAACCCUGGUUCUUAGCUUAAUUUUGAUUAAAAGAAAAACAAAAAAUUUUUUAAUCUAAGGAACGUCGCUUAAUUAAGCGUUACAAAAACCGUCGCUUGUGGACACGCGUCGUCCAACAACGAAGUCUCUAUCUCUCUCUCAUCCCUAUCUCUCUCGCGAAAGGAAGAAAGAUGCCGGUCUCGAUUCCGAAAUUUCUCUCGUGAUCUCUCCUCCAUGGAUGAUUCAGUCGGAGAUUCCCCCUCCCCUUCUUGAUUUCUCGUCGACUAUGAGAGAAUCGGCGUCUCUGUCGGUGCCUCCCCUCGAGGACUCCGCCGCUUUUUCGUGAUCUCUCUUUGACGACUCCGGAUCUCUUUGGUGAUCUCUCCUCCACGAUGAAUCACUGGACGUCUCUCUCUGUUGCUCUCCUCGAGGACUCCGCCUCUCUAUCUUAAUCGUCGAUUCCAAUACCAUAUAUCUCUCUCUCUCUCGACGACCGUUUGAGCUCGGUCUAAUGGAAAGGUAAAGCAACAAUUUUAUUUGCUCAAUAGGUCUUAAUCCUUCAUGCAUGUCUUAGAUUGUGCCUCUUAUAAUUGAUUUUGAUUUGAUUUUGAUUUUUUUGUUCUGCUGGUUUGGAUCUGUUGAUUUUGUCUCUUGUGUUUGUUUAGAGUUCGUGAUGAAUAUAUAUGUGAUCUGGUUCUUUGUGAUUUUUUUCUGUCAUUGGGAGAUGGUUGGAGCGUUGAAGACACACGAAGGUUCGUCAGACCAGAGAACACAUGAAGGUUCAUCAGACACAUGAAGGUUCGCCAGACCAGAGAACUACAAUUGCAACAGAGGUAAAUGCAUAUUUCUUUGCUCUUUUAAAUUGAUUGAAAGUGUGAUAAAAUAGCUGUGAAUAUUUUCGUUGGUUGUUUUUGAGAAAUGGUUCACAUAGAGGUUGAUUAGUUCGUGUAUCUGUUCACAUGAAUUGAUUGUGUAUCUGUUCUAAAUUGAUUAGUUUGUAAUAAAUGGUUAGCUUAUGGUUGCUAAUAAAUAUCAUCUGAUGGUUAGAUAGAAAUAGAUUUGAAGUGUUAUGAAUGUGUGUUAGAUAUAUGUCAACUCGUUUAUGGUUGGGCCGAUCUAUUAAACACAAUGCCUUUGCUUUCUCUCUUCUAUAAAGUGUUUCUUCUUCUCUUCUAUCUAUCUAAAACAAAGUUAUUAGCUUCAUCUCUUCUUUAAAUCAUCUCGGAUAUGGAUUCUCUUCCAAAUACGCUGAGGCAAAAGUUUGUUGAACUUCUAAACAGUCAACAAAACAUUGUCUUUGGUUUAUCUGAAGAUAGUCUCGAACUAUCUUCAUCUCAAAUCCCUCUUUUUUACUCGCAACCGAUGGAAGAUUCCAACUUUGUGGAAGGCACUCCUGCAGAGCGUCGAAAAAGGAGGCACUAGACGCCGGUAGAUGAUGUUGUGCUCAUUAGCUCCUGGCUAAAUACAACCAAAGAUCCAGAUGUAUCGAAUGAGCAAAAAUCCGGAGCUUUCUGGAAAAGGAUUGCAGCAUACUUCGCUGCAAGUCCUAAGGUGUAAGGCUGUGAAGUAAGGGAGGCGUCCCACUGCAAGCAGCGUUGGCACAAGAUUAACGAUCUAGUCAACAAGUUUUGCGGGGCAUAUGAAGCUGCAAGUAGAGAGAGAAGCAGUGGUCAAAAUGAGAAUGAUAUUCUUAAGCUAGCUCAUGAGAUUUUCUUCAACAACCAAAAAAAAAAUUAACCUUGAACAUGCUUGGAAGGAACUUCGAAAUGAUCAGAAGUGGUGCGAGCUUAAUACUUGUAAAGCCGAUGGAAGUGCAAAAAGGAGGAAGCUUGAUGAGGGUGCAAAUUCUUCAACCUCUCACGCGUCUGACAACAAUACUGGUGGAGCUGAUCAAGCAGCCACUCGGCCCCUGGGUGUUAAGGCAUCUAAGGGGCAUGGUAAGCAAAAGACUAAGGCAGAGGCGAAGUCGGCGUCUGAGUUUCAGAGCAUGUGGAGCAUCAAGAAGGAGGAUAUGGCCAUGAAGGAGAGGCUGUCGAAGAUGAAGCUGUUGGAUAGUCUUAUUACAAAACCAGAAGUGUUGCAUGAGUAUGAAGAAGCGCUGAAGAAGAAGCUUAUUUCUGACUUGUUGUCUUAAGCUUUGAUGCUUUUAAGUUGAUGUUGUCUAAGUCUAAUUAGGUUAAAUGUUUAAAUAUUUGUGUUUGUGUUUCUGUUUAAACUCUUUGUUGUUUAAAUCUGUGUUUGUGUUUCUGUUUCUUGUUCUUGUAAUGGUUAUUGAUUAUGGAAAUGCCUAUGUUUGUGUUUCAUGUUCUUGUUAUCGUUAUUGAUUAAGGAUGCGUUUGUUGUUCAUUCUGUUAGCUUAAAAAUUAUUGAAGUGUGCUCUCGUCUGAAGCUACUGUCACGGACUUGCUCUCAUCUGCAAUCAGGUAACUUUGAUCACUUGUUUGUGUCGUCUUGUGUCAUGGACAUAACUCUGAUCACUUGUUUGUAUCUUCUUGUGUCUUAUUGUCAGGGUGGAGAAGCUGCUUCUCCUCUGAAGCUUGUGUCACAGACACACUGUUUGUGGAGGCUGUUUGUGUCACGGGGAAGCUGUGUAGUUGUGUCUUUUUGUGUCUUAUUGUCACGGGGAAGCUGUGUGAUCCAUUGACUACUUGUGUCUUAUUGUCACGGGAAUUUUGUGUACUUGUGUCUUAUUGUGUAAAACUUGACAAGCUGUGAAGUUGUAUAUAAAUGUUGUAUUGCACAAAGAUUUUAUUCACAAUCUCAUCUUCUCUCUUCUCGUGUUCUAUAUAAAUUUGGUGUUCUGCAAACUUUACAAUCUCAUCUUCUCUCCUUUAUCUCUUUCUCUCCUUGAUCUAUAUAAGUUUGGUAUUGUGCAAACAUUACAAUAUCAUCUUCUCUCCUUGGUCUAUAUACAUUUUUAUCAACAAAAUCAUCUUCUCUCUUUUAUCUCCUUGUUCUUGUUUGAUAUAAAGAUUUUAAAAUUCUUCAUUUCCAUCAUAAAUUUUAUUCACAAAUUCUCCGUUCUUUCCUUUGUCUAUUCCCAAUCUCAUUAUCCAUUCUCUUCUUAAUCAUCACAAAGUAAUCAAUUUUUUUUUCACAUAUAUGGCAUCUUCCUCUCAUAACACUUUUGAGGGAGUAGCUGAUGCAAGUUUUGAUCAAUAUUUUGAUGAACAUUUUGAUCAAGCUUUCGAGAAUUUUGCCAUUGCUUCCGGUGAUCAAGACGAAAGAAAAAAAUGAAUUUAUAUCGAAAGAAAUCGAGAAGAAGGCGAUGUACGUUUAUGGAACGAUUAUUUUAGUGAAACUCCAACUUACCCUGAUAAUCUCUUCCGUCGACGAUUUAGAAUGAACAAACCAUUGUUCAUGCGUAUUGUUCAUCGACUCUCCAAUGAAGUUGAUUUCUUUCGCCAAAAGAAAGAUUGUCUUGGAAGGCUUAGUCUCUCUCCACUUCAAAAGUGUACAACAACCAUUCGUCUCAUGGCAUAUGGUAGUGCGGCUGAUACUUUUGACGAAUAUCUCCGACUCGGUGCAACUACUACUCGGUCAUGUCUGGAAUAUUUUGUGGAAGGAAUAAUAAAUUUAUUCGGCGAGGAGUACCUAAGAAGACCAACACCGACUGAUCUUCGACGUCUGCUUGAUAUUGGUGAACAUCAUGGAUUUCCCGUGAUGAUAGGAAAUAUCGACUGUAUGCAUUGGUAGUGGAAGAAUUAUCUCACCGCUUGGAAAGGUCAAUAUUCACGUGGUUCGGGAAAACUAACAAUCGUUUUAGAAGCGGUUGCUUUCUAUGAUCUAUGGAUAUGACAUGCGUUUUUUGGACCUCCAGGUACCUUAAAUGAUAUCAAUGUUCUUGAUCGCUCUCAUGUUUUCGAUGACAUAAUAAAAGGUCAAGCUCCGCAAGUCACUUUCUCUGUCAAUGGAAGAGAGUAUCAUUUGACUUACUAUCUCACCGACGGUAUUUAUCCGAAAUGGACAAUUUUUAUCCAAUCUAUUCCAAUACCACAAGGGCCGAAAGCGGUUUUAUUUGCUCAACAUCAAGAAGCGGUCUGAAAAGAUGUGGAGCGUGCUUUUGGAGUCUUGCAAGCUCGCUUUGCCAUCGUUAAAAAUCCAGCACUUUUUUGGGAUAAAGUCAAAAUUGGAAAGAUUAUGAGAGCAUGUAUCAUACUCCAUAACAUGAUAGUAGAAGACGAACGAGAUGGAUACACUCAAUAUGAUGUUUCAGAGUUCCAACAAGGAGAAGGCACCAGAGGUUCACAAGUGGAUCUCACGUAUUCUACAGAUAUCCCAACAAAUAUCGCCAAUAUGAUGGGCGUUCGAACUAGAAUUCAUGAUAGACAAAUGCAUCAACAACUGAAAGCUGAUUUGGUUGAACAUUUAUGGCGUAAAUUCGGACAAUAUCAAGACAACAACUGAGUUCGGAUGCUUCUUUCAAAUUAUUCUCGUUUAUUUUACUAAUCUUUUUUGUAAUGUUUUUUUAAAUCUAUGUUUAAAACGUUUUCUUUUAAUAUGUUCUAUUUAAUAAAUAAUUUUUAUCUUUAUAAAUUUUUAUCUUUAUAAAUUUUUAUUUAAAUAAAUUUUUUAUUUUUAAGAAUCCCAAAUUAAGAAACCUAUCAUUGGAGCUCUAAAAAUAGGGGUCUCUUGACUAAAAGUUCUUAACCAUUAUUAAUUACUAAAAGAUCAUUAAGAGACCCAUUUGGGUCUUUAGGGUUCAUGCCGGUCUUAAACAUUGGUCCCAUUUGACCCAAAAAAAAACAUUGGUCCCAUCCCUUAAUGUCAAGUUUAAUUUUUUUGUUAUUAUUCAAAUUAUUAAUCGUUAUGAUAUAAUCAUAUAGACAUAAUUAACCGUACGUGUAUAGUAAUGAGUUUGGUUAAUAAACGCAAGGAGCAUUGUUUCACAAAUAAGAAGUGGACGCGUGCCCCCUUCCCUAGCAGUUUUUGUCGUUUUCACCUGACAAUAUCUUCCUUCCCUCCUCGUCGCCUUGUCUCCCAUAAAGAUCAGCGUGUGAGAGAGAGAGAGAUUUAUAAAGGAGAAGCAACCCCAAUAUCCAGUUGCUAAAAACCUCCAUCUGUUGAAUCAUGGCCGCCGUUCCUCUUCCUGCCGUCCCUCAGUCUCCCGGUAAACUUCUUCUAAAACCAAUAAGAAGCUCAAACUUAUGCAGUUUUCUCGUUUACUGAGAUUUUUUUCACUGAUAUUUCUUUUCCGUGUUUGAUUGAUAGCAGAAGGGUUUUACGCAAUCAACAACGAGUUUCUCAUGAAUGGGCCAAAAGGGUUUCAGGAGUACAAGAUGCUUGAGAACGAUAUCAUGUUCGUGAGAAUGGAUUUUCCCGGCGUUCCAGAAGAUGGCGUUAGUGUUACUCUUGAACCCUCCAAGACCCUUGUGAGUGUCAGCGCCCACGCACCCAAGGUCCAUACACACGACUUCUCUCACCGGAACUACCUCAUCAUCACCGGACUCGUAUGCGGAUGCUGCGAGAUCUCCGGCUUCACCUACCACAUGACCGACGGUGUUCUCAGGCUUCAUCUCUCCAAGACUAACAUCCUCCAUCCUCAACGCUCUUCCUGCAACUGUAACCCAUUAAUUAUCUAUUUUAGUUUAUUAUAUAUACCGAAUCAUUCAAAAUUUUACUUUAUUUAUAUCUUACAAUUAAAAAUAAACUGAGUUACGUUGUUUUUUUGGUCAGCGUUUCUCGGUGGCAUACGUUUCAGAGGAGAUGGUAAUUUUAUUUUAUUUUCUUUUGAACUUUUUCUUACACUUUGUAAAUGUUUUUACCGUACUCUCCUCUAUAUAUGUGUGGUCGCAGAUCUCUGUCGAUGUCCUCAGAGGCUUCCCUAUAACAGGGAUCCUUAUCGUACGUGUUAAUUUUUAAUUAAUACUACUAUAUAAAUUAAUCAUAUUAUGAUUCAGUACUAUGUUUGGUUUAUUAAUUUGUCAUUGUGGUAAUUCCUAUGUGUGGAAGAGCAGACCCGGAUUUAACGGGUCCGUUGUUGAUUCCUCACCCGAAUGUGCGUCAAGGAACGACUAUGGCUUAUGAGUCAAAGCAGCUCGAGAGCGGCAGCCUAUACGUGCGUUUAGACAUGCCAGGUGUUCCCAAAGACAACUUCAACGUCUCCGUUUCGAGCGGGAGAGUCAAGGUGACUGGUCAAGCUCCUGCCGUUAGCCAUGACUCCGACGGUCGCUUCUACUCUGGUGACGUGGCUAUGCUUUCUGCUCCUGUUGACGUUCCUAGCCGUCCGAUCAAAACUAUCAUCAAGGAUGGUGUCAUUCGCCUCCUCAUCCCUUCCGUUUGAUGUGAAAAAACUCGUUCGCGUUUGAAAUAAUCUGUCUCCCGUGGUGGACCCCAGUUAUGUCGUUGCUUUGAGGAUUAUGUCAUUUUAUUUUAUGGACUUUAAUUUGGAUAUGUUCGCAACUGUUUUUUUUUAAAGCCCAUUCCCUUUAUGCACGAGUAGUGUUUUAACAACACUCGAUAUACAAGUUCAACACUACUUUGUUGAACCGUGCAAUAUACAAGUUCAACAAAGCUAGAGCUAAAACCGUAUGCUUCUCAGUUAUGGGAAUAUGUUGCUAAAGGUAUUCUGGGAUCUGCUUAUACUAAAGAUUGGUCUGAGAUACUGGUGAUUAUAUCGGAUGAGAAAAGGGAAAGAUGAGUAGAUUUUGUAUAAGAUAUGCAUUCCAGGUGGUGCUAUAUGCUGUGUGGAGAGAGCGUAACAAGCUAAGGCAUGGAGAGAAGCUGUUGCCUCUUCAAAUUAUCAAAAUACAGGUUGAGAAAGGAAUUAGAAACAAGAUCUCUUUGAUGAGAAUGGAUGAGGUGAAGGGUAUGGAGCAACUGAUGCAAUUUUGGUUUCUUACUAGAAUGUAAAAAGGAAGCUAAUAUGUAAGAAGGGGAGGGUAGUUGAUCUUGAGUUUUCUUUAUAGAAACAAAUGAUGCACUUGAUGUAUACAGGUUUUUUUGAAUGAAUCAAAAAAAAUAAAAAUAAAAAUAAAAUAAAAUAAAAUAAAACCGUACCAAUAAAUGGAAAAAAUGAGAGACUAAACAAAUCAGCAACACUCAAUUUCAUUACUCAAACUUCAACAAAACAAAAACAUCAAUCGAGGCAUUUCUCCAAAAAAGUUACCUUUUCUUUUUUGAAAUAAUGUUAAAUUUAUUCAAAAUUUUUUUUGUACAGACUGUUACAUUAACUGAAUGUUUUGAAAAAAGGAAAACAGAGACAGAAAACAAAGAAUCAUCUGUAGGAGAACCAAGUUUCCAUGGCCUUGUUAUACUUUCGAGCAUCCAACAUUCUCAAACUGGUUAUUCGAUUCCUAACCAGCUUGUCGAUGCGAGCGACCAAUACGGAUGUGGCCUUUGGCGUUUCACCAUGCCUUCUCCCAUUCAUUUCAUACCAAAUAGUGGAUAAGGUAGCUCCAAAAAGGUUACCAUUUAUAACAAAAACAUCAAAACAAAAACAUCAAUCUUAACAAAUUCAGUCUUUUUUUUCUUUCAACAGAGUUGGUUGAAUUAUUUGCAACUCGCAACUAUUUUUUAAUUCAAAUGGUAACCUUUUGGUGAAAUGUCAAAUUCACACCCAAUUAUUCCUUUAGCUGUGUGUAACCAUUUGCAUCUCAGACAAAGGGAUUUGUCUGCUAUAUAUAGCUCUAGCGAAAGAAAGAAAUAUAAUUUCUUGAGAAUGGCGCGUGGCUGAUGUGGUUGUUGUGGAUGCGUAGAGAGAAACUUAGUUGGGUGUUAUGUAGCUCUAUAUAGCGAUGUAUUAGUUGGUGACAUGCAGAAAAAUUGGUUGCUUGGGAAAAGGGAGAGAGGUGUAGGCUAGUUGCUCGAGAGCAUAGACAAUAGAUGAAGAUAAGGAAGAAGAGAGGAGAAAAAGAAACCGUUGUUAAUGUAAAUUUUACUUUUUCCAUGUCUCUUCCUCUUGAUCAUGCAUGUGUGUUAUUUCUUGUGGAUAACAAAGAGCUAAUUAACACGUUGAGUUCAUGUAAAAUGAUCUUCCAAUAGUUGAAAACAAGCUAGAACUAGUUGCAAAUUUGUAGUCGUCAAUAUGGAGACACGCCAGUUGUUUCUCUACACCGAUGCCUAUGGGGGAAAAUAAAAGCAACUUAAAAUCUAUAUGUGAUUGAUAGAGAACAGUCACAGAGCAGUUUGAACGGUGUUUCGCUUGCCGUUAAAAGCCCAUGUACGAGUUAACUAAGAUGAUUGAUCGAGUAAAUUAAACAUUAAGAGCCUCUCUUUUAUUAUGGAGUAGUGCUAAUUUUACAUUAGCCUCAAACAUCCUAGAUAAAACCUUACAUAUUAUUAUGAAACACGCGAUGAGGUGUGGUGUUGACAUAUAUCGACAACCACAUUCAUACACUCGAGGGUUUCGUUUGGAAUCUAGUAGGAGGGCCCAGGCAUGGUCUUCUGGAAGGGACAAACGCUAACUUGCGGGAUGUUGCAAACUUUAGGUAAGUGCGUAGCGGUCUGGUAGAUACGGCUCACCAUUUGCUGCUUUCCUUGCUGUUGUCCCUGUUGUUGAAUUUGUUGUUUAACCGCUUUGGAUGCUCCUUUCAAGGUUGGGCAAACGCAAAGGGGCUCUUCCUGGUGGAGCUCGUUACAGCACUGCUGGAGUAGAGGCGGUCUCUGCUGUGGACCCUGCGGGUUCUCCAUGUCGUCUUCAAAGUCAAACUCACCGUCGAGGGUCCAGCUAGGACCACCGCCAGACUGCAUUGCUUGCUUGUGGAGCCACUGCUGGCAAGCUCUUAGGUGUUGUGCUUGCUGAAACUCCUUCCUACAUUUUGGAAUCCUAAAUGGGCCGGCUGAGUUUGUGGCAUCAUCUUCGUCGAACUCGACGACCGUCCGGUAGAUGGAGGCAUUGGUGAGAAGGAAGAAGAAGGCGAGAGUUGCCGAGACGAGGAAGAGCUUGUUCGCCAUUCGUGUAUGUUUUUAAUCUUGUUUGUAUUGAUGAGUUUUGGUUUGAGUAAAGAGUGAAGCGGAUGAGUUAAUUUAUAGGCUAUAAAGGAGAUUUGCAUGGCGAUCACGUGUAAUAAUGCAUGCACGCAUGUGAUUGUAUGUGUGUGCUGUGAGAGAGAAGCUCUUAGGUGUUUGAAGGGAGUGACAAGUGGCGAAGAAAAACAAUUCUCCGCGGCUGCAUGCUAUGUGUAACGUGUAGCUAAUGUUCUGGCAUGGCAUCUUAUGAACGAUUCUUUUUAAAAACAAGGUAAAAACUUAACUUCAUAAAAUUAAAAAAAAAAACGUUUACUAAGUUGGUUUAAAAGGGGAUGAGAGUCUAUAAAUUUUGGAGGUAGUGCCGUUGGGAAUAUAAAUUGGGAGCUUAAUCAGAAUUAUAGAAGUUAAAGUUGAUUUAGUCACGGUCAAUAUAAAUUGGGAAUUUGAGUCAAAAUCUUCCAAAUUCGGAAUCCGUCUUGUUACACCCGGUGGAUAGGAGCCGAACGGUUUGAAAAUACUUGAAAUGUGGAUGCAGGUGCAGGCUGGUUUAAUUUUAUGUUGAAUGGAUACAUGUCAAUCGAAUUUGAGUUAUAGGUACACAUUUUACUCUGAUACUAAAAUGUAACAUUUGUCUCAAGAAUGGGUAGGUCAUCCUUACUCGAGAACGGUAUGCCAUUCACUUGAACGUAUAUCUCAUUCAACCCAACUCUAACACACAUUUCAUACCCAUGUCUAAAAUAAAGAAAAUUGAAGAAAAACGCUCAAUAGCGUCAAUCCUUACAAAUAUAAUGUACAUGGCAACCUCGCAUGAAAAUAGUAAUAAAGAGGAGUGAAUAAUAUAAAGUAGUCACUAAUUGGAUGACAAAGCAAAUGGAACCAUCCGAUAGAUGUUUUGAGAACAAGAGGUACAUUUGUAUAUAUGCAUUGGUUGAUACAUUUCUGCCAUCUGAAUUGUUUCUUCCUCAAAGAAGAAGCAUUCAGCCAAUAGUGAAAUUUAAAAUGUUGGAAAAAUGAGGAUGCAGUCAGAAAGUCCAGAAUAUAAGUGGUAACUGGUAACUGAAUACUUGCCUCAGAAGCAAGAUAAGAAACAUAAGUCUUUAAAGGAAUCAAUCACCGAUGAAGAAAGCUUAAGGAUUCAAGUCUAUAUUUGGCCACUAGAGACGUCCACGCUAGGCUUGUCUCUACAAAUGCAAACAACUUCAAGCAAGGCAGUGACAGGACAGAUAAUGCUUAGAGAAACCGUUGAAAAGAAGCAUAAAGCACAACUCCCUGAAUGAUCUAAUUAUUGGCUGAUCUAGGAUUUGCACUGACCAUAUUACUUCAAAGAUAGUUCCAUUUCAAGAAACAUAAACAGAGAACUUGAAUGAGAAAAUUCUAUUAUCAAAUUCAAAGGAUAUGAUAAUCAAAGAAAAAUUGCAAGAGUACAUAGACAAAUUCAGCAGCACAUAGAAAAACCCAAUUGAUCUGCGUAAAAACCCCAAUUCUCUCUUCUGUAUACAAAAUCACGAAUCCAUAUACUCUUCGAUUUUCAAAUCAAAACCAAAUAACCAGCCCUAAAUUAUAAAGUAAAAUCCCGAUCAAAACGGGUUAAUAAUUUUAUGAAAUAAUACAAAAAGAAACAGACUGAGAUCGGCAAAACCUCGACCAAUAAAUCAAACAACAUCGUCCUUCUUGGGUUUCCGAUAAUUCUUUUCGAUGUGCUCGACGAUGACGAGAACAGUGUUCGUCAGCUUCUUUACAUCGGGAACACCCCUCUCUACUACACUUUCUCCGGCGAAGUUUCAGGUUUGUAGUAGUGUUCUAUUUGCACUUGUAUAUGAAACUUUAAUGGGCCUUCAAUAUUUAUUUCUAAGGCCCAUAAUGGGCCCAAAACAAAUAAACCCGGCAUGCUCAUUCCCCUUGGUUACCACCCUUGCGUGCUUCUUGACCAAACCCAAAGUUGUUAGGGGUAAAAUACGUCAGAAACGUGAUCCCGGCAUAUCCGAGUAUCCUUUUUCCGAGGUAGUGUUAAGGUGCAGUAUUUCCCUCGUACACCGUCAUUAGAAUGAACGGUUAAGAUUUUCUCUCCAAGAUAUUAAUAAACACGUACCGUCAGAUACUAUUCUAAGCGUGCCACGUCAGCUGAGGAGUUCAGAUAUUAUCCCGCUCCAUCUGUAUACAAUCUUUUAUCCUUAUCGCGUAAUUUUUUAAAUGGUUAGCAGAAUUUUAGUAGGUUGCUUGAUUUUCGUUUUUCUUGGAUAUUCGGUUUGUUAAUUGUGUCGCUGUUUGUUAUCUUCAAACGAUAGCGUUGAGCUCUAGGAAAAGUGUGUUUGAUCGCAGAAAAGGCUUCGUCUUUUGUCUUGCAACAGGUUCGAUCAUGGAGUUCUUUUACCUUAUUGCGAUCUUGUACUUCGUUUUAGAUUAAGUUUAUGUUGAUCAAUCGAUUUAGGCUUUAAGGAGAGUCUCUACUAUGUCUUGUGAGAAAAAAGGGGGUUUCUGAAGUUUUUUGGGAUUUAAGACAUGAUCGACAGAUUAAAUGACUUCUCGGUUUGAUUCUGUUUUUGAUGGUUGUCUGAUUGGGGGGUUGUUAUUGUACAUGUAGGCUUAUAAGGAAUGGCAAAGAGCACAUUCAAGGAAGAGCAUGACCUAGGUUUGGAUCCUACCGUUUGUGUUUGAUUCUCAAGUAAACUUACUCACUUUUGGAUCUAAUGAUGAUUCUAUUUUCAGAGAAAAGAAGUGCAGAGGCUGCUCGGAUUAGAGAGAAAUAUCCAGAUAGGAUUCCGGUUAGUGCUCAGUGUUUUACAUUACCUAAACUCAUUUGUGAUUAGCAUAUUGUCUUCCUUUUCCAUGUUUGGACGAUCCCUUUGUGUUUAAGCUCUUGUUAUGUUUCAUGGCCCAGCAUCUAUCUGCCUAUAUUAUAGUUUUCCCUUUUUGUCUCUCUGUCUAGGUGAUUAUGAACUUAUCAUAUCUUUGCCUAUAGUUUUGUAGAUAACCAUCUGGCUUUAAAUAUACUCCUCCCAAUUAACAGUUGGUUAUCAAGUAAUCAACAUCUGAUUAGCCUCAUGCUUGUGCUAUAUAUAUAUAUAUAUGUAUAUAUAUUUUUUUUUGGCAUUGUAUCAACUGCUUUAUGGAGUUUUUUGAAUUCUACUGUCAAUAACGACGGUAAGAUUUCGAACUUGUUUGUUCUUUUUUGAAAUGUAGCUUUCGAAAACUUGGUUUUAACAAGUACUGCUUGGUAACACUUACGACUGAAUGGGUUGAUUUGCAUAGUUCAUAUUGGGAAGUGAUUAUUGAUUUUAUAUGGUUACUUAAAAGCCCCACUUGAGUGAUGAUUGUCACACUUUUUGUAUUUGUGUGGGAUCCAGGUGAUUGUUGAGAAGGGGGAGAAGAGUGAUAUACCAACCAUCGACAAGAAAAAGUAAGCAUCUUGAUUACUGUAAUCAAUGUACAUCUCCCUCGGACCUGGCCUGUGAUUGACAACUAAGCUUUUUUAUCCUGGAUGCAGAUACCUAGUCCCAGCUGAUCUGACAGUGGGGCAAUUCGUGUAUGUCAUUCGCAAAAGAAUCAAACUGAGUGCUGAAAAGGCUAUCUUUAUCUUUGUGGACAAUGUUCUUCCUCCAACUGGUAACACAGAUAACACCUACUGUAUUUCAAGACUUAUUAAAAUCAUUCUGAGACAUCUACUUUGGCAGGUGCACUAAUGUCUGCUGUGUACGAAGAGAAAAAGGAUGACGAUGGCUUUCUCUAUGUCACUUACAGCGGAGAGAACACAUUUGGAUCUCCAUAGAGAUCUCUUGCUGGAUAUUUCGUUUCUAUUUUACCUAUUUCGCCUGAGUAUUUCAUAUCUUAUUAUUAGUUAUCUAUGUACUACUUUCUCUAAGAACUUUAAGAUGGCCGUUAAUGUGUACAGAGAACAUAAAAAUAAUGUAGUAUAUAUAAUCUCAAAACCUACUUUGUCACGACUUGAUUGUGUUUUUUAUUUGACUUUCACUCAAUAAGCCGACAUAACAUGAUGCCCUGAUGUGCCACAGUAGUUACAGAGGCAAAAGAGUCUUAACUAAAUAGAACAGCAAUGGCCGGUUAUGGUACAAAAGGUCCCACAUUGUCGUUGACGGAGAGAGGAAGAGACGGUCGGACCAUGUUGCCUUGUUCUACUAACUCUCCACUCUGUCCAUGUUGAUUUUUGCUUCUUCAUGUUUAUUUGUCAAUCGUUAAAGCUUGCUCGAUUUAUGUAUUUAUGAGUGAUCCGUAAAGAUAUUAUCUCAUUCAAGGCGAGAAGGCCUCCUAACCAGUCACGUGAAACGUGAGACACGCGGUUGUGUCCUUAGGAAAAGAUAGGUACUUUGAAUAUUUAAGUGAAAGUUGAACGAAAAGGUUCAUAGCCAGUGUCUGUAAACUGAAUAGAUGGGGAUGUUAUCAUGUUAACGUAUGUAACAUGUCUAGUAGUGUCUUGAUAAGAAGAUGAAUGUCAUCUGAGUAUGACUUGCGAAUGUUACGUCAAACUAUUGUGUUAUAUGCUAAAUAUAUCUGAAUAAACUGCCGUGAAAUUGUACAAUAAAGAUGGGUUACGAGGGUAAGUAUAAGGUUUGCUAAUGGAAAAUGAGAGAUUGACCCCACACGAAGACUUAAGUAGACAAAAAGUUUGGCCGAUCAAGACACACCACUAUACAUCAAUAGAUACGUAUAUGUAAUGCAGAAAUGAAUGUGAAUAUGUUUGAAAAAAUGGACAAGAGAGAGAGAAGGUAAAAGAACAAGAGAGGAACAAGAGCAUGUUAUGGUAAUGAAGGACCCCCCCACCUGCAUUCAGUGCUUGUCUUUCUCUCUUUACUCUCUACAUUAACUUUCUUCUCACUACAAAUACUCCUUCCCUCUUCUCUUCUCUUCUCUUACACUUACAUUUGAAAAUAUAUUCGUCUUGCCACAUUAUAUAAGUAUUUAAGGAAAAAGAAGAAAAAGAGAGUCAUGUCUUGGUCUGUGAGGAGUGGAUUUGGGUUGGUAUUCUGUUUCAUUCUUCUGCUUUUGGCAUCCAAUGUUGGAUGUGCUAAUGCUCGUCGUCUAGGAUUUCACAAGCAUCAUCACAAGAUCCAAAAGGUUGCUUCUUCAGUACAAGACGUUGUCAAUGGUGGAGGGAGGAAGAGGGCUUUGGGUGGAGUAGAGACGGGGGGAGAAGUAGUAGUCAUGGAUUAUCCUCAGCCUCAUCGCAAGCCUCCCAUUCACAACGAGAAGGCUCACUGUACCUCUCUCUAUACAUCAUAUGAUCACGAGACUGUUACAUGCAUAUGCAUUCACCAUGACAUUCUUGAACUAUAUUCAUUACCAACUUCUUUUAUUCUCGCUUCCUUCGUUCUAUAAAACAAACAAGCUGCACCUCUCCCUUAUAAAUAUACUGUAUUUCAUGUGGAAGUAGCUUUAGUAGUACGUAACGAACAUUCUUCUGCUUAUAAUAUACUGUAUUUCAUGUGGAAUGAGCUUACUUUAGAACUCUUCACCACCAUUUUAGCUCUAAGUAGCUUUAGCAGUACGUAACCAACAUCAUCAUUACAGAGAAUACCAAUCAAUGUCGGUGAGAGGUACAAAACCCUCACUGCAGCUCAAAACUUAGCUAAUGGUAUAUAGUACCGACCGUAUACUUCUGGUUAAAUUAGGAUGGAAGACGGGAAUAAUAUUGUUAAAACAGACUCCAACUAUGAAUGGUUUCACAAAAUCAAUGAAUUCAGAUGUCCUGACGCCGAGCUUCAGAUCAAUCUCUCCACUGCCCAACCAGAAGAAGGCCGGUCUAAGUUUGGUUAUGGCCUCAUCCAGUAUCACCUAAAAGUUUCCCAAAACCCAUCCAACUCAUCAGUGCUGCUCAAAUGUCAACAUAGUAAACCAUAUUUAAUUUUCACAUCAAAAUCAAUCCAAAAUGCCUAGAAAAAAGUCUAAACAUGAAGCAUUUCAUACAUAUCUCCACGAAAGGAACUUCCAACUCUAUGUUUACUUUCCAAAUAACAUUUUGUUCUGCACAGACCGAACUGGAAUCCAAUGGUCUUUUUUUAUCAUGAGAACACAAGCAACAGAACUGAAUACUCAAAAGGGAAAACUCACUAAUACUUAAAAGAUGAUUUUGAUGUGUCACAGAUACAGUAGGAUGAAUAGUGUUUUGUCUGAAGUGGGCCACUUCUGCAUAAGAGAAGGAGGAAUACACAUCAAUGCAGUAGGGUAUGAGCCUACUAAGAUUAUUUCUGCACACUCAACAAAAAUAACGCCAUUUAAGUCUCUAACUGCUAGUAUUAGCAGUUCAAAGAAAGGGCUGUUUGCGAUAUAAUACGUGGCAGCGUCAGCGUCAGCAUUUUUUUUUUUUUUACACUUUUCGGUUAAGAACUGGUUUUUAUAUAUUUAAGAACCGGUUCUUAGCUUUUCUUAGUUAAAAGUUAAGAAAUGAUUCUUAACCAAAACUAAGAACCCCACCCUAAGAACCCGGGUUAAUCAUGGUCUAACGCUAGUAUUAGCAGUUCAAAGAAGGCAUCGGACCGUAAAAAAAGUGGUUCUAGUUUUUCAUAACGGCAAAAAUACUAAAGAAAAUGAGUGGUACAAACAGAAGCUGGCUCGCAAGAAAAAACUUUAACUAAUUUUGGGCCCGUAUCAAAUGCAAACAGUGUUAAAAUGUACCACACCUCCAUUACAGACUUAAAGAAACAACCCAAAAAAAAAACUAGCUGUCAGACCUUCGGGGCCUCUGUGACAAUUAGGACAGGCAUGUCUGGGAAACGCUUGGCAAGAACAUGUGUGGUAAAGGGAAAACUCUCUGUAACUAUUUAUGAACACAGAAGACAACACAAAACUGUUUGUCUAGGAGAAGAAAACACAAGUGGGCAGAGGUUAUUAUCAUGCUAAUCCUCAUAUCUUACACAUGUCUAAUAUAUAAUUAACAGUGUAGCAGCAAUGAGCAAGUACCAAGAGAUAAUCACCAGAGCAUGGCAAAGUCGGUCAGCUUCAGACAGAUUUGAUUCUACAACGGAAAUAAAAGUUUAAUCGACGUCUCCUCAGGAGCAAGUCUUACUACACAAAGAUUAGAGAAAGCCUGUCAACAAAGGGAAGCAAGGUAUAACCUUCAAUAUCACCAUUAUAUAAAAAAGAGUCACUAACGAUUAAAUCGUUUCUUUGGGAUCUUGCCCUCGUUUAGAGGAUAAAGAAAGUUCUUCGCUGCAUCAUGGACGUUAAAUCUAGCAGAGUACUGCCAUAGGAAAAAUAAAUAAAAAAAUAGUAGGUGGUCAGAUGAAUACAGUUAAAAAACGAAUUAAAUGUGAGAAUAUAUGCUAGGAACCAUUAGGAGCACCUAAACAACAACCACAUAGUAUUUAGAGUUGUUGCGAUCACUGCAAUCCAAAAUGUUUGAUGAAGCUUGAGUAUUAACCUGCAUUAGUAAACAUUUGGUGAUACGAAAAGAAACCACCUUCAAUAGCAUAGAUACGCUUUGCCUUUGCAACAUGAUUCAACAAGUGUAACAUGAAACUCUAUCCGAGGGCAAAAAAAAAAAAAAAAUGAAUCCAAGGAUGAAAAUGCUCUUGCAGAGAUGGUGGACAGAGGAAGAGCCGAGAAUGUUGCGGCGGGAUUCGAGAGUCCAGUCCUAGUAAUUGGGCUUUCAACUUAGUAGUAUUUGAGCGUCAAUCUAUUCCAUUAGAGUCUUAUGUGAUUGUAGAUUUUCUUCAAGUAAGUUGGCUCGAGCUCAACACCAACUAUCAAUACUUUAACCUUGGUCCAAAAAUCUUAUGUGACUGUAUAAGGUUCUCAUGUAACCGCAGCGGUUGCGAUUGCGGUUGUGGGAGUUUGCGGAUGCGGGUGGUUGUGAUUUUAAACGGGUUAAAGAAAUUUGUACUGCAGUUAGAAAUAUAGAAUCACAAGUAAUAAGAAGUCCUUCUAUUAUUCAAUCACAAAGUUCUCAAAUCACAAAUCACAAAUCACAAAUCAUAUGUUAUGCAACACAAUAUGCAUCUCCAUAUAUAUAGAACUAGAUAACUCCUAAUUCUAAUAGUAUUAUCACAAUCCAUAUUUCCUAAUUCUUUUAGAUAAUUAUAACUCAAUAAGAAAAGGAAACUUGCAAGUCAAGCUUAUCCAACAAUUUUCCCCGUAAGCUUGAAUUCGCCUUCAUCCACGUUCUUGACCCCGAUCAAAUUCCUCAUCUCGACAAACUUGGUUCUUCCCAAUGACUUGGUUAGUAUGUCUGCUCGCUGCUCACUUCCUGGCACAUGUUCCACUUCAGUUCGCUCUUUCUCAACACAUUCGCGUAUAAAGUGGAACCUUCAGUGUAUAUGUUUACUUCGGCCGUGAAAAACAUGAUUUUUCGUCGAGCAAUUGCAGAUUUGUUAUCCACCAUUAUCUUCACUUUCUCGCAAAUCUUUCCUAUGACCUCACCAAGUAAUUCUUGCAACCAUAUCGCUUGCUUUGCUGCCUCUGUAGCAGCCAUGAAUUCUGCCUCACAUGAUGAUAGAGCAACAAUCUCUUGCUUCUGUGAACACCACAUUAUUGGACUGUCAUCGAGAUAGAAUAUGUGACCUGUAGUGCUCUUACCAUCAUCUUCAUCGACGUUAUGAGAGCUAUCACUGAAUCCGACCACUUCUAACUUUGACUGCCUUGAAUACAAAACACCUAAAGAGACACUUCCUCGUACGUAUCUCAGUACUUGCUUUAAUGCUUCACCAUAUGAUUCCUUUGGUUCCUGCAUGUAUCGGCUUAGUAGUCCCACGCUAAAAGACAGGUCCGGACUAGUGUGCAAUAAGUACUGCAUGCAACCUAUGUUCCUUUUGUACUAUGUUUCAUCAACACCUCUUUCUGCAGGUGACUUGGACAGCUUUAUGUUGAAGUCCAUAGGAACAUGAGUUAAGUUGCACGUGCCCAUACCGCCUUCCUCAAGGAGCUUCAUCGCAUAUCGGCUUUGUUUCAAUGUAAUACCUCUGUCGAACUGAUGUACUUCAAUGCCCAAGUAAUAUGUCAAUCUUCCAAGGUCACUCAUCUCAAACACAAUUGCCAUACUUCUCUUAAAGUCAACGAAGACACCUGAUGAGCAAGUCAUCGACAUAUACUACCACGAUGAAAGUUCAACCCAACAAGAAUCUUGUUUAGCUUAGCAUUCCAUGCUCGAGGCGCUUGCUUCAAACCAUACAAAGCUUUUCUUAACUGAUAAACUUUCCCUUCUGGUCAUGCGAUCACAAAGGCCUCAGGCUGUGCAAUGAAUACUUCUUCCUUUAGUUCACCAUGCAAGAAUGUGGUUUUCACGUCGAGGUGAUGUAUCUUCCAACCAGAUGAAGCGGCCAACGAGAUAACUAGACGAAUUGUCUCGAGCAACUGGAGCGAAGACUUCGUCAUAGUCGAUCCCAUGUUUCUGAACGUAACCUUUAGCUACUAACCGCGCUUUGUAUUUGAUGAUACUUCCGUCGGCAUUACAUUUUAUUUUGAAUACCCACUUCAAUCCGAUCGGCUUCACUCCUUUAGGUAAAUCAACUAGGAUCCAUGUAUUGUUCUUCUCAAUUGAACUUAUCUUGUCUAAACACGCAUCGAUCCAGACCUGUAGCUUCCUUGCCUCUGUAAAAUCCCAUGGCUCAUCGUUGAUGACCAUGAGAAGGCGUUCACAUUCUUCAUCGGCUAAGAGGACGUAAUCUUCUAAGUACAAAGGUUUAUUGCUUACUCUUGUUGAUCGUCUUGGUUGUACCUGAGGUUGAUCAGUAUCAGCAUCAUCAUCUUCUUCUUCUUCUUCUAUUUCACUAGUUGGAAUAAUACUUUCAUUGUCUCCUACUGCUCUUGUCUCAUGAGUUUCUCUAUUGUCAUCGAGUGUCUUCAGUUCAAACUCAAAGGUACCGGAGUUAUCAUCUUCUCUCGCCUCCUCUGCUUUCCAAUUCCAACUUUGGUCUUCCUUGAAAACUACAUUGCGGUUUACGACAAUCUUUCUCUUCGAUGGGUCUAAAAGGCGAUAGGCUUUAGACCAUGUCUCUGUCCCGAGAUGCACUAGACGUCUAGAUUGAUCAUCAAGCUUCUUCCUUCCUGUUGUAUCACUUGUAGCAUAGCACACACACCCAAAUACUCAUAGGUGAUCGAGAUUUGGCUUCUUGUCCCGAAGAGCUUCAUAUGGUGUAUUUCCCUUUAGCGAUCUUGUCGCAAGUCGAUUGAUCAAAUAGGUAGCAUCUCGUACUGCCUCUCCCCACAAGAAUUUUGGAACACUCAUGUGUUUUAAUAUGCUUCUGGUCAUCUCUAAUAGCAUACAAUUCCGUCUCUCGACAACUCCGUUAUGUUGAGGAGAGUAUGGUGUUGUAAGAUGUCUCCUGAUACCAUGUCGAUCACAAUAGGUUUCAAACUCAUGAGAUAUGAACUCACCGCCUCUGUAUGUUCUCAACGUCUGGAUUGUAGCCUUUGUCUCCUGUUCGACCAUCACCUUAAAACGCUUGAAGCUUUCAAAAGCUUCACUCUUAUUUUUCAACAAAACGGUCCACAUAUAGCGAGAAAAAUCAUCAAUAAGAACAAAAAUGUAUCGUUUAUGUCCUGGGGUAGCAGGAGUAAUGGGUUCACAUAGGUCUCCAUGGAUGAGUUCAAUGGAUGGCUUGCUCGAUAUUGAGUUGUCUGUGGGUAUGGUUGUCUAGCUUGUUUUCCAAGUAAGCAAGACGCACAUGUUUCUUUUCCGACUGUGAUGUUUGGAAUGCCGGUGACAAGAUCUUUAUUUAUCAUCAGUUUCAUCGUCUCAACAUUGACGUGACCGAGUCGGGCGUGCCAUGUCGAUGAUUCAGUUGACGCUAUUUGCAAGUAUUGAAUAUUAUCCGUCUGCAAGGUGACUUUAUAAAGCCGAUUUCUUGAUCGUAUGCUCUCGAUCAUGAGAUGUCCACAGCGAUCGAAUAGCAUUAGCGUGUUACCUUUCAUUCGUACCUCGCAGCCAACUUCUGUGGCUUGUCCCAGACUCACAAUAUUGCUCUUCAAAGCUGGAAUAUAAUAUACGUCGUUUAGAACUUUUUUAGCACCUCCCGAGAAGACAAAUCGAAUGGAGCCCUUUCCUUUGAUAUCAACACGUGAAUCAUCCCCAAACCGCACUUUGCCUGUAAUUUUCUCGUCCAUUGUAUGAAAGAACAUACGAUUUCCACUCAUAUGGUUGCUUGCUCCAUUAUCAAGAUACCACAAGUUCUUGUUAUCAUGACCAGAAUCGUAGAUGCUCAGGUUGACCUUUUGUUCAUUGAGGUAGACUACCUCAUGCACUAUUAGCUCAUCGGCCUCUUGAGUAUCAUCACCUUUCUUCUCAAUAGUUUCUUGAAGCUUAAGUAAUUUGUCCGGACAUCAUUUGCGUAGUGUCCAAGCUUAUCGCACUUGAAGCACGCAAUGUGUGAAGCGUCCCAUUGAGUUCCUUGUCGAUAAGCGUCACGUUGUUGUUGAAAUUGCUAUAUCUACCACGACCUCAGCCUCUCCGCGAGUUAUAUCGACCUCCACGUCCUCGACCUCCGCGUCCUCCAUAUUGAUCUUGUUGUGACUCCGUAUUGGAGUACAACAAUUUGGUUUUAUCAUCUUGUAUGAUGAAAACCUCCCGAGGAGUCGACACUCUAAGUUGGUAAAGGGGAUAAGCCUUGCUGCUAUGAAACCGUAAAGCUUCAAAGACAAGGGAUGUGGAGUGAAUGGUCACACGAAGGAUGCGGAAGGCCAUCGAUAUUCCAACUCAAUGACCUAGGAUAUGACGCACCUAGACGACAAUGAGGAUGAUUCCCUGGAUAUGACGCACCAGGACGAAUCGGUUUGAUCCCUUGGAUAUGACUCACCAAGACGGAUCAAAAAUAUCAAUGGAUAUUACACACCAUUGAAAGAAAAGUGAGAAUCACUCUCAAGGUUCCAAAAAUAAUCACUCAAAGCUUAUUUUAUUUCAAUGGAGAUUACAACUUAUUUAUAAGAGAGUAAACUUGUUCACAAAGCUAUAUAUUUAUUACAUUGGAAAUCAUAAAACUAGUGCAUGGAGGAGAGAGAGUGUUUUUGAAACAAGCAUUCCUUGCAUGUAGGAGAGAGAAGCUUUUCAUGCAAUUAACCACCUAAUUUUCGUCACUCUCUUUGGACAGCAAAGAAACCAUUUGAUUUUGAAUCUUCUUGGGCUUGUAACUUGAUAAAAAUGGGUUGGACAUGUUAACUAACAUCUUGGGUCAAUUUCUGAAUGUCUUCCAUGUCCAUAGCUUCAUAUAUGAGCCCAAUAUCACAGCAUACUCCUCCUCUUCAAAAAGAUUUGUCCUCAAAUCUUGCUCUCCAAAGAAAGAAAAACUUGAACACACACUUCCAAAUGAUCCAGCAGAUUUGAAAAACAUAAAUAAUAAAACUCUUUUUUUUCUUUGUUUGUAGAAGAUGAAUAGAUGAGAAUGGUGGAUAACAGAAGUGAAUACCAAACUCAGAGUGUUGCUCUGAUACCAAAUGAUAAAAAAACCUCCCAAGGAAUACACUCUGAAAUUGGUAAGGGAUAAGUAAUGAGAUCCUAGGACUCUUCUCUGGAUGGUUUUGGAUAGAUCAUUGCAUAAACGAAUCAAAAACUCAAGUUUAUCAAGGCUGUGGAUCGUAUGGUGACACAAGAGGCUGCGGAAAGGCUUCUUGAUACUCCUAGGCUUAGAUCGGAUAUGACACACCUUUCUAAAGCCCUUGGGUGUUGGAUAUUACACACCAACAGACUAGAGAUUACACACCUGACGCUCUCUUAACUCGUGAAAGCAAAGGGAGAAGAAAACACAAAGGUUUUAAGUGAAAGAAGACUUGAUAGAUUGCUAGGGUUGCCGUCACACACAUAUAUAUAGUGAAAGGCUUGGAACAGGCUCCAAGCAUUUCAAAACUAAAGGAACACACUCCUUUAAUAAUGUAGAAACAAAGACAUAACUUAGAUAGAGUUUUUUUUUUGAAAAUAAAAGACAUAAGUACUUAGAAAUAAAAGAUAACAUAAGGUUCUUCAUGUGGUUUGGUCCGAGAGUAUCAACUAGGUGAUGUGUUAGCAAGACUAUGGCCUCGUUAAAAACCUAUCAUUGCAAAACCCAGUGGGACAAAAACAAUGACAGGAAAAGAGCACACAUAGCUUGCUAGCCUAGAUGAUACUCAGCUUGAUGGUAAGAUGGCUUGAAUGAUAAUGAGUGUGUCUUGAUGUAUCAAGCUUCCUCCAAGACAUUCUUCUUGCUCCAAAGACUUCCUGAUUAAUCCUCCAAUAGCUUCUUUGAGUUUCCUGGUUCUGGCUCGAGUUAUGGGACCUUCAGGAAUAGUUAAGACAUCUUCUUCAGCUAGUUCAUCUCUAAGCUCUCCAUCUCUAUCUCCAUCAACUGGCUGGUCCAUGAUCAUAUCAUCCCCUCCCUCUUGAAAAGGAUUUGACCUCAAAUCAGGUUCAUCUGCAAUAAAAUGGAUCAAGUCAGUAACAUUGAAGCUAUUACUCACAUCAUACUUACCUUGGAGAUCAAUCUUGUAGGCAUUGUUGCUGAUCUUCCUUGUGAUCUCAAAAGGUUCAUCAAUUCUCGGCAUAAGCUUGGACUUCCUCUCAUUAGGAAACCUCUCUUUUCUUAGAUGAACCCAGACUUGGUCACCCUCUUUAAAGACCAUCUCAUUCCUUCCUUUGUUGGCAUGCUUGACAUACUGCUUAGUUUUCUCUUCAAUGUUGAGCCUAGCCUGCUCGUGGAGUUGUUUCACUAUCUCUGCCUUAUUUUUGCCAUCCAAACUGACCCUUUCACACUCAAGUAAAGGGGUUAAAUCCAAAGGAGAGGUGGAGUUGAUUUUCAAAUGUCAAAGCUAUUCUGAAGUAAAGAAGAUUCAAAUAGCCACUGCUGAGUUUUAUGGUUAUGCUUCAAGCUGGUGGAAUCAAUUGGUGUCGUCUAGGAGACAUUGGAAAAGAACCAGUUGCAACAUGGCUUAAGUUAAGGGCUUUGAUGCGUCAUAAGUAUGUUCCCAGACAGUACCACAAGGGAGUCCUUCGAAAGCAGUCUGAGGCAAGGCUAUGUUCUUCAAUCUUGGAUCGGAAACAACAAGGAAGCAUGAGAUCAACUCCAACCAGUGUCAUUAGUUUAUCUAGAAAAACAACAAGCCGGGUCAGUAAGGAGGACAUCAAGGAGCUUUCUCAGUUGAUUAAGGACGUGGGGAAACCACUCAAGAGAACCAAUACAACACGACCAUUCAUUGAAGCACAACAUCAAGAACCAGUUACUACUGUCUCAGAACUCCAAGUUGAAGAGCCGGUAUCAAUUCAUCAAUUCUCGGCAUAAGCUUGGACUUCCUCUCAUUAGGAAACCUCUCUUUUCUUAGAUGAACCCAGACUUGGUCACCCUCUUUAAAGACCAUCUCAUUCCUUCCUUUGUUGGCAUGCUUGACAUACUGCUUAGUUUUCUCUUCAAUGUUGAGCCUAGCCUGCUCGUGGAGUUGUUUCACUAUCUCUGCCUUAUUUUUGCCAUCCAAACUGACCCUUUCACACUCAAGUAAAGGGGUUAAAUCCAAAGGAGAGGUGGAGUUGAUUUUCAAAUGUCAAAGCUAUUCUGAAGUAAAGAAGAUUCAAAUAGCCACUGCUGAGUUUUAUGGUUAUGCUUCAAGCUGGUGGAAUCAAUUGGUGUCGUCUAGGAGACAUUGGAAAAGAACCAGUUGCAACAUGGCUUAAGUUAAGGGCUUUGAUGCGUCAUAAGUAUGUUCCCAGACAGUACCACAAGGGAGUCCUUCGAAAGCAGUCUGAGGCAAGGCUAUGUUCUUCAAUCUUGGAUCGGAAACAACAAGGAAGCAUGAGAUCAACUCCAACCAGUGUCAUUAGUUUAUCUAGAAAAACAACAAGCCGGGUCAGUAAGGAGGACAUCAAGGAGCUUUCUCAGUUGAUUAAGGACGUGGGGAAACCACUCAAGAGAACCAAUACAACACGACCAUUCAUUGAAGCACAACAUCAAGAACCAGUUACUACUGUCUCAGAACUCCAAGUUGAAGAGCCGGUAUCAAAUGAACAUAUUCAAGAAGAUCAAGCCAAAGAAUCAUCACCUACCAUUCAGAAAGAAGAGCAACCAGUUCAGGACGUGAUGGUUACUAUCAUUCAGGAUGUGAAAGAAGAUGAGGCUGAGGCCCCUCCUCUCAUUAGGAAACCUCUCUUUUCUUAGAUGAACCCAGACUUGGUCACCCUCUUUAAAGACCAUCUCAUUCCUUCCUUUGUUGGCAUGCUUGACAUACUGCUUAGUUUUCUCUUCAAUGUUGAGCCUAGCCUGCUCGUGGAGUUGUUUCACUAUCUCUGCCUUAUUUUUGCCAUCCAAACUGACCCUUUCACACUCAAGUAAAGGGGUUAAAUCCAAAGGAGAGGUGGAGUUGAUUUUCAAAUGUCAAAGCUAUUCUGAAGUAAAGAAGAUUCAAAUAGCCACUGCUGAGUUUUAUGGUUAUGCUUCAAGCUGGUGGAAUCAAUUGGUGUCGUCUAGGAGACAUUGGAAAAGAACCAGUUGCAACAUGGCUUAAGUUAAGGGCUUUGAUGCGUCAUAAGUAUGUUCCCAGACAGUACCACAAGGGAGUCCUUCGAAAGCAGUCUGAGGCAAGGCUAUGUUCUUCAAUCUUGGAUCGGAAACAACAAGGAAGCAUGAGAUCAACUCCAACCAGUGUCAUUAGUUUAUCUAGAAAAACAACAAGCCGGGUCAGUAAGGAGGACAUCAAGGAGCUUUCUCAGUUGAUUAAGGACGUGGGGAAACCACUCAAGAGAACCAAUACAACACGACCAUUCAUUGAAGCACAACAUCAAGAACCAGUUACUACUGUCUCAGAACUCCAAGUUGAAGAGCCGGUAUCAAAUGAACAUAUUCAAGAAGAUCAAGCCAAAGAAUCAUCACCUACCAUUCAGAAAGAAGAGCAACCAGUUCAGGACGUGAUGGUUACUAUCAUUCAGGAUGUGAAAGAAGAUGAGGCUGAGGCCCCCAUGGAACCACAAUCAGACCGUGGACUGAAUCAACUGAUUGUCUUUGAUCUGUCUGAUUUCCAAAAGACAUUCUUGAGUACUUUUCUGAUCAGUCCCUUUGUUUGGAACAAGACCAGAGCAGUGGAGCUUUCAAGACACGAAUUGGGGAUGAAGCAAUUUGUAUUUGAGCCUGGAGGAGAGUUGUGUAAUCUCAGGAACAAGAACAAACUGAUUGAGAAAAAAUCAGCUACAUCAACAAUUGAUUUUGUUGACUUCUCAUCGUCUGAAGAUAAGGUGUUGCACGUCUCAUCUCAGCAAGACUUUCACUACAAAACCAAUUGUAGAAUGUUUACCACUCAGUCCUUGAUCCAACAAACCAGACCACGCAGUAAAUGGCCUCCUGAUCAUCAAGAUAUUGCCAAUUUUGCAAAACACAUCGAUUUGGAUCAAUUCCGUGAGAUACUUAUAUCUGAUUGGGUUGGAAGGUUACAGACCUACUUGUGGAGACCUGGAGAAUAUGUCAGCAUAUUUAUCUUCCUUGAAGAGCACUUUGCCCGUGCUAGAAUCAUCUUGGGUUAUAAGGAGUUGGAAGCAGGUCAAAACGCCUUGCUUCUCGACCAUGUCAAGAUAUGGAAGCCACCAGAUAUGCAGCAGCUUCAGCACCAUUACAAAGAUUAUCAAACCAUGAGUGGAGAUGGAGGAUUCACUGGAGAAAAUGGUGAAGUAAUUACUGGAUCAGAAGAAGAACUCAUGGUUUCUUCUCAAAUCAAGGAGAAACCACCAGAUCAACUUAGCUUAUAACAAACUCCAAAGCAACCAACCCGAGGUCAGACUAUUUUGAGGUCUACACUUUUCGAAAAGAAGGGUUCUAAUGAUCAGAGUAUCAAUGAUGAGUCCCUGGCUAAGUUGGAGAAGCAACAAGCUUUCCCCUGAGAAGCUUUGGACAUGAUUCCAAUUCACCGUGAGCCCCUGAUGAGUUAAGUUUCCAUGGAAGUUUAGUUUGUUGCUUUCUUCCCUUUGGUUAUUGAGAUAUGAUCCUUGGACUGCUCCUAUGUCAAAGCUGGCAGCUAGACAGUUUUCAAGGUUUGCUUGUUGCUUCUCCAACUUAGCCAAGGACUCAUCAUUGAUACUCUGGUCAUUAGAACCCUUCUUUUCAAAAAGUGUAGACCUCAAAAUAGUCUGACCUCGGGUUGGUUGCUAGAUAUUGCCAAUUUUGCAAAACACAUCGAUUUGGAUCAAUUCCGUGAGAUACUUAUAUCUGAUUGGGUUGGAAGGUUACAGACCUACUUGUGGAGACCUGGAGAAUAUGUCAGCAUAUUUAUCUUCCUUGAAGAGCACUUUGCCCGUGCUAGAAUCAUCUUGGGUUAUAAGGAGUUGGAAGCAUAAGCUAAGUUGAUCUGGUGGUUUCUCCUUGAUUUGAGAAGAAACAAUGAGUUCUUCUUCUGAUCCAGUAAUUACUUCACCAUUUUUUCCAGUGAAUCCUCAACCUCCACUCAUGGUUUGAUAAUCUUUGUAAUGGUUCAUGUCAAGAUAUGGAAACCACCUGAUAUGCAGCAGCUUCAGCACCAUUACAAAGACUAUCAAACCAUGAGUGGAGAUGGAGGAUUCACUGGAGAAAAUGGUGAAGUAAUUACUGUGGCUUCCAUAUCUUGACAUGGUCGAGAAGCAAGGCGUUUUGACCAGCUUCCAACUCCUUAUAACCCAAGAUGAUUCUAGCACGGGCAGAGUGCUCUUCAAGGAAGAUAAAUAUGCUUGUUUCUUCUCAAAUCAAGGAGAAACCACCAGAUCAACUUAGCUUAUAACAAACUCCAAAGCAACCAACCCGAGGUCAGACUAUUUUGAGGUCUACACUUUUCGAAAAGAAGGGUUCUAAUGAUCAGAGUAUCAAUGAUGAGUCCCUGGCUAAGUUGGAGAAGCAACAAGCAAACCUUGAAAACUGUCUAGCCGCCAGCUUUGACAUAGGAGCAGUCCAAGGAUCAUAUCUCAACAACCAAAGGGAAGAAAGCAACAAACUCGACUUCCACGGAAACUUAACUCAUAAGGGGCUCACGGCGAAUUGGAAUCAUGUCCAAAGCUUCUCAGGGGAAAUAGUACAACUCUCCUCCAGGCUCAAAUACAAAUUGCUUCAUCCCCAAUUUGUGUCUUAAAAGCUCCACUGCUCUGGUCUUGUUCCAAACAAAGGGACUGAUCAGAAAAGUACUCAAGAAUGUCUUUUGGAAAUCAGACAGAUCAAAGACAAUCAGUUGAUUCAGUCCACGGUCUGAUUGUGGUUCCAUGAGGGCCUCAGCCUCCUCUUCUUUCACAUCCUGAAUGAUAGGAACCAUCACGUCCUGAACUGGUUGCUCUUCUUUCUGAAUGGUAGGUGAUGAUUCUUUGGCUUGAUCUUCUUGAAUAUGUUCAUCUGAUACCGGUUCUUCAACUUGGAGUUCUGAGACAGUAGUAACUGGUUCUUGCAGUUGUGCUUCAAUGAAUGGUCGUGUUGUAUUGGUUCUCUUGAGUGGUUUCCCCACGUACUUAAUCAACUGAGACAGCUCCUUGAUGUCCUCCUUACUGACCCGGUUUGUUGUUUUGCUAGAUAAACUAAUGACACUGGUUGGAGUUGAUCUCAUGGUUCCUUGUUGUUUCCGAUCCAAGAUUGAAGAACAUAGCCUUGCCUCAAACUGCUUUUGAAGGACUUCCUUGUGGUACUGUCUGGGAACAUACUUAUGAUGCAUCAAAGCCCUCAAUUUAAGCCAGGUUGCAACUGGUUCUAUUCCAUAGUGUCUCCUAGACGACACCAAUUGAUUCCACCAGCUUGAAGCAUAACCAUAAAACUCAGCAGUGGCUAUUUGAAUCUUCUUUACUUCAGAAUAGCUUUGACAUUUGAAAAUCAACUCCAUCUUCUCUUCCCAUUCCACAUAUGCAGUAGGAUCAGCCUCCCCAAGGAAAGAAGGGAUUUGAAAUUUCAAUCCAGCAUGCUUCUGGUUUCUGUCCAUCUGAUCAAACUCCUUUUUCUUGUACUCAUCUCUGGAUGAUCUGCUUUUCCUUUGCUGCUGUAUGUCUUGUCUGAAUUUUCUCAUUUGAUCUUUGCAGACUUUAUCCAGAAUGACCGUGAAUUCUUCAAGAAAAAACUUAUCUUUCUUGCUGAGUUCUCCUUUUUGAUCUCCUGCCAUGGUACCUGAGACCGAAAACAACACGCAGCAGUAACAAGUUCUACAGAGAAAACAAAAAUAAUCAAUUUGCAAAACAAAAAAACAGAUUCAAAUCGAAACUUAAAACCUUAAACAACUCUGAUUAAUUUCGAUCCCAGCCUGAUUAUUCUUACUCUUAACAGACCAAAACGAAAAUAAUAAACCCAAACACAAGCAGAUUCGAAAUCAGAUUCAAUAAGAUCAAACCUAAAUUCCUCUGAUCAAUUUCGAACUCAACCAAAGACAAGUACAAAUCAAAACUUGAGCAAUACGGAACAGAUUUAAACAGAUCAGACUUGUGAGAAGAGAGGGAGAGAGAGAUCACAAAAUCAGGUUCAGUUUCAGGCUUUGAGUUGUAAAAAUUCAGAAUAGAACAGAUUCACAACAACAGAAACAGAUCAACUCAGUUUAACAACAGAAACAUAUCACAGCAAAUUAAAAACUUUCUGAUCAAGGAUGUGAAGAGUCUAAACACAGAAAUCAGAUCAAGAAACCCUAUUUUAUCAGAGUUUUGUCAUAGAACACAGAUCAACACGAAAUCAAAGUGAAUAUGAAAGAACAGAAACAAAUUCGUGAUCAAAACACUCAGAUUUAUCAGUUUUCAACAACAGAAACAUAGCUCGAUCAAAACUGAACAAGAAGAUGAACAUAUCAAAUCGAAAACUUUAGAGAAAACAUAAACUUCCCUUCCAGAGUUACUCUGAUACCACAUAAUGAAAACCUCCCGAGGAGUCGGCACUCUAAGUUGGUAAAGGGGAUAAGCCUUGCUGCUAUGAAACCGUAAAGCUUCAAAGACAAGGGAUGUGGAGUGAAUGGUCACACGAAGGAUGCGAAAGGCCAUCGAUAUUCCAACUCAAUGCCCUAGGAUAUGACGCACCUAGACGACAAUGAGGAUGAUUCCCUGGAUAUGACGCACCAGGACGAAUCGGUUUUAUCCCUUGGAUAUGACGAACCAAGACGGAUCGAAAAUAUCAAUGGAUAUUACACACCAUUGAAAGAAAAGUGAGAAUCAUUCUCAAGGUUCCAAAAAUAAUCACUCAAAGUUUAUUUUAUUUCAAUGGAGAUUACAACUUAUUUAUAAGAGAGUAAACUUGUUCACAAAGCUAGAUAUUUAUUACAUUGGAAAUGAUAAAACUAGUGCAUGGAGGAGAGAGAGUGUUCUUGAAACAAGCAUUCCUUGCAUGUAGGAGAGAGAAGCUUUCCAUGCAAUUAACCACCUAAUUUUCGUCACUCUCUUUGGACAGCAAAGAAACCAUUUGAUUUUGAAUCUUCUUGGACUUGUAACUUGAUAAAAAUGGGGUGGCCAUGUUAGCUAACAUCUUGGGUCAAUUUUUGAAUGUCUUCCAUGUCCAUAGCUUCAUAUAUGAGCCCAAUAUCACAUCAUUGUAGCUCCUCCUCUUCUUCUCCUAUUCGUUCUUCAUAUGCUUUCAAUCUCUCAACAAUAUCUUCAAAACUUGUGGUGUUGAGAUCGAGAACUUGUUCCAAAGAUGCAACAAUGUGGAUAUAUCUUCUUCUCGGUAAGCUUUUAAGAAAUUUCUUCACAAUUUUGGGUUCUUCAAUGAUCUCCCCUAGCGAGGCUGACUUCGAAGAAAUCUCUGAUAGCUUUCCAACGAUUACAUCGAUUGUAUCUUCUUAUUUCAUCUUAAGUCUAUCAAACUCUGCCAUUAGGGUUUGUAGUCUUGCUUCUCUAACUCUCUCAGCUCCAACAUGUCGGGUUUUAAUCGCAUUCCAAAUUGUUUUAGCUUUAUCUAGGUCACCAACUUGUAGUGUUAAGGCCUCGGGUAUAGAAUGAAAUAGCAAGGCAAUAGCCAUAUCAUUCUUUUCUUCAGCUUUACUUCCGGGGUCUAUAGCCUCCCACGCUUUGUUGACCUUGAGUGCUAUCUUCAUACGCAUAGCCCACACCGCAUAGUUUGAGGAGUUUAGCAUUGGAAAUUUUAUGGAGGAGGGGCCGGUUUCUUUGAUCUUCAUCGCAUUAAUAUCUUCUGUCUCAUCUCCCAUCGUUUUAAUUUUGUAGUUUGUGUGGCUCUGAUACCAAAUAUAGAAUCAUAAGUAAUAAGAAGUCGUUCUCUUAUUCAAUCACAAGUCUUAUCUUAUGUUAUGCAACACAAAAUGCAUCUCCAUAUAUAUAUAACUAGAUAACUCCUAAUUCUAAUAGUAUUAUCACAAUCCAUAUUUCCUAAUUCUUUUAGAUAAUCAUAACUCAAUAAGAAAAUUAAACUUGCAAGUCAAGCUUAUCAAACAAGAAACUGGUGCGUUUGCGGGAUACUUAUGACUGGUUAGCCACUAAAUACGACAACAGUUAAAUAAUAAAUAAAUAAUAUUUACAUUUUAUAUAAUUAUAAAAGUAUUAAACAUUAUAAUAUUAUAAUAAAUAUAAAAAUUGUAUUUUAAAUUUUUUAAAACUAAUAGAAAUAGAAAAUAAUUUUAUUUAAAAAAAUUAUAAUAUAAAUUAAAAUAUGAUAGAUACAUUUUAGUAUUUUUAUUAUUUCAAUUUUUAUUUUUAUUUUUAUUUUUGUAUUUAUAUGUAUAUUGUUUUUAAAAAAAUGAAAUUUUUUUUUACCCUCCCGUAACUGCAAACGCUAGAUGAAACCAACUUUUAAAUUUAAAAGGUUUAGAACGGUUUGAAGCGGUUUAGAGCGGUUUGAGUAAUUAUUGUAAAACGUUAACAACCACUACAAACCGCAAAAACUAGGUUUGUGGUUGGUAGAAAAGAAACCUGUCAUGCCCUAGGUCUGGCUACUCCCGACGCAGUAGGAUCUCAUAUCGUUUAGGCGACGCGAUUCCACGUUAGCCCAAAUCAACAAAUCUGGGCCCAUUUAGUGCCCACUGCAUUCCUUUACAAUGAUGACUCUUUGGACAGUACAUGUGUAGUACAGCCACGGGCCACCGUACUCUAUCACGUUACAUGCCUUACGCCACGUGGAUGAAUCCAUUUUUCGGUGUUAAAAGCCAAUAGACCAUUGGACUCUUCUUAAAUUUAUAUAAAUAGACUCCAACCCGACGACAACGUUAAGACUAGCGAAAGAAAACGAUAAGAACAAAAACAAAAAAUGAUGAAGUGUUUGAUCUGUCUCUCUCUUAUCCUCCUCUCUCUCAUCUCCGUCGUGGAAAGUAAUCUUGGUGGCUGGAAGCAGAUUGAUUUAUCUGAUCUGAACAUUCAUUAAUCGCCACAACAAGAAAACAGCGAUAUUCUGACGGACAUUCUGACGGAAAAUGAAAUCCUCGGAAUAUCCCGAGGAACCACAAAAUUGGGUUUCCUCGGAAUUUCCUCGGAAUAUACCGACGGAAUUCCGAGGAAAUAUCAAUCCGUCGGAAUAUUCCGAGGAAAUUCCGAGGAAAAAUGGGUUCUUCGGAAAAAACCGAUGAAUUUUGAGGAAAUAUUAUAGCCGUUGGAGAGCCGUUGGGGGAUUUUACAAAAUUCCGAGGAAAUUCCGACAAACUAGCCUUUUCCGUCGGAAUUCCGUCGGAAUUUCCUCGGUCUGUCGGCAGGAUUUAAACUAUAAAUACAAGCACUCCUCUUCCUCUUCAUUCACUCCAUAUCUUCAUCCUCCCUCUUACUCUAUUUACACACGAAUUUGAUUCAUAAAAAAUAUGUCUUCUUCAAAUUAUUUUCGUUCUUGGAUCGAUCGACCUCAUUUGGAUCCGAACACGAGAUUGCUUACGGAAGAAUACCAACGAGGUAUAACCGAAUUCAUGGGGUUAGUUCACCGACAACCGGAAGAAAAAACAGGUAUGUUAAGAUGUCCUUGCUCUAAUUGUAAAAAUAGAAAGGUUAUUAAAGAGUGGGAUGUUUGGACUCAUCUAUAUUUGAGUGGGUUUACACGAAGUUACAAAAUUUGGUAUCAUCAUGGGGAAACUGAUUAUGAACAUGGUAGUACUAGCGAACCUCAGCCAGCGGUUAGAUUAGAAGAACCAAUUAGAACGGAUGUAGAUUAUGGUGUAGGUACUGAGCAGAUGGUAAAUGAUCAUUUUAGAGGGGAAGAUUUACCCAAUGCAGAAGCUAGGAGAUUUUAUGAUAUGUUGGAUGCUGGAAAGCAACCAUUGUACGAAGGUUGCAGAGAUGGUCAUUCAGCUUUAUCAUCUGCUACAAGAUUGAUGGGCAUUAAAACAGAUUAUAAUUUGGCUGAAGACUGUGUGGAUGCGAUUGCUGAUUUUGUAAAAGGUAUUCUACCCGAGGAUAAUGUAGCUCCUGGUUCAUACUACGAGGUUCAGAAACUCGUAGCUGGUCUUGGUUUAUCGUAUCAGGUAAUAGAUGUAUGCAGCGACAACUGCAUGAUUUAUUGGAGGGCGGAUGAACAGCGGGUUACAUGCAAAUUUUGUGGAAAGCCUCGUUAUAAAGAUACGAGUGGAAGAGUUCCAGUGCCAUAUAAAAGGAUGUGGUAUUUACCUUUGACGGAAAGGUUGCAGAGGUUGUAUCUGUCUGAACGCACAGCGCAACCAAUGAGAUGGCAUGCGGAGCACUCAACAGAUGGUGAGAUCAGACAUCCUUCAGAUGCAAAAGCGUGGAAGCAUUUCCAAUCAAAGUAUCCCGACUUUGCGUAUGAGAGAAGAAAUGUCUACCUUGGAUUAUGUACUGAUGGUUUCAGUCCGUUUGGCAAGAGUGGAAGACAGUAUUCUCUAUGGCCCGUCAUUCUUACACCAUACAACCUACCCCCAAACUUGUGCUUGCGACGAGAGUUUUUGUUUCUCUCGAUUCUCGUUCCCGGACCAGAGCAUCCUAAGAGAUCACUUGAUGUGUUUCUUCAGCCACUAAUAUAUGAGUUGCAACAACUAUGGGCUCAAGGUGCUGAAACAUACGAUGUUUCGUGUAAAGAAAACUUUCAAAUGCGGGCAGUACUAAUGUGGACAAUAAGUGAUUUUCCAGCAUAUGGUAUGUUGUCUGGAUGGACAACGCAUGGAAGGCUAUCAUGUCCAUAUUGUCAAGAUAACACUGAUGCUUUCCAACUAAAACACGGAAGGAAAACGUGUUGGUUUGACUGUCACAGGAGAUUCCUACCACCUGAUCAUCCAUAUCGUAGGAGUAGGAAUUUGUUUACGAAGAACAAGAGGGUGUUUGACAGUCCACCUCCGGAAAUUUGUGGGAAAGAUUUGAAGAUACAACUAAGAGAUUUUGGUGCAGAAAGGACGCCAGACGUCGGUGGACAUGAGCGUUUUCCGGUAGAUGCUGUUGGAGAACUACAUAACUGGCACAAAAAAAGUAUUUUCUGGGAUCUGCCAUACUGGGAGGAUCAUCUGCUAAGGCAUAAUUUAGAUGUCAUGCAUAUUGAGAAGAACUUUUUUGACAAUCUCAUGAACACGAUCCUUAAUGUUCAAGGUAAAACAAAGGAUAAUUUGAAGUCAAGACUGGAUUUAGUCGAUAUAUGUGCUCGUUCAGAACUUCAUGUUGAUGAGAAUGGUAGGGCUCCUUUUCCCAUAUACCGACUUGAUGCAGAGGGAAAAGAUGCGUUCUUUGAUUGGAUUUCAAACGAUGUGGAAUUUCCAGACGGUUACGCAUCAAAUUUGCGUAACUGUAUCGACAGAAAGGAAGGAAAGUUUACUGGCUUGAAAAGCCACGAUUGCCAUGUAAUGAUGCAGCGCCUCCUUCCGUUUGCCUUCAAGGAACUAUUACCACGAAAUGUUCAUGAAGCAAUUGCAGGGAUAAGUGGUUUCUUCCGCGAUUUAUGCACGAGAUCAGUGACUCUUGAAGGUAUUGAAAAUUUGAAGACUAACAUAGCCGUGAUUCAGUGCAACCUUGAGAAGAUAUUUCCUCCCUCAUUUUUUGAUGUUAUGGAGCAUCUUGUUAUUCACCUGGCAAGAGAAUUGGAACUUGGUGGUCCUGUGCAGUAUAGAUGGAUGUAUCUGUAUGAGCGGUAUAUGUUCCAUUUGAAGAAGAUGGUGAAAAAUUUAAGUAGGGUGGAAGGUUCUAUAGUCGCACAGAUGAUCAAUGAAGAAACUUCAAACUUUGCCGAGUACUACUUUCCAGCAGAAGUUCAGACCAAAAACAGAAGACCUGCUCGGCAUGAUGAUAGAGGCGAACGGGCAACAUAUCAUGUUACGGUUCCAGACAUUUUCACAGACGUUGGACGACUUAGCGGAAAACCAAAGGACCGUCGACUUACUGAGCAGGAGCGCAGUCAUUUGCAAACAUAUUUGCUCACCAACUGCGAAGACGUUCUUCAAUAUGAGAGGUAAAUAAAUGAGCUUACAAAUUUUUAUUUUAACAAGUUGAAAUUUAAAUCUUAAUUAAUUACAUUAUUGUCAUCAUAUACAGGAUUUUCAUGGCAGAAAAGCGGUUCGAGUAUAGAUACGCCACAGAGGACGAACUAGAAGAAAUGAAGCAGAGAGAAUUUACUGGAUGGAUGUUUACUUAUGUGAGUGCUUUAAACAAAUUAAAAUAUAUUUUAUCACAUAUUUAUACUAAUUCACAUUUAUUGAUAUAAUAUAUAUAUAUGUGCUAUUAAUAGGUGUCUGCUGGUUUGGCCAGAGGUGAAACAUUUGACGAUUGGAUACGUGAGAUGGUCGUUGGACCAAACUUUGUUGUGAAGUCAUAUCCGAGAUUUUGUACUCGAGGAUAUGCAUUCACAACUCAGAAGAGGAGACGUUCGAGUACGACUUAUGAUGCUGGCGUUUGUUCUGCAUCAGGAGAUGAUGUAUACUACGGACACAUACAUGAGAUUUUGGAAAUCAAGUAUUUGGGCAUGGUUGGAUUGCGCUGUACUGUUUUCUAUUGUGAUUGGCACGACAACACUCCAGAUCGAGGUGUGAGAACAGAUGCAUUUGGUGUUACAUCAGUAAAUUCGAGGCGAAAGCUGCAAUAUUAUGAUCCUUUCAUUCUUGCUUCUCAGGCCGAUCAGGUAAUUAAAUGUUAAUUAUUCAGAAUGAUUCAUCAUCAUGUGUAUUAAUUUAUAAUUUUUCUAAAUGUUACAGGUUUGUUAUAUCAAGUACCCCCGGGUAAGGAACAGAGAUGAUCCAUGGGUUACUGUUACAAGACUCAACCCGAGAGGCCGAGUUCAGGGAAGUUCUGAGCUGGAAGACCCACUACAACCAAGCACAUCCGGCAACUUAAGUGCAGCAGAAGAUUUAGCUGGAGUUGGCCUUGUAGUCGAUUUAACCGACUUUGGAGAGGAAGCCGUCGUUCACGUAGAGGAUGAACCAGUGAUUGGAGAGUUUCACCAAGAUCCAGAUUCAGAUUCAUCUGGUGAUGAUGACUCGGAAACAGACUACCAUUGAUCUUAUUUUUUUUUUUUUUUAAGAAAUACCGAGGAAAUUCCGAGGAACACUUGAUAUAACCUCUUUCCUCGGAUAAUAGUUAUUUGGUUUAUCUAGCAAGGCAAAGCUGAAUACGAAUUAAAAACUACUCAAAACACAACCAAAUAAAACGAAGAAACCAUGUAAAAGAAAUACGAACUCAUAAUUAAGAAACCCAAAAAAAAACUCAGUUCAAAAUUAACAGAAAAUAAGACCAUAAAACGUUAGAAUAGAAAAGAAAAUAAAAUAGCCGGUGAUAGCUCCUACUCCUCGUCUCCUGCUCCAGAUGUUCCUGCAUCGUUGGGUCUCUUGGACCUCUUUCUUACCCUGUGUGUACCACUCGAACCCGAACCAGAGCUGGAUGGAGAGUUGUCCCGAUGAACUACAUCAUCCUUUUGGCAACGACACGGCCUGAUACGUGAAAUGGCAGCCCAGAUCUUGUGUAGCAUGUCGUUGUUUGUCUUUAUGCUCUGAUCUCUCCAAUGUUGUUGCUGGCGCGAAGUGGCGUUCGGUGGAAGCUCUUGCAGCUUGUACUGGCUGGAGUCUGAUGGGAGUAGCUGAUGGGGUUGUGAAUCAUCUGGAAUGGCUUGUGCAGCCUCAUCUUCUCCUUCUUCAUCAACCACGCCCUUGCCUUUGGUCUGAUAUUUUGGCGUGAAGAAGGAUGGCUUGUCUACUAGUGCGGUAGCAGGGGGUAGGAACUCAACUGCAGCCUCUGAAAGUAGAGCAGUCAGGCCGAUCUGAGGCAGGUGGCAGUAGAGUGUUUUCUUCGCUCGGUCCUGGAAUACGUAGACGUAAGGACCAUCCCGAUCGAUCCUCGAGUGGGGACCAGCUAUGAACUCCUUACUUACUAGAGAAAUGACAUCCAGGUAGUUCCAAGCAAUGUUGUUCGAUCUGUCCAGUGCUACCUGGUGGUUCUCACAGUCUACACCCACAUGUCUAAGGAUCCGAGUAAUCACUGCACCAAAUCCACAUGCAUUGCUCUUGGAUUUGGUUACUUUCCCCUUGUAUCCUGCUAAGUUUGCGGCCAGCACCGCUCCCAUGUUGAAGGCAGUAGCAGGUGGGAAUGUAGAGUUUCCAAAUGCCGGUAGCAAAUGCCUCACACCUUGGUACAGGAGGCACAACUCCCAUUGCGUGACUGAUGCGGCUGUGGUUGUCCCGUAUAGCAAUGAGCCAAUGAGGCGUGUGGCAUAUCUCAGUACUGGGCUCCGGAUAAGUGACUCCUUUGCCUGAGAAGAUCUAUAAACCCCUGUGCCAAUCGUUUCCCAGAAGUUCAACAGCUCUGAAGUCCAAUAAAGACCAGAUGUCCUCUCCCCUGCACUCAAUCCAAAUAGUCCGCAGAGGUCUGUGAAAGAUACCUCAUAGUAUACUUUCUGCACUACGAAUGCCAGAAAACCUUCCUGAUGGCUAUCAUCGGGACGGGUGACGUAUGCGGAUGCUAUGAACUGGCGUACCAACUCCGGAUAAGUGGGUUCGUUGAGGUUGCAUAGUUGGCCUAGACCCAUGUUCUGGAACAGUCCUUCAAUGUCUGCUUUGAUUCCCAAUAUUGUCAUCGUCUCAGGACAUGCUAGUUGUGUAGCCGGAACGGCUACCUUCUUCAUGUUGUUGUAGUGGGUGGUAUCAGACUUAUCCCACUUCUUUGGCCUUUGCUUCUCCAGCUGAGACGAACCCUCUUCUUGUGUGUUCUUCUUUGCUGAUGUUUUCGUGCGCUUCAUUCUCUACAAAAUAGAAUCAUUGCUCUCAACAUGGUUAUAAUCAAUUAAGAACUCAAAGCAACAUGAAAAUGAAAAGCGAAAUCGAGUUGUGAUAAAAAAAAACCAAAUUGAAAAAAAUUCUCUAUCCCUAAAUCAUCUCAAAUCAUGUUCCAAACUCGUUGAUCACAGACAAUUGUGUUCUAUUCCAUGUUUAAACAUCUGUUUCAUGCAUAUUUGAUCAAGGAAUCAACACGAAAAUAAGAAAUUCACAAAACCCAAAAAAUUGCUCAAGAACACGAUUUCAGAAUGUGGAGAUUCGCGGAGUAUACCUGUCUUAGGGUGAAGACGAGUGUAGGAAUCAGGUAGAGCUCGAAAAAUCAAGUGGAAUAGAGCCCAAAAUUGUUCAAAUCGGAUGAUUAUAGAGAGAGAAAGGGGGGGGGGAAUUAUAGGGGAAAUCGGAGGGGAUGAGAGUUCUAAGGUUUAGAUCCAAAAAAGGUCGGGUUUUGCCUUAUAAUUCUGUUUUCCGAACACGCAUCGAUCGAUGCGUUUUGUUUCUAUAACGCAUCGAUCGAUCACAUUCUUACGGCCCGGGCCAUCUUGGUAAUCGAUCGAUGCGUUUUUGUUCUAUAACGCAUCGAUCGAUGCGUUUUUAAAAAAACAUACAAGAUUUUCCGAGGAAAUUCCGAGGAACAAUUCAGAUUGUCGAUCGAUCGAUGGGAUACUCUCAUCGAUCGAUCACAAUCUUACGGCCCGGUCCAUCCUAGUAAUCGAUCGAUGCGUUUUUGUUCUAUAACGCAUCGAUCGAUGCAUUUUUAAAAAAACAUACAAGAUUUUCCGAGGAAAUUCCGAGGAACAAUUCAGAUUGUCGAUAGAUCGAUGGGAUACUCUCAUCGAUCGAUCACAAUCUUACGGCCCGGUCCAUCUUAGUAAUCGAUCGAUUUGUUUUUGUUCAAAAACGCAUCGAUCGAUGCGUUUUUAAAAAAAAAAUUACGUUUUGAAACCCCAAACACUAGUUCGUCGGAAUUUCCUCGGAAUAUUCCGAGGAAAUUCCGAGGAAGAAGAGGGUUUCCUCGGAGUUCCCUCGGAAUAAUCCGAGGAAAUUCCGAGGAAAUAGGGUUUUUAAACCGAAAACAACGUUUUGCCGUUUGAAUAACACCUAUAUAACCCUUAUUAAGUGUCUUACGUUCAUUAUGAAGUCAAAAAUUUGUUCCUUACCGUAUAAUUAACACUUUUCCGAUUGUAUGAACGAAAUCUCGCAACAUAAGAGAAACACUUAUACCUUUUAACGAACGGUAAAGGGAAUACUUUCAAUUAGUUUUGAAAUUUGUUAUUUCAUGGUUUAUGCUCAUGUAUACAAAGAAUCCUCAAUGGUAUGCAUUACAAUUGUAUAAGAAAUGAAAUACGGCAAAAAAAAUUGAUGUUUUGAAACCCCAAACACUAGUUCUUCGGUAUUUCCUCGGAAUAUUCAGAGGAAAUUCGGACGGAUAUUUUACUAUCUGUCGGAAUUUCCUCGGAAUAUUUUCAUUUUACCGGGCAAAUAUUUCGCGAAAAUUGAAAUUAGAAUUCCGACGGAAUUCCGACGGAUAAUGUCCGUCGGACCCUAGGUUUUAUAACCACGAGCCCCUUCUUCUUCCCCAUUUCUCUCUUCUUCCUCUGCGCGACUCCUCUCUUUCUCUCCGGCGAUUUCCCCCUGAAAUCCGACGAUAUCUCCGGCGAUCUCCCUCUUCUCUUACACAAAUCAUGUAAGGACCCUAUCCCACUCUCUUAGGUUCUAUUUGUUAGGUUUUUGUGUAGUUUUGAUAGAUUUUUGUUAGGGUGAUUGGUUAGGAUUGUGAUUUGGUUGUAUAAUAGGUUUAGAAUUGUGAUUUGGUUGAAUAAUUUGUUUUGUUGAAUUGAUUUAGAAUUUUUUUUAUUAGGUUCAACCGAUCCGGGAACGGGAUCAGCGCAUGGAUCAACCGUAUGAUGUACUCGGCCUUCGACAGUGGACAUCCGACUUUCACUCAGUUUGCGGUAAGUAUUCUGAUUUUUUACUUAUAUUUUUAAUCUUUAAUAUAAAUUUUCUACUAAUUGUGUUUUUUUUUCAGCAAGAAUUCAACUGGAAUUCCAAUGAGACACUCUUUAUCUAUCACCACUUCGUCCAUAAAGUUAUGGACAACUAUGGGAAGCAGAUCCACGAGUGGAAGAAGAAGUGAGAAAUCAACAAGGUUGUUUUUAAUUUAUUAAACAAUUUUUUUAUUUAUUAAACUAUUUUCUUUCUUUUUUUUUAUUAAAAGGUUCCAAAGUCGAUAAACAACACGGUCUGGACGGAGUUGUAUGCGCAUUGGGAUAAGGAAGAGACGAAAGAAACUUCUUCCACCAACUCCACCAACCGCAGGAGCGACCGUAAAGGGGAGGGCGUCUUCAAGCAUAACUUGGGUGCUCAAUCUAUUGCCUCUCUGGGAGAUCGCAUGGUAAGUUCAGUCGCUUUUUCUUCAAUUAUUUAAAUUUUGAAAUUUUAUUUUUUUGUGCAUUUCUUCUAAUUUUUAAUGAUUCUUUAAUUUAUGUUUUUUUUAAGGCGGAAGAAAAUGAUGGCGAGCCGGUUGAUGAUCUCGCCCUAAUGAGGAGGGCGUAUACCAACAAGAAGACCGGCCAGAUUGAUGACGGUCUUGUGAGGGACGUGGUCGACCUGGUCCAAACUCAGGUGGUAGACGAAGUGUCUCAGCUUCAAACCGAGGAUGANNNNNNNNNNNNNNNNNNNNNNNNNNNNNNNNNNNNNNNNNNNNNNNNNNNNNNNNNNNNNNNNNNNNNNNNNNNNNNNNNNNNNNNNNNNNNNNNNNNNNNNNNNNNNNNNNNNNNNNNNNNNNNNNNNNNNNNNNNNNNNNNNNNNNNNNNNNNNNNNNNNNNNNNNNNNNNNNNNNNNNNNNNNNNNNNNNNNNNNNNNNNNNNNNNNNNNNNNNNNNNNNNNNNNNNNNNNNNNNNNNNNNNNNNNNNNAAAAAAAUUAAUAUUUUUUACAUUCCGAGGAAAUUAAUUAUAUUUUUUACUCGAUCGAUCGAUGCGUUUUUGGACAAAAAUCCAUCGAUCGAUCUGUUUACAAAAAAACGUUCGGAAUAUACCGAGGGAACUGUUCCUCGGAAUAUACCGAGGAACUGUUCCCUCGGUAUAUACCGAGGGACAUUUCCCUCGGUAUAUACCGAGGGACAUUUCCCUCGGAAUAUGCCGAGGGACAUUUUCCUCGGAAUAUUCCGAGGAAUAUGUCCGUCGGUAUAUUCCUAUCGAUCGAUGUAUUUAUGUCCAAAAACGCAUCGAUCGAUGAACGUCCGAGGAAAUAUCCCGACGAAGUUCUCCCUCGGUAUAUUCCGAGGACAUUUCGACAAACUAGUGAUCCUCGGAAUUUCCUCGGAAGUUUGUUUCCUCGGAAUUCCGUCGGAAAAUUCCGAGGGAUUUCCGAGGAAAGAAGAAAUUCCGAGGAAUUAUUUCCGACGACUUGUUUCGUCGGUAUGUCGUCGGAAUAACGAUAUUCCGACAAAAUUCCGACGAUUUUUUCCCUCAGAAUCCUUGCUGUUUUCUUGUAGUGCGCUCGCCAACUAUGCGAUUAAUGAGCAUAACAUGAAAUCUAAGGCGAACCUUGUGUUCGUGAAGAACGUCGAGGAGAAGGAGCAAGUGGUUUCCGGGAAGAAGUACAAUCUGACCAUUGCGGCGAAGGAUGGCGGUGGCGCCACAAAGAACUACGAGGCCAUCGUCGUGGAAAGGGUGUGGGAUCAUUACAGGAGCCUUGAGUCAUUCAAGGCCUUAUAGAUCUAAGUUUUUUAUUUUUGUAAAUAAAAGCUCGAUAUGGAUCAGAUAUUCAAGACCGGCUCAAUUGUGUUACGGGACUAAGGCAAAAAAAAAUUUUAAUUUGUAAACUAUUAUUUUUUUAAAAAAAAUCUGAUAGAUAUAUGUUUUUUUUUUCAAAAUACCAGAUGUAUUUUAAAAAUAAAUCUUUGAAAAUAAAAAAAAACUUUCAUGUAAAAAAAAAAAUUGGGUCUAUUUUCUUAUUAUAAUAUAAAAAUACAUGUACUUUUUUAAAAAAAAAUCGGAUCCCUAUCUAUUAAAAAAUAAGAGAACAACGGAUUGGGCCCGGGACGGUCGCACCGCUUGCCUCUUAUCUAAGCCGACCCUGCGGAUAUUAUAAUAUGACUUAUUUUUGGGUUCAUCCCCUAGGGUGAACCUCUAAGUUCACCGACCAAUAGAAUUGUGUUAUUUAAUAUUUGAUAUCUUUUAAAAAAGGAAACAAAAUAUUGUCAAAUUAUAUUAUUUUUUAAAAAUUAAAAGGUAAAAAAAAUAAAUAAAAAAUAGUAGUAAUUACAAAAAAAAUAUUUUUAACGUCGUCAGCAAAACAUUAAACUCUAAAUCCUAUUCUUGAGAUUUUGAUAUUGUGCGUCCGUUAUUUGUUUUCUUUUCAAUAAAAACUAAAUUAUAGAUAUGUUUCUUUCUAAGAUUCAUAUAAAAUAAUGAUUAAAAAAAAGAUCAAGUGGAUUUGCUCUAAGCCUGUAAUUUAUAUGUUACUUUAAUUCAAAAUAGAUCUCUAUCCGCGCAACCGUGCGGAUUUUUGUUUUCAUUUAUUUUUAUAUAAACAUUUUGUUUUCAAUUCUAAAUUGGUAUAUAUUAUAAUAUACAUAUAUGUCUAUCAAUUUUUAAAACACAAUAAGUUUACGGUAUAUUUUUUUCAUUGAAUAGAUUGUUUCAAACUUUCACAUGUAUUUGUAUCUUCUUCUAUAUAUAUAUUUUUGGAUUAUUAUUUCAUUAUUAAAAUUGUAACUAUAUAUAUAAAUAUUAGUAAAAUAUUAUUUUAUUGUCAUAUUCAAAAAUAUUUUAACAUUUCACAAAUUUAGAAAGUUUUUUUUUUAAAUUAAACUUUUCGCUUCACAGAUUUAUAUUAUCGAGUAAAUAAUUAAACAUUUAGUUUUUGUUUAAUUUUUAAAAUAUACUUUUAAAAUUUGUUUUCAUUGGUUUAAUGUAGUAAAGAAUAAUCAUUGUUAGAUAAUAUGAUUUCUGUUAUUUAAAAAAAAUCUUCAUAAUUUUAAAAUUUAACAUCGACAAAUAUUUAAAUAAUUAACAUAUGGAGGUAUAGUAUUACACUAUUAAAUCAUAUCUAUUUAAUUUAUACAAUCUAUAAAUUCAAAAGAUCAUCUAUUGUUUAAAUCCAAUUAUUGAUAUCCCAAUAAAAUUUUUUGGUAGGCCUAAAAUUUAAAUGAUAAGAUUAGAGAUAAAAUAUAACAUGACUUUAUAGGAAUAUGUCCAUUAGGUCCAUUUUAAAAAAAAAUCACACAUGAAUCAAAGUUGUGACUUCUGUUUUAAUAUAUAAGAACAUAUAAUGCAUAGCAAGUUGUCAACUUAUUAACCCCAAAUUGACAAGUUGUCAACUUAUUAACCCCAAAUUGACGAUGAACAGGCCUAAUAUUUGCAUGCAGAAUAUUCUAUGGGGGGUUUUUUAGAAAUCAGUAACAAAAUUUGAGAUUAAAACAUUAUUCGUAUCUCUUUUUGGGCGUUGGAUUUUAAAAUCUACUUGUCAAUUAAGUUUUUUUUUGUCAUCAUAUACUUGUGAAUUAAUUAUGACAGAAUCUACUCCCUUAAGUAUCUAAAUUAAUUCUACUUAUUUUACAUUCGAUUUAAGAAAUUAUUAAUUAAAUUAAAAAAAAAGACAAUAUUUUGGAUAAGGGUUUGGGCUUACAAAUAUUAUCAGGAGGUAAUAACAUACAUUUGAGCCUCAGUCAAUUCCAGUAUGAAUAUUUUUAUUCGAGCUCAUGACUAGCAACUAUCGAAUACUAUCUAUAUAUCGUGGUCUAAAAAUCUUAUGCGACUGUAUAAGUAUGCUCUCGAGAUUUAUAAAGUAAACUAGGCGUUUUCCUGUACUGUGUGCAGUAAUAAAAAUAUUAAAUUUAAAUUAUAUCUAAAAUAAAUUUUAUUAUUUCAGAUUUUAUUAUUUUCUUAUCAUUAUUUUAAUAUAAUUUUUUAUUUGAUUGGGCAUAGAAUUAAAUUAAAAUAAAUUAUUUUUAUUUAUUUUAAAUUAUAUUUAUGAAUAGAUAUGUAUAUAUUUAAACUUAUAAUUUUAGAUAGAUUUUUAUCUAUUCUUUUUGAUAAAACAUAUUAAAUCAACUCGUAUAAUGUUAAUAAAAAAUUAAUACAAAGAUGUAUAAUUACCAAAAAGUAUAAAUAAACUCCAGUAUAAUCUAUAUAGUCUGAUUCUUUUGUAAAUAUAAUUCUUUAGCAUGAUAAAUCAAUAAAUUUGAAAUUUCAUAAGAAAAAGUACAAAAAACAAAAUUUUUAAAAUGUGUACAUAUAUAAUGGAAACGAAUAAUAUUAUGAUUAAAAUUAUAUAUUUUUAAAAUAAAAUUUUAAAGAAUUUGAAAAUAAUUUUAGCAGUAAAAUUUUGUAGUGAUAACAAAUAAAAAUAAAUAAUAUUUCAAAAAUUGUAAAAUAUUAUUUAAUGUCAUAUUUGAAUAUAUUAAUGAUGAUGUAUAAUUUACUACCAUAUUCUAAAAAGUUUAACAAAAAUAUAAAUAAAAAUUAAAUGCAAUUAUACAUGUCAUAUUUAGCCAUAACCAUGUCAUUAUCUAUAUUAUUAAAACUGAAGUACAAAUUAGGUUUGUUUGGAAACAUGAAUUGCAGUUUAAAAGGGAGGUUUGUGGAUGAAAAUAUUAAAUGAGAAUUGUUUGUAAACUUGGAUAGCAGUAUAUGCAUUUUCUUUUAUUUACACAUUUAGUCAUUGCAUUUAUAAUAAAUUAGGUAUUUCUUUUUAUAUUUCUUUUUAUUUACAGAUUCUACCACUACAUUUAAAAUCAAUUUAAAUUAAUUAAUUACAAUUCCAAACUUAUCUAAACAAAUCGAUAUUCAUAUAUUGAUCAUUAUUAAUAUUGUACAAAUAUUAGUAAAUAAAAAAAUUUCUGUUUAAUUUAAUUUAGCCAAACACAUUAAAAUAUUUUUUUAUUUGUUUACGGAAUCAGUUAGGCAUAGACAUUCAGGUACCCAUUUAAGUACGAGUUGUUUCUUUCGGGUAUAGAUUUUUUGGGUUUUGAAAUUUCUUUUUAGGUACUUCCUUUUUGUAUUUAUUUUUAUUUACAAAUUUUACCACGGCAUUUAAAAUCAAUUUAAAUUAAUUAAUUACAAUUCCAAAACUUAUUUAAACAAAUUGAUAUUCUUUUUUUUUUGUCAUCAACUUUACAGACUCAUAUUGACUCUGUGAACCACACUGGGAGAUAUUGAUCCAUGUGAACUACAAAAGACGUUUCCUUCCUAACGCUUAUGGCUAAGCUAUCCGCCUUCUUGUUCCGCGUUCUUGGUACAUAGAUAAUCUCUGCACUAGUAAAACUCUCUUUCAGGAUGUGUAUAUCUUCCAAAUAACUUGCAAACGAUGGUCAUUCUUCUGGUUCUGAAACCAUCUUCACCAAUUGAGAACAAUCCGUCGCAAAUGUAACCUGAAAUUGUUUUAAGUUUUUUAUGCAUUCCAUAGCCCAUAGUAAAGCUUCCAUCUCUGCAUGGAGAGGAGUGAGUGAAGCCUGGACAUUCCUUACUCCCAUUAGUCCCACAAAUCCUUCUAAUGUGCUGUACCACCCUUGACCUGAGAAACUUUCAUUUUCUUUCCAGGAUCCAUCCGUAAAACACCAUAUUCCUGGAAUUAACAGAAGAAUAUUAGCUUCUAUAUGUGUCGUCCUCUUUUUAUCAUUCAAUAUUCCGUUAUCAUUCAAAUUGAUAUUCAUAUAUUGAUUAUUAUUAAUAUUGUAAAAAUAUGACUAAAUAAUUUUUUUUCUAUUUCACUUAAUUUAGCCAAACACAUAAAUAUAUAUAUAUAUAUUUUUUUGUUUACGGAAUCUGGUAGGCAUAGACAUUCGGGGUACCCAUUUAGGUACGAGUGAGUUUUUCGGGUAUAGAUUUUUUUUGGUUUUGAAAUUAGGCCAUGUUGGAUAUAAAUUUAUGUGUGAGUUUCAAGUUGGAUCUCCCGGGUCUGUAUGAAUUUGGUUCUGAUGUACAAAAAACUAAAAAUAUUCAAAUAACGAAUGUAUUUGAAAGUGAUUUGGAUAUUUGAACAAAAAAUAAUCAUAUUAUCCGGUUCGAUCCGGAUCUUUUGAAUACACUUAGUUAAAUGAAAACAUAUCUAAAAUAUAUAGCACUAAUAAUAAAAUCAAAUAUCAAUGUAUAAAUACGUAGAAACUAAUACUCAAGCUCUAAUUUCUGUUAUGCUAUGAAACUGAUUGUAAAGAGAAUAUGUAUCAAAAUCAAUUUGUAAAUAAUAUCCGGGGACAACGUCAUAGAAUCUCGUACUUUGUUUAGACGAUGCGAGUCAACGUUGGACCAAAAUCAACAAAUCAUAGGAUCUCAUACCUGUUUAGCCGAUGCGAGUCAACGUUGGACCAAAUCAACAAAUCUGGCUCAUUUAGUGCUCAUCACUGCAUUACUCAACAAUGAUGACUCUUCAGAAAAUACAUGUGUAGUACAGCCACCGUACUCUAUCACGUUGUAAGCCACGUGUCCAUUUGUGAGUGUUAAAAAACAAUAGACCAUUGGGCUCUCCUUAAAUUUCUGGAAUCUCUAUAAAGAGAGAUCCCAACCCGACAACACCAAUAAGACUAGCCAAAGAAAACAAUAAGAGCAAAACAAAAAAAAGAUGAAGUGUUUGAUCUGUCUCUCUCUUAUCCUCCUCCCUCUCAUCUCCGUCGUGGAAGGUAAUCUCGGUGGCUGGAAGCCGAUCAAGGAUUUAUCUGAUCCCAACAUCCAAGCGGUAGCCAAGUAUGCGGUCGAUGAGCAUAACAAGCAAAUUACGGGGAAUCUUGUGUUCGUGAAGAUCGUCGAGGGAAAGGAGCAAGUGGUUUCCGGGAAGACGUACAGUCUGACCAUCGCGGCAAAGAAUGGGGGUGCUGGGACAAAGAACUACGAGGCUGUCGUGGUUGAAACGAUGAGGAGUCAUCACUUCGGCCUGCAGUCAUUCAAGGCCUUAUAGAUCUAAGUUCUAUAUAUUUUUGUAAAAAAAAUCGACAUGGAUCGGAUAUAUUAUAAUAUUAAAUAUUUAUAGGUUUCCAUGAUUUGAGAUUUUGAAAUUGUGUGUCCGUUGUUUGUCUUUUGAAUAAAAACUAAAUUAUAGAUAUGUUCCUUUCUAAGAUUCAAUAAGAGAAUCAAGAGAUCUGUUGUGUUACUUUGAACUUCUAUCUAAUUUCGAAAAUUUGGGUUUGAAUCGGUCGAGACGACAAUGUGUCAAUGUGAUGAACGGCGUGCGUCGCGUUCCUGACUUUUGGCUUAUUUGUAUCUGUCUGUCCUUAACUCGAUCGUUAUUAACUGUAAUUAGACCGGAGAGAUCGACACGUUCGUAUUUUUGAGGAAUGACCGGUAAACAUUCACAUUUAAAACGCAACCGGUUAUUAAUUUGACAUGUUUGAUUUAGAUUUAGGUGAUGUUGAUAUGGAUACAGUUUUGAAGGUUUCGCCAACCUUGAUGAUGAGUUUGUGGCUUCUUUGAGGAGAGUCCGGUUUGAUCACGGAUCAGCUAAGCUUCUUCGGUAAUGAUAAGAGUUUGAGUUGUAUUAUUCUAGUAUUCAGUUUUGUAUUUUGUAGUUCGUAUAUAAUUUGAGAGAGUACAGUUUGGAUCAGUUUAUUUCUCUGAUGAGACAAACCUGGUCCAACUCAAUCGGUAAUGAUAUAGUUUGACUUGUAUUAUUCUUAGUUCAAUUUUUUAGUAUCGGUUCCAGAAUCGUGAAAUCUUUCUUUAAUCAUUAUAUGUCUUUUACACUUUUCACUAUCGUGUUUGUCUAUUUCUUUUGGUUAUUGUGUUUGGACAAGUCCUAUCUUCAUCUUCAGUUGCUAAGCAGUGAACUUCCCCUUACUAAGUCUUUACAGACCUGAUGCCCUAUGAACAAAACAGUCAUUACAGACACUGAGCUUAAUGCCUAUUCCCUUUUGUCUCUCUGUCUAGGUGAUUAUGAACUUAUCAAAUCUUUGCCUAUAGUUUUGUAGAUAGCAUCUGGGCUAUAAAUGUACACUCGACUAAACAGUUGGUUAUCAAGAUAUUAACAUCUGAUUAGCUUCAUGCUUGUGAUAUAUAUAUAUAUACACUUUAUCAACUACUGCAUGGACUUGGCUGAAUUCUAGUGUCAAUAACGACAGUAAGACUUACGAACGUGUUUGUUCUUUUUUGAAAUGUAGCUUUCGAAAACUAUAGCUUACUCACUCCAUUAACUUUUUUUUCGCACUACAAAUAUUCCUUCCCUCUUCUCUUCUCUUACAUCUCAGAAACAUUUCAAACUAUAUUCAUCUUGCCCUCAUCUCUCCACAUAUAGACACAGUAUAAAUAGAAGUAUUUUGAGAAAUAUAGAGGUCAUGUCUUGCUAAUGUGAGGAGAGGAUUUGCGUUGGUGUUCUGUUUCUUUCUUCUGCUUUUGUCAUCCAAUAUUGGUUGUUCCAAUGCUAGUCGUCUAGGGUUUCACAAGCAACUGUUGGGCUUAAUAUUAUAGUCUAAUGGCUGAAUUAAUAAAAGGCAUAAGGUGAAUACAAAUGGGCCUACGGGUCACAUGGAAAAACCCUGGUUGGGUUAAAUGAAUGAAAUUUAAAAACAUCCCACAUCGGGGAAGUAGAGAGGAGAUGAGCAAUAUAUAUAUGCUCAUGUGUUAUGAGUUACGAAACGGCUCAUGGAGAGAGGAAGUCUCCCCAUGCGCGCGCCGUCCAGUUCGGCGUGGGUUUGGAUCUUGGGUCUCCGGCUCAAUAACAAUAUUUUUUUUGGACCAAGUUAAGCACUACAUUUUUGCCAUUUCAUUUCUAAAAAACAGAAUGACGUUCGUGAAUAAACGACACGUAGUUUGUCUAAAAACGACAUGAAGUUUGUCUGUUCGAAAUGGAUCAGAACGAGUCAACAGAAGAGAGAUCUUGCGGAGAAAGUUUCUCAACUCUCCACUCCCGAGAUUUCAGAGAUAUUUUCGCUAAACGUGUGCAACAGUUUUGAAAAUCAAAUCUGGUUCUCUUCUUUAAAUACUCGCCUCCUCUUCAUUCAUUUCUCAACUUUUUCACAUCGAAACCAACAGCAAAAAUUCCUUUAGCGUAAGUCUUAAAUAUGAGAGUGUUUCGUAGAGUUUAUAGUUCGAUAGGGCCAUCACGAGUGAAGCAUGAUGUGUCUGCCAUGGUUGUAUCAUGGGACUCGUUAUUCGUACAGUUCUGUCUCACUAACGGAGCGAAUAUUUAGAGUUAAGGAAAGAGAUUAUAUAUCGACUCCAUGUUCAUUAGCGAAUAAGAUUUCUUAUCGUUCUUGUAUUCGCUCUUCACAAUCGUUUAUUUCCUUAACAUAUCGCAUUUAUUAUAUCGUUUAUUUCAGUCCGGUUAUCCGGCUUCUACAAUCUUAACUCUUAUUUCGCUUUCUAUCUAAAGCGUUUGAUCGGAUUGAAGAACGAUCUUUAAAAACGGGUUUUGGAACCGUGUUUGCGAUUUGCUUUCUAGCACUUCCGCGAAACGUUUGUAAUUUAUCUCAUAAACGGUUUGCGUUUUGCUCUGCAGCACUACCGAAAAACGUUUAUUCAUAUACGAUUCAUACAAACCUGUUAUGGUUUCAUUCAAACGAUGUUUGCAAUUUGUUAUAUGCUUAUCCGCGAAACGUUUCUAUGUUCUUUUGAAAACAAGUUUGCGAUUUGCUUUAUAGCCCUUCCGCGAAACGUUUCUUUAUUUGUUUCAUAACGCUUUGCGGAUUGCUUUCUAGCAUUAUCGCGAAACGUUUUUGAUACAUUAUCAAAAUGUUAUUUACAUGAAUCGUUUCAAUAACCGCUUUCUUAAGCGAGUUUGUGAAACAUUCUAAGUCUAUACAAAACGAUUUCUGCGAACGCUUUUAAGCGAGUUUGCAAAACAUUUUUUCUCAAGACUUAUAUCGAUAUGAUUUGGUUCAAACACCAAAAAUGAAAAUCGAUUUUAGACUAUUAUUUUUUGCUUAAAAAUAAUAUGUUAUUUGUUGAUUGGAGUACUAAUCCGUCUUCAUGUUUUCUCUACUGAAAAAUGACAAACGAUAACAACACCCUCAUUGAUGUCACAACAACUCCACUCAACGUUGCAGCCACUGAUGCAACCGUGACAACCGUUGCAAAUAUCACAGCGUCAACCGCUGCAGCAACAACAAGCACUAUCCUCCCUGCGGGAAAUGCUGCUGAUGAAACCACUCGCCGGAGUCUAUUCGGUGCUGGUCUUUAUCAGACGGGUUCAGUUUCAGCAAUUGCAAGUGGUCCGGUGGCAGUUAAAACUCCUCCGGCUGUCCCUAGUGUGUUCACUCAAGGACUGAUGCCAGACAAGUUUGAUGGCAAAGGCUUCAAAACGUGGCAGAAGAAGAUGAUGUUCUUCCUGAUAACGAUGAAGUUGGACAACUUCAUCCAGGAGGACAAGCCUAUUUGCUUUAUAGCCCUUCUGCGAAACGUUUCUUAUUUGUUUCAUAACGCUUUGCGGAUUGCUUUCUAGCUUUAUCGCGAAACGUUUUUUGAUACAUUAUCAAAAUGUUAUGAAUCAUUUCGAUAACCGCUGUCUUAAGCGAGUUUGUGAAACAUUCUAAGUCUAUAAAAAUGGUUUCUGCGAACGCUUCUAAGCGAGAUUGCAAAACAUUUUUUCUCAAGACUUAUAUCGAUAUGAUUUGGUUCAAACACCAAAAAUGAAAAUCGAUUUUAGACUAUUAUUUUUUGCUUAAAAAUAAUAUGUUAUUUGUUGAUUGGAGUACUAAUCCGUCUUCAUGUUUUCUCUACUGAAAAAUGACAAACGAUAACAACACCCUCAUUGAUGUCACAACAACUCCACUCAACGUUGCAGCCACUGAUGCAACCGUGACAACCGUUGCAAAUAUCACAGCGUCAACCGCUGCAGCAACAACAAGCACUAUCCUCCCUGCGGGAAAUGCUGCUGAUGAAACCACUCGCCGGAGUCUAUUCGGUGCUGGUCUUUAUCAGACGGGUUCAGUUUCAGCAAUUGCAAGUGGUCCGGUGGCAGUUAAAACUCCUCCGGCUGUCCCUAGUGUGUUCACUCAAGGACUGAUGCCAGACAAGUUUGAUGGCAAAGGCUUCAAAACGUGGCAGAAGAAGAUGAUGUUCUUCCUGAUAACGAUGAAGUUGGACAACUUCAUCCAGGAGGACAAGCCUCUUAUUCCUUACGGGAUUGAUGAUGUUCACAGUCUCGCAACUGUUGACAUAUGGGUGCCUUCCGACUACAUCUGCAAAGGUUACGUUUUGGGUCGUCUCAUUGACCCAUUGUACCGUGUCUACUGUGAGAUCCCCACGGCGAAAGAACUAUGGAGAUCACUGGACAAGAAGUACAGAGGUGAGGACGCUGGCUGCCAGAAGUAUGUGGUCUCAAAAUUCCACGACUUCAAAAUGGUGGAUUCAAAACCCAUCAUGGAUCAGGUGGAAGCGCUUCAGCUCAUUUGCCAUGAAAUCGCUGCUGAAGGAAUGUCCAUCUGCGAGACAUUCACAACUCUCAGCUUCAUUGAAAAGCUUCCUCCAAGCUAUGCGGAUUUCAAGAACUACUUGAAGCACAAGAAGAAGAAGAUGGGGCUCGAGGAGCUCAUCAUGACGCUUCAAAUGGAAUCCAGAAACCGAACUGCUGACAAGGUCACUGCUAAGGAGCACAGUGUCAACAUGGUUGAGCACAAAGGAAAAGGAAAGGCACAUGCUAAUACUCCUGCCAAGCCUUCCAAAACUUCUGCAGCCUUGAAGGCUUCUGGAAAAAACUUCAAGAACAAAGGUAUUGAGAUCAAUGCGAAUGUGGAGAAGUUCAAGGGGAAAUGUCACUACUGCCAGAAAGUGGGGCACAAGACUGUUGAGUGUCGCAAAAAGAUCAAGGAUGAGAAGGCUCAGGCAAAUCUCACUGAGGAGGAUCUCGUUGCUGUGGUGACUGAGGCCAACAUGGUUGAAAGCAACAACCCCAAGGAAUGGUGGUAUGACACUGGUGCAACCACCCACAUUUGCACCGAUAGGGCGAUGUUCAGCACCUAUCAGAAAAGCGAGACUCAUGAGAAGCUCAGGAUGGGAAACACUGCAGUCUCCAAGAUUGAAGGACGCGGCAAUGUGAUUUUGAAGAUGACAUCUGGACGUGAGGUCACUCUGACGAAUGUGAAGCAUGUGCCUGACAUGAGGAAGAACCUGGUCUCGGGAACCUUGUUCAGCAAGAAUGGAUUCGCCAUAAGUUUGGAGGCGGACAAGCUCGUGAUUAGGAAGAAUGAGAUGUAUUUGGGAAAGGGGUAUGUUAAGGGUGGACUUGUCAAGUUGAAUGUAAUGACAGUCCUUCCGAAAGUUGUAGCUCCAAAAGUUUCAAUGAAAAAGAAAGAGUCAGUUGCUUAUUUGGUUGAGUCUUUUAAUAUAUGGUAUGAAAGAUUAGGUCAUGUAAACUACAAAUCUAUACAAAGAUUAAUGAAUUUAAAUCUAAUUCCUAAAUACAAAACAAGUAAACAAAAAUGUGAAGUAUGCGUACAGGCUAAGCUCACAAAAACGCCAUCACCUCGUGUUGAAAGAACUAAUAAACCUCUAGAUUUAAUUCACACCGAUUUAUGUGAUUUAAAAUACAUACAAACUAGAGGUGGAAAAAAGUACUUUGUGACCUUCAUAGAUGACUGCACAAAAUAUUGUUAUGUAUAUUUAUUACAUAGCAAAGACGAAACCUUAGAAAAAUUUAAAGAAUUUAAACUCGAGGUCGAAAAUCAGCUUAAAACAACUAUUAAAGUAGUUAGAAGCGACAGAGGAGGCGAGUAUGAUGGUCCAUUCAAUGCAUUCUGUAAAGAACAUGGAAUAAUCCAUCAAACUACAGCUCCUUACUCACCAGAAUCUAAUGGAGUUGCUGAACGCAAGAAUCGAACUCUAAAAGAGAUGAUGAAUGCAAUGUUGCAGGAAUCUGGGUUACCCCAGAACAUGUGGGGGGAAGCAUUGCUUACCACUAAUUAUAUCCUCAACAAAAUUCCACACAAAGUAACUGGCAAAACUCCAUAUGAAUUAUGGAAAGGUAAUUUACCUUCGUAUAAAUACCUCAAAGUGUGGGGGUGCCUGGCAAAAGUUGCAGUACCGCCACCAAAGAAGGUCACUAUUGGACCUAAAACAGUGGAUUGCAUCUUCAUCGGAUAUGCACAUAACAGUAAUGCUUAUCGAUUUCUGGUACAUAAAUCUGAAAUAUCAGACAUUCAUGAAAAUACAGUCAUGGAAUCAAGAAAUGCAUCUUUCUUCGAAAAUAUUUUUCCAUAUAAGGAAAAACAAGGUUCAAAACGAACUCGAGAAGAAAGAGACAAUGACAAAAACUCAGAAACUGAGACAAACGUCGAGAUUUCUAUAAAUGAUAUUUCAGAAAAUGAAGAAAAAGAUGAACCUCGAAGGAGCAAAAGAGCUCGAAAAGAAAAAUCUUUUGGAGAAGAUUUCCUAAUGGCAUUUUUAGUAGAAAAUGUUCCAAAAACUUUGGCAGAAGCCAUGGCUUCACCAGAAGCUCCAUUCUGGAACGAAGCGGUCAGGAGUGAAUUUGAUUCGAUCAUGCAAAAUUAUACUUAUUACAUAACGGAUUUACCACCUGGCUGCAAAGCAUUAGGGAAUAAAUGGAUAAUGACACGAAAACCUGGUGGAAAAUACAAAUCUAGGCUUGUAGUUCAAGGAUUCCGACAAAAGGAAGGUUUGGACUAUUUUGAUACAUAUUCUCCAGUAACGAGAAUAACAUCAAUAAGACUGAUGAUAGCAAUCGCAGCCUUAAGAGACCUAGAAAUCCAUCAAAUGGAUGUAAAAAUCGCUUUUCUAAAUGGUGAUUUAAAAGAGGAAAUUUACAUGAAACAACCUGAAGGUUUUGUCGUUCCCGGACAGGAAGACAAAGUAUGCCUACUUGUAAAGUCAUUUUAUGGACUUAAGCAAUCUCCUAAACAAUGGCACCAGAAAUUUGACAAUAAAAUGAUGUCAAAUGGUUUCAAAAUAAAUGAAUGUGACAAAUGCAUAUACUACAAAACUACCAAAAAGGCGUUUGUUUUGCUAUGUCUAUAUGUAGAUGAUAUGCUCAUUAUUGAAAGCAGUAAAGACAUUAUCAAUCAAACAAAAAACAUGCUCAAAGGGACAUUUGAGAUGAAAGACUUGGGAUUAGCAGAUGUAAUUCUCGAGGUUAAAGUCACAAGAAAUUCAAACGGAAUUAUCUUAACCCAAUCUCAUUAUGCUCAAACAAUAUUAGAGAGAUUUAAAAAUUACUCUAAUAGUACGGCAAAAACUCCGUUAGAUCCCCAAAUGCACUUGACAAAGAAUUCAGGUGAAGCGGUUUCACAAAACGAGUAUGCACGUGUGAUCGGAAGUCUCAUGUACUUGACCAAUUGUACUAGACCGGAUCUGGCGCAUGCAGUAAACGUACUUAGUCGAUAUACAAGUAAUCCAGGUCAUACACACUGGAAAGCUAUAACGAGGGUACUCAAUUACUUGCGCUACACCAAAGAUUUUGGGCUUCACUAUGGUAAAGAACCAGCAGUUUUAGAAGGAUACAGUGAUGCUAACUGGAUAUCAGAUUCUAAAAACUCAAAAUCCACGAGUGGAUAUGUCUUUACACUAGGAGGAGCAGCAAUAUCAUGGAAAUCUACCAAACAAACAGUGUUAGCCAGAUCUACCAUGGAAUCUGAGUUCAUAGCCUUAGACAAAGCAGCAGAAGAAGCUGAAUGGCUUAGAAAUUUUUUGGAAGAUAUUCCUAUGUGGGAGAAACCUGUGCCAGCUAUACGCAUACAUUGUGAUAGUCAAUCAGCAAUAGCUCGGGCUCAGAAUAAUCUCUACAAUGGAAAAUCUCGUCACAUCAGAAGACGACAUAAAACCAUUAGACAACUUAUCUCAACUGGUGUAAUCACAAUAUACUACAUCAAAUCGGCUGACAACCUAGCGGAUCCAUUUACAAAAGGUUUGUCACGAGAUGUUGUUGCUAAAUCAUCAAAAGGAAUGAGUUUAAAGCCUAUUACAAAUGAGGAUGCUUGACUAUAGAAUAAGUUUAAUUUUUUUUUUAGAGUCUAUCGAGUCUGCAUUUAGUCUGCAUAUGUUUAGAGUCAUUUCUAUUCAUGUGAGGGAGUGUUGGGCCUAAUAUUAUAGCCUAAUGGCUGAAUUAAUAAAAGGCAUAAGGUGAAUACAAAUGGGCCUACGGGUCACAUGGAAAAAGCAUGGUUGGGUUAAAUGAAUGAAACUUAAGAACAUCCCACAUCGGGGAAGUAGAGAGGAGAUGAGCAAUAUAUAUAUGCUCAUGUGUUAUGAGUUGUUAAACGGCUCAAGGAGAGAGGAAGUCUCUCCACGCGCGCGCCGCCGCCGCUGUCCAGCUCGGCUCGGCUCGGCUUGGGCUUGGGUCUUGGGUCUUGGUGGAGGGUCUCCUGCCCAAUAAGAAUAUUCUCUUUGGACCAAGUUAAGCACUACAUUUUUGCCAUUUCAUUUCUAAAAAACAGAAUGACGUUUGUGAAUAAACGACACGUAGUUUGUCUAAAAAUGACACGAAGUUUGUCUGUUCGAAAUGGAUUAGAACGAGUCAACAGAAGAGAGAUCUUGCGGAGAAAGUUUCUCAACUCUCCACUCCCGAGAUUUCAGAGAUAUUUUCGCUAAAUGUGUGCAACAGUUUCAAAAAUCAAAUCCGGCUCUCUUCUUUAAAUACUCGCCUCCUCUUCAUUCAUUUCUCAACUUUUUCACAUCGAAACCAACAGAAAAAAUUCCCUUAGCGUAAGUCUUAAUUACGAGAGUGUUUAGAGUUUAUAGUUCGAUAGGGCCAUCACGAGUGAAGCAUGAUGUGUCUACCAUGGUUGUAUCCUGGGACUCGGUAUUCGUACAGUUUUGUCUCACUAACGGAGCGAAUAUUUAGAGUUAAAGAAAGAUAUUAUAUCUCGACUCCAUGUUCAUUAGCGAAUACGAUUUCUUAUCGUUCUUGUAUUCGCUCUUCACAAUCGUUUAUUUUCCUUAACAUAUCGCUUUUAUUAUAUCGUUUAUUUCAGUCCGGUUAUCCGGCUUCUACAGCAACAUCACAAGGUUGCUUCUUCAGCACAAGAUGUUGUCAAUGGUGGAGGAAGGAAAAGGGUAUUGGGUGGAGUGGAGACAGGGGGAGUGAUAAACCUCUAUUAAAGGCUAUAAUUGUUGAUCACAAACACUUGCAAAAUAAUUGAACAAAAAAAAAACUUGCAAAUAGAACUUAGAACACAAGUAACUUUCAGGCAAAUUUCUCUGCUUUUUCUUUUUGGCUUUUUGAUUUAUAUAGAAAACAAAUUGGAACUACACUUUCCUACAAACUUGGAAGCAAAUGCAUAAUGGAAAAGAUAAUGGGAAAGUGAUUCACGUUACUUUGUUCCUAUCAAAUAGGAAGUGAAGUAGUGAUCUAAUUAUUUGCAUAAAACAUAAAUAAAAAGAGAAGACUAAGGCUCCGAUUGUUUGCAACUGUGACGGCUGUGACUUUACAGAUAAGUUUGGGUUACAAAUUUUAGGUUUUAAAAAACUGACUGUUUCUUUAGAAAAAAACCUAAAGCCAUAAAUUGUUGUUUUUGAAUACCACUGACGUAACAAAUUAUUAGAAGAGUAAAUUCAGUUAUUGUGACUUUGAGAAUUUUAAGGAAGGCUUUAAAGACUUUAGAAACUUAAGUCUGAUUGGUAAUAAUUAGACUUUAAAGGCUUUAGAUUUAAUUAACAGUCUCAACAGCCAAAUCCCAAUCGGAUCCCAAGUCUCAAGACUUAGCCGUUGAACUUAAUUUUGAAUUUCUUGUGCAGAUGAGUCUUCCAUAGUUAGCUUUAUUUGCUGACUCAUCAAGGAGAAGUAGUGGUCAUGGAUUAUCCUCAGCCUCAUCAUAAGCCUCCCGUCCACAACGAGAAUGCUUAAAAUUUACUCCAUCUCUCUAUACAUCAGAUGAUCACCACAGGCCGACUCAAAGACAUCAUGGACCCUUGGAAAAAAUAAAUUUAAAUAUUUUUUCACAUGUAUUUAUAGAUAAUUUAAAAAAAUUUGGGCCCAUAUUCCUAAUUUUAUUUUAAAACUGAACCCUUUUUCCAAUACUUUUUUUGCAAAAAAAAAUUGGGCCCGGGACCCACGCUCCUUUGCCCCUACCUUAAAGUCGGCCUUGACACUGUUAUAUGCAUAUAUGCAUUCACCAUGCUGGUGGCUCUAAUGACACUCUUGUGCUAUAAUCACUACCAACUUCUUUUGUUCUCUUUUCUUCGUUCCCUAAAACAAACAAGCUGUACCUCUUCCUUAAUAGUAUACUUGUAUUUCAUGUGGAAUGUUGCUUACUUUUAGAACGAACUCUUCACCAUCAUUUUAGCUCUAAGAGCAUGAUUAACCCGGGGUUCUUAGGAUGAGGUUCUUAGCGGAAGUUAAGAAACUGUUUCUUAACUUUUAACUAAAAAGACUAAGAACCGGUUCUUAGUCUUUUUAGUUAAAAGUUAAGAAACAGUUUCUUAACUUCCGCUAAGAAGCUCACUCUAAGAACCCCGGGUUAACCAUGGUCUAAGUAGCUUUAGAAAAAACUUUACACACUUCUGUAUAAGGAAAAGAGGAUAACAUGAUCAAUGCACUUGGGUACGAGCCUAAGAUUAUAUAUGCACACUCAACGCCAUUUAAGUCUCUCUCUGCCUGACGCCCAUUACUAACUCUAGUAUUAGCAGUUCAAAGAAGUAUCAUCAAACUGUGAAAAAAAAUAAAGGUUCUAGUUUUUCACAAUCAACGGGGAAAAUACUGAAGACAAAUGUAGGCCUGGGCUUAAUAUACUGAAGCCGAAGUCCAUAGUGUAACCCGCACCGAAGUAUCGGUUUUGGAUCGGUAGCGGACCCAAAGAAAAUACCGAUUGGACUUUAAAGCCCACAAAUUUCGGCUAUGGUCCGGUCCGGUUUCAAACCGAGAUCAAGACAAGGUAACCGAAACAUACCGAGCAUUUAUAUAUUUCUCUUACAUAUACAUACAUUCAUUUAUACCAAUACAGAAAACUCAUCGGUCUCUUCUCUUUCAUGCGUGAGGCGAGCGGCGUGAGGCGUGAUUCACGAACCCUAGUUCCAAAAAAAAAACUCUUCGGUUAUUGAUCAUCGUCAUUAAGAACCCCAAACUGGCCUAUAUAAAUGUCUUACCGUCUCCAUCUUCUUCUUCUUCACACGAGCAAUCGAGAAUCCAAUCAGAGGUUAUUUUUUUCUGUUUCUUCAGUUCUUCUUUGUGUUCUUAUUUUUUUUUUAAGUUGAAUUGAAUAGGUUAUGUCGUUAUGAUUUAAAUGGAAUCGGUUAUGAUCAGGGGUUUGCAUGUUAAUUUUUUUUUCAGAUGGACUCAACAUCAUCAUUUGGCCGAGACAAAGAUGAUGCUGGAAACAUUCAAGCUCCCAAUACUACCCAGACAAGGAAAGAGUCAGAGAGAGCUAGUGGAGCGACAAGCAAAGUGAAGCGUAUUCUCCCUCCAAGAUCCGACGUUUGGCAGCACUACACAAGGACUACAGAAGACCGAAACAAGUGUGUUUGCAACUACUGUCAGAACACAUUUUCGUGUCUCACAACCUCAGGGACGUCCAAUCUAAGGAGCCAUCUUGAGAAAUGUAAGAGCCAUCUUGCUUGGUCGGCUGGACAAAAAGAUCAGCAAGCAAACAUUGAUGAUGAAGGGAGACUUAAGAAGGCAAAGUUGACUGAAGGUCAGUUGAGAGAAGCCACAAAUCAGAUGGUUGUCUUAGGACAAUUGCCGUUAUCAUUCGUUGAAAGCGUAGCAUGGAAACAAUUUUGUCACAAGGUUAGUAAUGUCUAAUGUUCUUGUAACUUAUGAUAAUCUUCAAGUAUCAUGUUUCAUUGUAACUAAUGUCUUCUCUUUUCUAUGUUUGUAGGUAAACUUUGGGUACACUCCUCAUUCAAGAAAAACUGCGAGAAAAGACAUUAACAAGAUGUAUGUGGAAAAGAAAGAUGCACUCAAGAAAUGGUUCUUGAGAAGCAAUCAAAGAGUGUCUUUGACAACAGAUAUUUGGGUCUCUCAAACAACCGGUAAACUUUAUACUUUUGACAUCUCUCAAUUCUUUUAUACAUAUUAGAAAGCUGAUCAUGGUUUUUUUUUAUUGAACAAUGUAUACAGGUGCGAGCUAUAUGGUCAUCACAGUGCACUACAUUGACCCUUUGUGGCAGUUAAAGAAGCUGAUCAUAGGGUUCAAACACAUCACGGAUCACAAAGGUCAGACUAUUGCCAAUGUCUUACUAGAGUGCUUGUCUGAAUGGGGAAUCAUAAAUGUUUUCUGCAUAACUGUCGAUAAUGCUACUGCCAAUAGUUCAGCUUUGAGGAAGUUUCAGAGUAGUUUUGUCCUUGGUUCAGAUCAGGCUUUUGUGUUAGAUGGGGAGUUUUUACACCUGAGAUGUAGUGCCCAUAUAAUUAAUCUGAUAGUUAAGGAUGGAAUGGCUGAAAUAGAUCACAAUGUCGUUGCUAUCCGCAAUGCUGUCUCCUAUGUUAGAUCGCAUGCUAACAGGUUGAGCUCUUUUGAGUUGAAAGUUGACUCUGGUAAGAUCACAAGGGGGAGUCUACCGUUGGAUGUCAAGACAAGGUGGAAUUCUACCUACCUAAUGUUGUCAACAGCUCUGAAGUUCAAGGUGGCUUUCAGUAAGAUGGAAGUAGAAGACAAGCUGUACAAUGAUCAUUUUAGCGAGUUGGAAAAUGGAGAAAAAAGGGUAGGACCUCCUCAGCUAAGGGAUUGGAAUGCUAUUGAGAAGCUGUGUCGAUUUCUGGUCAUCUUCUACAAUUCGACACUGGUGGUCUCGGCCUCAACUUCACUCAAUUCCUAUAGGUGCUACGGUGAGAUUGUAACCAUUGCGACUAAUCUGAUAGGUCUUUCCACAAGCUCUGAUUCUGAAAUGAAGUCUAAAGCCACAGAGAUGCUGAAGAAGUUUGAGAAGUAUUGGAAUGGCAUGAAGAAUAUUAACAUGAUGUUAAUUGUUGCCACUGUUUUCGACCCCAGCAAUAAGUUGGAGCUUGCAAAGCUGUGUUUCGAAGAGUUGUAUGGGCUGGAUACAGUUGACUAUAAGGAGAUGUAUGAUUCCUUGAUGUGUCUCUUGAGGAGCUUGUUCAAAGAGUACAGUUCACGACAUGGACCCAGGGUUGAUCCAAGUGACCAAUCAUCUCAGUCUGACCAAUCUACUCAGCCGAGAGACCAAAGCAUUGAAAGGAUGGAGGUUGUGGAUGACUUUGUGGGUUACAAGAGGAUGGAUGUUAGAUACAAGCAGAAGCUAAACGAAAUAGGGGUUAGAGAAAAGAAGGAUGAGCUGGAAACAUACCUUAAGGAGUCCGUGGAACAGCCUGACUUGAUGAUUGGAAUGGAGUAUGAUGUACUCUCGUGGUGGAGAAAGAACUCAGUUAAGUUUCCUAUCUUGUCUGAGAUUGCGCGGGAUGUUCUAGCUAUACAAGUCUCCUCAGUUGCUUCAGAGAGUGCCUUUAGUACAUCCGGUCGGCUUCUAGAACCUCACAGGAGCUGUUUGACGCAUUAUAUGGUGGAGGUUUUGAUGUGCACAGAGCAGUGGAUGAAGCAAGACAUAAAAAUGGAGUCAAGAGUGCUUACAAAUCCUCAGAUACUAGAUGACCUUGAAGAAAUGGACAAGCUUGAAAGAGGUAAAUUCUUACACACCUCAUCUUCUUUACUUAUAACAUGAAUGUUUGGUUUUAGUAAUUGAUUUGAACUUUGUAUGAAACAGAGUAUGAAGAAAAAAAGAGUUCCAGUUGCAGAAGAAGAGUAGAAGACUAAGGCUUUGUGGUAGCUUAAGAAGAUCAUGGCAAUCUUUUUUUAUCUCGGUCUCAAGUUAUCUUUUUUUUUUUUGCAAUUUGAAGACUUGUUCUUGGUUUGAAUGUUGGUUUUAAGUUUAGACACAAAUUUUCUUGUCUUGUUGUGUCUAAAACUUGUGUUUCCAUUGUGUUUUGGUGUGUUUGAACUCAGAUUGUUUCAAUGGAAUUUUCGGAUGUUUGGUUAAGUUUGGUAUAUUUCGGUUUGUUUGGUUAUUUUUGAUUGACUAUGGUUGUUAAAACCGAAACCACACCGGAACCGUAAUGUUAUCGGUUGGUAGUGGAUUUUGUUUACUUCAACCGCACCGAUCCGAAACCGAUUGAUUCCGAACCGAAACCAUUCUUCAUUAUAGAAAAUACCGAUUGGUACUUGUGCUCUAUGAACCGAUAGUCCGAACAACCGAUUCAACCGAACCGAAACCGAACGGUGGACCGAACGCCCAGGCCUAGACAAAUGAGUGGAACAAACAGUAACUAAAUUUGGGUCCGUAAUCAAAUGCAAACUGUUUUAAAAUGUACCACAACUCCACUACAGACUUAAAGAAACAACCAAGACCAAAAAAAAACUAGCUGUGACACAUUCGGGGCCUCUGUGAAAAUUAGGACAGGCAAAUAGACUGUAAUGUCUUGGAAACGCUUGGCAAGCACAUGUGUGUGAAAGGGAAAACUCUCUGUAACUAUUUUAUGAACACAGAAGACAACACAAAACUGUUUGCCUAGGAGAAGAAAACACAAGUGGGUAGAUGUUACUCUUAUGCUACGUACUCUCCAUGUCUUACACAUGUCUAAUUUGUAAUUAAUUGUGUAGAGACUAUAGUAGUAGCAAUGAGAAAGCACCAAGAGAUGAUCACCAGAGCAUGGCAAAGUCGGUCACCUUCGAAAUAUGUAAUUCUACAACGGUUUGAAAACAAAAAAAAGUACCGGUAUGCUUGUCUUAAUACCCUUAUACAUGUAAGUGGUAACAGCACUGUGCUUCAAACCCAGUCAGUUAUAAUUGACGUUUCCUCAGAAGCAAGUCUCACUACAACAAAAAGAUUGGAGAAAGCCUCAGCAGAGAGAAACAACAUUUAUAGACUUUCAUAUGAAGAUCAUAUAAAUAAGGAGGAGCACUGACAAUUAAAUCGUUUCUUUGGGAUCUUGCCCUCGUUUACUGAAUAAAGAAAGCUCUUCACAGCGUCGGCAAUGAAUCUGGCAGAGUACUGCCAUAGAAAAAAUAUUGUACGUAUGGAUACAGUAAAGAAAAAAACAAUAUAAAUAUGCUAGGAACCAUUAGGAGCACCUGAACCAUAACCACAUUGUAUUUUCAGUUGGUGCGAUCACUGCAAUCCAAAAUAUCUGAUGAAGCUUGAGUAUUUACCUGUGUUGUUAACUUCGUAAUUUGGAGUCUCUCCAUGCCUCCGCAGCUGCAGUCUCCUCCAUGCGGUCGUGUCUACUGUAAAUAAGAAAAGGUCAGGGUUGAAAGCAAGAAGAAGUUCAAGUGAUCUGGAACAGAGACAAAGAUAAACUGAAUGUUUUCAUUAUAUUUCUUGCAUAAAGAUUAUUACAAUAGCUUAAGCUGUAUUUAUACUAAAGAGAGAAAACCCUAGUCUAUCUCCUUGCUGUCAAUUAGGGAAACAUCUCUUCAUUGGAUUCCAGCUGUUGGAAACGUUUCUUCAACACUAUUGGUUCUUCUAGUUCGUACUUUCCAGGACCACAAGACUUGUCCUUUUCUCUGUUUUUCCUUUCAUGACUUGUAGUAGCCGUUGCUGUUUUCUGAUUCUGAAUGGGCUUUGAUUCUUCUUCUUGCAAGCCCAUUCCGUGUCUAGUAAAACUUGUUUCAGCCCUUGGAGUCUUGUCUCUCAAAUCUAUUAUCUCAUUCUUCUUCUCUGUUUCAGAAACAGAACACGUUUCUGAAGUUAAUGUUCCUUUUGGUUUCCAGAUCUUCUUCUCCUUGUCACCUUUGUCUACAUGCCCCCUCAAACUUUGUGUGGGAGAGCUGACCACACCAAGUUUGAACCUAAGCUCAUGAUAUGUCUGUGACGCCAAGGAUUUCGUAAAUAUAUCGGCCAGUUGAAGUAAACCAGGUAUAUGAUGCACAAUUAACUUCCCCAUAGCUACCUUCUCACGCACGAAAUGAAAAUUCACUUCAAAAUGUUUCGAUUUCUUGUGCAUUGCUGGAGUUGCAGAGAGAUAAACCGCCGAUAAGUUAUCACAGAACAGUUCCGGAGGUGAAGAAAGAGGGAUGCCGAUUUCACUCAUUAGAUUUGUAAGCCAAACCACUUCCGCAGCAGUAUCAGAUAGUGUGCGGUAUUCAGCUUCAGUGGAGCUUCUGGAGACUGAUUCCUGUUUUUGAGCUGACCAAGAGAUGAUAUUUGAGCCUAAGAAAGUGCAAAAACCACCAGUGGAUCUUCUUGUAUUAGGACAUCCACCCCAAUCACUGUCACUAUAAGCUCUUACCUUUGAAUCAGUCUGAGAAUUAAAGGAGAUACCGUUGUUGGUUGUGCCACGAAGAUACCUCAGAACACGCUUAAGAAGAAGAAAGUCAUUCUCAGUUGGAGCGUGCAUCUUUUGACAUAUGUAGUUCACAGCAAAAUGUAGAUCCGGUCUUGUUAAGGUCAGAUACUGUAACUUUCCUGCCAAGCUUCGGAAGUAUGUUGGCUGAGGGAACAAUGUUGAAGUAUCUGGAACUCGGUUGAGCUGAAGAGGUAGUGGUGUAGCUACAGGAGUGCAACCAGACAUACCAGAGAUAUGAAGAAGGUCCUCAGCAUACUUUUCCUGAUUCAAAAACAUUCCAUUUGCAGUGAAGCUAGCUUGCAGACCCAAGAAAUAGUGAAACUGACCCAAAUCUUUCAUCUUGAAUUCUCGAUUGAGAGCAUCUAGUAGUGUACCAAUGAGAACUAUGUUACUCCCAGUCAAAGCAAUAUCAUCUACAUACAGCAAAAGGAGAAUGAUGUCUCCAUUUUUCUUGUAUAUAAAGAGAGAAGGGUCUCUUAGACUGCAAAUGAAGCCAAAAGCCAGCAGAAAAUCACUAAAUUUGUUGAACCAGGCUCGUGGAGCUUGUUUUAAUCCAUAUAUCGCCUUGUUUAGUUUGCAAACAUGAGCUGGCUUCUCAGAGUUAAUAAAAUCGGGAGGUUGAUGCAUAUAGACCGUUUCUGUCAAAUAUCCAUAGAGGAAAGCAUGUUUGACAUCAAGUUGUCUUAUAUCCCACUUAUUAACUGUGGCAAUGUUUAGUAUGGCUCUGAUUGUAGGAGAUUUAACAACUGGGCUGUAUGUAUCCAUGUAGUCAAUCCCUUCUUCCUGAUCAUAGCCCUUCACUACCAGUCGUGAUCUCAGACAUUUAACAGUUCCAUCAGCAUUUAACUUAACCCGAAAGAUCCAUCUACAGCCAAGAAUAUGCAUAUCAGGCUGAUAAGGAACAAGAGUAUAAGUAUCAGUCUCGUCAAAAGAGACCAUCUCUUCAGUCAUGGCUCUGUUCCAUCCAGGAUGUUUCAAAGCUUCUUUCACUGUUCUUGGUUCUUGCAAUGUAGAGGUUACUGUAAAGAGGACAUAUCUCGGAUUUGGUUUUGUAAUUCCCACCUUUGAACGAGUGACCAUUGGAUGUGUAGAUUGACUAGGAACAUCAGUGGACAACGGUUGAGAAGGAGAUGUUUGAUGUAUUGAAUCAGCUGAUGUUGAGGACGGUUGCUGAUUUGUACCAGUGGUAAAGGGUAUCGAUUUGUCUGUGACUGGCGAGCUUUGAAGUUGUACUGAGGGCAGAGUACCAAACUGAACCGACUGUCUUUGUGUUGAACUGAUACUUGAACCAGAGGCGAGUGAGUUGUUUGUCUGAACUUACAGGAGUAUACCCGGGUAGAUCAUCAUCUGAAGCAGAACCAGAGGAAUGUGAGUUGUCUAUCAGAGCUGCAGGGGAGACUGUAGAAGACCGCAGCAAACUGACAGGAGGAACAAACAAUAAAGAUGAAGUACUUAUGUAAUGAGGAGAUCCUGUCUGAGGCACUGAAAACUUUUGAGGACCAGUAGAUCUAUCUUCAGAUUCAGCUGAUGUAGUAGAGUAAAGAAAACUUUGUUGCCACGCUGAGAGAAGAGGAGAGGAGUUUUGUUGAUGAAGGUGAGAGUAAGUAGAGGCAAAAGGGAGACACAGUUCAUCAAACAAAACAUGUCUAUUGAUGUAGACUUUCCCAGUGGGAGGAUGAAGGCAUCUAUAACCCUUAUACUUCUCAUUGUAGCCAAGAAACACACACUGCAAGGACUUAGGAUCAAGCUUGUUUGUAGGCAUAAGGUCGCAGUGAAGGAUAACAAGCGCUGCCAAACACUCUAAGAGCAGAAUAUUCUGGUUUUCUGUUGAAUAAGACCUCAUAUGGACUCUUGUGAUUUGACAGAGAAGAGGAAGGCAAGAGAUUCCCAAGAAAACUUGAAGUAAAGAAAGCUUCUACCCAAUAUAUCUGUGGAACCUUACCUUCAAACAUCAUAGAAAGUCCAAGUUCAGUGAUGUGUUUGUGCUUUCUCUCAGCUAUCCCAUUUUGUUGGGGAGUAUGAGGACAAGAGAUCAAAUGUUUGAUACCACAGGUUGAGAGAUGAUUCACAAACUUGUUGCCAAUGAACUCACUUCCUCCAUCACACUGAAACAUUGAUAUCUUCUGGUUUAAUUGGUUCUCUACCAAGGAUUGCCACAUGAUAAAUAUUUGAUGAAAAUCAGACUUUUGUCUCAUGGGAUAAAACCAACAAUACCGAGAGAAAUUAUCCACAAAGAUGACAUAGUAUUUAAAACCUUGGACAGAACACACUGGUGAGGGACCCCAUAGAUCACAAUGAACCCUCUCAAGAGGUCUAGUAGAUACAUAAACAGAACUAGAGAAAGGUAGUUUAGCACUUUUGCCAAGUUGACAUGAAUCACAAAUCUUGGACAUGCUUUUAUUUAUACUAAUAGCUAGACUUCUGGAUAGAAUUUGCAGGAUCUCAGCACUUGGAUGACCCAAUCUUCUAUGCCAAACCUCAGCACUAGCUGCCACCUGACGAGCAGAAUAGAAGGCAGUGAAGGCUGAGUUCUCCAGGACAUAAAGAUCUUUACGUCUGCUUCCUUGAGUCAGGAUUUGCUUGGUGAGCUUGUCCUUAACAUACACACCAUCACAAUCAAAUGUGAACUCACAAGGAUAAUCAACUGUCAUCUUAGACACUGAAAGUAAAGAUUUCGCAAUGUUUGGACAUACUAAUACAUCCUUCAGUGACAUUAUACCUGAACUACCUGGAGUUGACUGCAGAGGCACUGAACCUACGUGAGUAAUGGGCAGGAAGUUGCCAUCAGCCACCAUAACCGAGUCAUUGCCUGUGUACUGCUGAGAAUACUGAAGAUUAUGUCGGGAGUCAGUGACAUGUGUCGUUGCAGCAGUAUCAGGAAACCACUCUGUUCCAUUGUAGGUUUGAUCAGUAGCUGGAGGAUCAUUAGAGAUGUGCAGAGCCGCCAUUGCAGAGGGUAUAUCAUCACUCUGAUAAGAUAUGUCAAAACGUCUGUAGCAUUUAAGAGCAUUGUGUCCAAAUCUACCACAAAUCUGGCAAGAAGGUCUGUUUGAAGCCUCUCCCUGAGGUGAUGAAUUUCUAGGAGGAACUUGUUGAUGGAAGCCUCGACCUCUAGUGGAAUAACCUCUGCCUCUAUUAUACCCAAAGCGACCAUUACUGCCCCCUCUGCCACGGUACUGAUUGAAAUGUGGAGCUUGUUGAGCAUAAUGGUUGUUUUGAGAGUAGUUAGGCUCUUCAGAAGAUACAUGAAACGCCAGGUGUGGAGACACUGAACUUUGAGUUGUUUCAUAGGAUUUGAGACGAUCUUCGAAUCCAGUGAGGCGAAGGGAGAUAUCUUCAAAUGAAGGCGGCAAAGCAGAAUCCAUCGUUCCUUCAAUACUGGUCUUGAUAGGCUCAUACUCUCUUCCCAAGCCUUGUAAAGCAGCAAAGACCUUCAUCUUCUCGGAUACAGGAGAUCCCACAGAGUUUAAUUGAUCGCAUAACCCCUUUAUCUCCUUAAGAUAAUCAGCCAUGGUCUUGUUGGACUUCGAAACUGUUUGAAGACGACGCUGGAGCUCAAAGAGACGAGAGGAAGACACUCUGUUAAAGUGGUUACCAAGCGAAGUCCAUAUUUCUUGAGCAGUGUUAGCACCAAGAGCAACACUAAGGAUGUCUUCAGAGAGCGAUCCUACUAACCAGGCUUGAACUAUUUGAUGAGAUCUGACCCACAACUGAUAAUCAGGGUUUGGAACGUCUCUGUAGCCACCUCCUAUAUUUGGGACGUGAAUCAGAGCCACAUGCGCAGGAGAAGCUCCAUUAACGAAGCUCAGAAGACCAACACCUGAGAGGAAAGAUUCAAACUGUCGUUUCCAGUGGAUAUAGUUUCUUUCAGUGAGCUUGAGAGUUGCGCAGUUGGUGAUGUCAAGUUGAGGUUGAGAGUAUAGAUCUAAAGUGUUUUCCAUGGCUCAGGAUUGCUCACUGAGCUCUGAUACCAACUGCUGAGAAUACUGAAGAUUAUGUCGGGAGUCAGUGACAUGUGCCGUUGCAGCAGUAUCAGGAAACCACUCUGUUCCAUUGUAGGUUUGAUCAGUAGCUGGAGGAUCAUUAGAGAUGUGCAGAGCCGCCAUUGCAGAGGGUAUAUCAUCACUCUGAUAAGAUAUGUCAAAACGUCUGUAGCAUUUAAGAGCAUUGUGUCCAAAUCUACCACAAAUCUGGCAAGAAGGUCUGUUUGAAGCCUCUCCCUGAGGUGAUGAAUUUCUAGGAGGAACUUGUUGAUGGAAGCCUCGACCUCUAGUGGAAUAACCUCUGCCUCUAUUAUACCCAAAGCGACAAUUACUGCCCCCUCUGCCACGGUACUGAUUGAAAUGUGGAGCUUGUUGAGCAUAAUGGUUGUUUUGAGAGUAGUUAGGCUCUUCAGAAGAUACAUGAAACGCCAGGUGUGGAGACACUGAACUUUGAGUUGUUUCAUAGGAUUUGAGACGAUCUUCGAACCCAGUGAGGCGAGGAGAGAUAUCUUCAAAUGAAGGCGGCAAAGCAGAAUCCAUAUGUUAACUUCGUAAUUUGGAGUCUCUCCAUGCCUCCGCAGCUGCAGUCUCCUCCAUGCGGUCGUGUCUACUGUAAAUAAGAAAAGGUCAGGGUUGAAAGCAAGAAGAAGUUCAAGUGAUCUGGAACAGAGACAAAGAUAAACUGAAUGUUUUCAUUAUAUUUCUUGCAUAAAGAUUAUUACAAUAGCUUAAGCUGUAUUUAUACUAAAGAGAGAAAACCCUAGUCUAUCUCCUUGCUGUCAAUUAGGGAAACAUCUCUUCAUUGGAUUCCAGCUGUUGGAAACGUUUCUUCAACACUAUUGGUUCUUCUAGUUCGUACUUUCCAGGACCACAAGACUUGUCCUUUUCUCUGUUUUUCCUUUCAUGACUUGUAGUAGCCGUUGCUGUUUUCUGAUUCUGAAUGGGCUUUGAUUCUUCUUCUUGCAAGCCCAUUCCGUGUCUAGUAAAACUUGUUUCAGCCCUUGGAGUCUUGUCUCUCAAAUCUAUUAUCUCAUUCUUCUUCUCUGUUUCAGAAACAGAACACGUUUCUGAAGUUAAUGUUCCUUUUGGUUUCCAGAUCUUCUUCUCCUUGUCACCUUUGUCUACAAGGGUAAUCUGAGCCGUUCGAUUUGAGUUUUGAUUAUGAUAUUAAAUCUAGAACCUUGGAUCAGGCUUUGGGCAUACAAAUAUUUUCAGGAGGUGGCAAUAACAUACAUUUGAGCCUCAAUCAAUUCCAUUAGUCUUUCUGUGAUUGUAGAUUUUCUCAAGUAAGUUGGCUGAGCUCAAGGCCAACCAUCCACAUAUACUUCACCUCGGUCUAAAAAAUAUUCUGUGACUCUGUGUUUAAUUAGAACUAGGAUUUUGAACUGUUCAUAAGUUUGCUCCCGAGAUUAUGAAGCAAACGACGUCGUAGGAUCUCAUAGGACUACUUCGAUCUGGGCCCAUUUAGUGCUCACUCCAUUACUUAACAAUGACGCUUCUACACUACACGUGUGGGGACAGCCACAGUUGACUCUAUCACGUGUACUUGUCGUACGCCACGUGGAUGGAUCCAUUUGUCUGUGUCAAAGACAAUAGACUUGUCACCACGUAAGACCUAUUGGGCUCUCCGUAAAUUUCUUGACUCAUCUAUAAAAGGGACGACACCAUUAAGACUCGAGAAAGAAAAAAAGAUAAGAACAAAAACAAAAAAUGGUGAAGUGUUUGAUCUGAUCUCUCUUAUCCUCCUCCCUCUCAUCUCCGUCGUGGAAGGUAAUCUCGGUGGCUGGAAGCCGAUUGAUUUAUCUGAUCUGAACAUCCAAUCGCUCGCCAACUAUGCGAUUAUUGAGCAUAACAUGCAAUCUAAGGCGAACCUUGUGUUCGUGAAGAUCGUCGAGGGGAAGGAGCAAGUGGUUACCGGGAAGAGGUACGGUCUGACCAUCGCGGCGAAGGAUGGCGGUGGCGCCACAAAGAACUACGAGGCCAUCGUGGUGGAAAGGCCGUGGGAUCAUUACAGGAGCCUUGAGUCAUUCAAGGCCUUAUAGAUUAGAAUCGAUAUAUUAGUAAUUUGAAGGUUUGAUAAUUUGAUAAUUUGAGAUUUUGAUAUUAUGUUUAUUGUUUUUUGGAAUAAAAUCUAAAGCAUAGAUAUGUCUCUUAUUUGAGAUUCAGGAUAUGUGCGCGUUACUUUGAGCUUCUAUCUAAUUUAAUUAUUUUGGGUUAAAUCAAUCGAGAUGACAAGGUGAUGAACGGGUGCAUUGAUUCGUGACUUUUGGCUAGACUGAACCCGAAAAUCCGACCAAUAAAAUAAAUCGGUUAUCCGAACCGAUUUAAAGAUCCACAGGUUAUGGGUUUUUUUUUUCCGGCUAAAAUUUUUAUUAAUUAUUGUGUCACAAAUGUUGUUGUACAAAAAAAACUGGACAUGAUUAGAACAAACUCCAAUCGGUCGGAGAAAUAAUAGAUUUUUUUGCUAAUAAGUCUGCAGAGCCAUUAUUUUGACGAUGACCAUGCACAAAUGAUGUUGAGCGAAAUCGAGAUUUUCAUGCAAUGACUGAGUUGACCAAGUGUUGACAACGGGAAUUGUAAGCUUCCUCUUUGAUGUAUUUAAGGAUACCGAGGUUAUCUCCUUCGAAUAUAACUUUCCUAUAACCUAACGAUGAGCAGGCUUGCUUUCACCAAAUCAGCGCAGACAAUUCCGACUCCAUAACUAUUGAUCGUCCUUCAAAUUUCCCCAUUCCAACUUCUAAAAAAGUGCCCUGGUUAUUACAUAUUAACCAACCCAUUCCAGAGUCUUGAGAGCCUUCACGGUAAGCAGCGCCGUAGUUACAUUUAACCCAACCUGAAGGGGGUGGAGACCAAUGAGACCUAAUGUUUUCAGAUCGGGUUCUUUCCGUAGAAUUAAUUAUUUGCGAUGAAACUGUAGAAUUCAACCAUUUUUUUAAAUCUACUUGGGCUUUGGAGAUAACUUCAUCCGCCGUAUAUUUAAUUUUGUUGAAAAGUAAGUCAUUUCUAUAUUUCCAUAAUCUCCAAACCACCCAAAAUGGUAAUAAUUUUUGCUCAUCGGAAAACCAAACUGGGUAUCGGAAAAACUUAAAAAAAAUUAAAAUGACAAAAAGGUUAUUUAUCUGAACCAAAUUCAGUAUCCGAAAAAAUUUAAAAAUUUUGAAAUGACAAAAAAAAAAUCCAAAUGGAUAUAAAAAACUUUAAAAAAAUUAAAAUGACAAAAAUCUGAUUUCAUUCCAAAUAUGUAUCUAAAAUAUACUAAGAUAUUAUUAAAUAUCUAAAAUAAUUUAUCUAUUGCAUAAAUAAUUUAAUACAUACUUUUGGUAUUUGGUCAAUAUUGAUAUUUGUAGGUCUGGACACAGAUUGGAUAUCCGAGUUUUUGAAUGUAUUUGUGAUUUGUUUCGUAUGCCACAGAUAUCUAGUUUUCCGAUUUGCUUUGUUUCAGAAAAAAACGGAUAUUCGGAAAAACGGAUAUCCAGAAAAUAAAUAGAUAUUUGCGGAUAUUUACGGAUACUUACGGAUAUCUCAUAUGUUUUGAUUAAUGCAAAAAAUCUAAAAAAAUUGAUACAAAUUUGUUUUAUAAAAUAUUUUUUUGCAUGAUAUAUAAGAUAAAAAUUAAAAGAAAAAGUGAAUCUACAUAUUUUAUAAAAAAUUUAAACUUAGUUAACAAUUAUAAUAAGACAAAACUUAAGAAAAAAAUUAUAAUUGUCAUAAAUUUAUUCAUUUCCUUUUUUGUAAUUUUUUUAUAUAAGUAAUAAUGUAAAUACAAUUUGUCAAAUCAUAUGUUAUAAUAGCAAUAAUAUAAUUUUAUACAUUUAAAAAUUUAAAUAUAAUCAAGAUAUACAUGUAUUUAUAUAUUACCGGAUCGGAUCAGAUAUUCUGUUCUCAAAAUUUUAAUAUUUGUGAUUUGCUUCGAUUUUAGCGGAUAUUGAUUUUUAGUAUUUGCUUUGCUUCGAAGGUUUACGAAUAUCCGGAAUUUUUGAAUCAAAUUGAAACGAAUAACGAAUCGAAUCAAAUUUAACUGAUAAAAUGUCCAGCCCUAGAUAUUUGUAUGUUUUAACAAUCGCAUCUGAAAUUUAAAUAAAUUUGUUUAUAAAGUUUUUCCAAUAUUUUUUAGUUAAAUAGUGUUUCUUAGAUUUAUAAAAUCUAACGGUUAAUUUUAAUUUAUUUACAUUUAUUAUGCAUAAUUUUCAUCUUUAUACAAGACUUUAGUUAUUAUGAUGUUUGAUAUUGUCACAGCAUAAGAAAGAGUCUCGUAAGAUUGAUAGUCGAGUCUCCCAAUUUCACAAUAAUAUAGUUAAAUGAACUUAUGUACACAAAUUUAUUGAAAGCUAGUGGUAUUUCGGCACUACGUGCCGGGUGCGUAUUUUUUGUUUGAGUUGAUAACAGAGUUUUUGAUCCAUUUGAUAUUGGUAAGUAGUAGUGUAUUAUUUUGUUUUGUAGUUACUUAUAUCAAAGAGGAAUAGCAUAACUGGUUUCCAUAGAUUAAUGAAAUAAAAAUAGAAUAAAUAACUGAUAGUUGUACAAAAGUAAAUAUAAUUUAACUUAAAACAUAAAGUAAAGUUGAUAUUCCAAAAUGAAACACGUAAAUGCAUGUGUUUGUUUUGUGAUUAUCUUGUUCGAGUGAAGAUAACAAACUUGCAUGCUAUAUCCUCUUAAAGUAGUAAAAAUUCUCGUAUGUUUUGUCCAUCUCAUGAAAGUGGCAAUUUGUUAGAGACUUCAUUGCGGACGAAAUAUUGUCUUCAACAUGAUUUUGAAUCCAGCAAGUGAAUUCUUAAUCAUGAUCCACCAUUGCUCAAAACUGAAUUGAUUAUUUUUUUUCAGGAUAAUUUAUUCAGAUAUUAUUUUCCUCUUCGAAAUUGUUUCUACACAACAUUAAUAAAUCAUAAAGAUAUGUAUCGUUGUCAUAGUUCUUAUUUGUAAUGCAGAUUGGCGAAGAUGAUUGAGUCAUUUGAUAACUUUGUGGUGGAACAAGUAUUGAAUUUUCCUCUCAAUAUAGGGAGCCUAUGAAUUGUCAUUAUCCAAACAUUGAUUCUUUAAAUUAAUGUAACUAUAUAUCAUACUGAGUGGUUUUGCUGCAAAAAAAAAAAAGUUAUAGACUGAGGUUUUUGAAAGCACAACAUAUCGUGAUAUAAGAUAUUUUAUUAGUUAUUAUAGUAAUAAAAAUUUUAUUUGGCAAGUAUAUAAGAAUUAUUCAUGUAUGUGACUUGUAUUAUAGUAUAGAUUUGGCAGCAAUGCGAAUAUAUAAUAUUUAGGUCAAAAAUAAUUAAUGUUGUCACAUAAAUAUAAGAAUAGCACAGGUUGGAAUAUUGAAAACAAAUCAAUGCGGAUACAGAUAUGCUUCUCGAACUUCAACAUCAUUCAUGUUCCACGAGCGCAUAAUCAAAUUUUAAACUUUUUAACUAAGGCUGCCAGAUCUUUUCAUAGGGAGUUACAUUUUAUUGGUUGUUCAAUUCCGGUCUGGUUACCUAGACUACCUCAAGUUUGAGUAAUAGAAUGGCCUUUGACGUCAAAAGAAAAAAAAACAAAUAAAGGGUCAAAUCUUAUGAAGAAUUCCAUUUUAAUAAUAAAAAAAAUCUUAUGAAUCAAAAAUUAAAAUAAUUCUUCUUUUUAGUUUAUUAUAGAGUUAAAAUUAAGUGGAAUUACAUAAAUUUUUCAAAACAAAGUGGAAUAUAAAUUAGAAAUGCUCUCAUUUCCAUUGUGUACUACUUCUUGAGCUCCUUACGGGACAGGUCUAAUUUUGGGGCUGAUGACUAAAUGGGAAUUCUGAGGUUAUAAUUUUGUAAGAUAGAUGCGUCCCCGAUGUUGUAAGUCAGGCUGAAAGCAUGAUUAUUUUUCUUCAAUGUCAAAUAAUAGCAAUGUUUUGUGAAUGUCUAAGGUUGUCUCUAUUAUUGAAACUUGAUUCAUAAGUUACGUUCUCAUAACCACGGGGUGGUGGGCUAGUGGUCUUGAGGCAGUUUCCCCGCCAAUACGGACCCGGCUUCGAAACCCCCUGUGGCCACCCGGGCCCUCCCUGCUAAUUCUUGAGGUGGAAAUUACGUGGCUGCUGCGGGCCUCGUGGGAUUAGUAGGUUGACCUCGGUCGCCGGAUCCCCACGGUUAACAAAAAAAAAAAAAAAAAAAAAAAAUUAUUUUAUAUUUUAUAAAAACUUAAAAAAAAAAAGAGAAGAAAGAUAUUGGAAACACAUAUGACGAGAUACGUAAGUGUAGCCCACAUAAAUCUACAUCAUUUGUAUUCAAAUAUCUUCUUCUCUUUUUUUUUUNNNNNNNNNNNNNNNNNNNNNNNNNNNNNNNNNNNNNNNNNNNNNNNNNNNNNNNNNNNNNNNNNNNNNNNNNNNNNNNNNNNNNNNNNNNNNNNNNNNNNNNNNNNNNNNNNNNNNNNNNNNNNNNNNNNNNNNNNNNNNNNNNNNNNNNNNNNNNNNNNNNNNNNNNNNNNNNNNNNNNNNNNNNNNNNNNNNNNNNNNNNNNNNNNNNNNNNNNNNNNNNNNNNNNNNNNNNNNNNNNNNNNNNNNNNNNNNNNNNNNNNNNNNNNNNNNNNNNNNNNNNNNNNNNNNNNNNNNNNNNNNNNNNNNNNNNNNNNNNNNNNNNNNNNNNNNNNNNNNNNNNNNNNNNNNNNNNNNNNNNNNNNNNNNNNNNNNNNNNNNNNNNNNNNNNNNNNNNNNNNNNNNNNNNNNNNNNNNNNNNNNNNNNNNNNNNNNNNNNNNNNNNNNNNNNNNNNNNNNNNNNNNNNNNNNNNNNNNNNNNNNNNNNNNNNNNNNNNNNNNNNNNNNNNNNNNNNNNNNNNNNNNNNNNNNNNNNNNNNNNNNNNNNNNNNNNNNNNNNNNNNNNNNNNNNNNNNNNNNNNNNNNNNNNNNNNNNNNNNNNNNNNNNNNNNNNNNNNNNNNNNNNNNNNNNNNNNNNNNNNNNNNNNNNNNNNNNNNNNNNNNNNNNNNNNNNNNNNNNNNNNNNNNNNNNNNNNNNNNNNNNNNNNNNNNNNNNNNNNNNNNNNNNNNNNNNNNNNNNNNNNNNNNNNNNNNNNNNNNNNNNNNNNNNNNNNNNNNNNNNNNNNNNNNNNNNNNNNNNNNNNNNNNNNNNNNNNNNNNNNNNNNNNNNNNNNNNNNNNNNNNNNNNNNNNNNNNNNNNNNNNNNNNNNNNNNNNNNNNNNNNNNNNNNNNNNNNNNNNNNNNNNNNNNNNNNNNNNNNNNNNNNNNNNNNNNNNNNNNNNNNNNNNNNNNNNNNNNNNNNNNNNNNNNNNNNNNNNNNNNNNNNNNNNNNNNNNNNNNNNNNNNNNNNNNNNNNNNNNNNNNNNNNNNNNNNNNNNNNNNNNNNNNNNNNNNNNNNNNNNNNNNNNNNNNNNNNNNNNNNNNNNNNNNNNNNNNNNNNNNNNNNNNNNNNNNNNNNNNNNNNNNNNNNNNNNNNNNNNNNNNNNNNNNNNNNNNNNNNNNNNNNNNNNNNNNNNNNNNNNNNNNNNNNNNNNNNNNNNNNNNNNNNNNNNNNNNNNNNNNNNNNNNNNNNNNNNNNNNNNNNNNNNNNNNNNNNNNNNNNNNNNNNNNNNNNNNNNNNNNNNNNNNNNNNNNNNNNNNNNNNNNNNNNNNNNNNNNNNNNNNNNNNNNNNNNNNNNNNNNNNNNNNNNNNNNNNNNNNNNNNNNNNNNNNNNNNNNNNNNNNNNNNNNNNNNNNNNNNNNNNNNNNNNNNNNNNNNNNNNNNNNNNNNNNNNNNNNNNNNNNNNNNNNNNNNNNNNNNNNNNNNNNNNNNNNNNNNNNNNNNNNNNNNNNNNNNNNNNNNNNNNNNNNNNNNNNNNNNNNNNNNNNNNNNNNNNNNNNNNNNNNNNNNNNNNNNNNNNNNNNNNNNNNNNNNNNNNNNNNNNNNNNNNNNNNNNNNNNNNNNNNNNNNNNNNNNNNNNNNNNNNNNNNNNNNNNNNNNNNNNNNNNNNNNNNNNNNNNNNNNNNNNNNNNNNNNNNNNNNNNNNNNNNNNNNNNNNNNNNNNNNNNNNNNNNNNNNNNNNNNNNNNNNNNNNNNNNNNNNNNNNNNNNNNNNNNNNNNNNNNNNNNNNNNNNNNNNNNNNNNNNNNNNNNNNNNNNNNNNNNNNNNNNNNNNNNNNNNNNNNNNNNNNNNNNNNNNNNNNNNNNNNNNNNNNNNNNNNNNNNNNNNNNNNNNNNNNNNNNNNNNNNNNNNNNNNNNNNNNNNNNNNNNNNNNNNNNNNNNNNNNNNNNNNNNNNNNNNNNNNNNNNNNNNNNNNNNNNNNNNNNNNNNNNNNNNNNNNNNNNNNNNNNNNNNNNNNNNNNNNNNNNNNNNNNNNNNNNNNNNNNNNNNNNNNNNNNNNNNNNNNNNNNNNNNNNNNNNNNNNNNNNNNNNNNNNNNNNNNNNNNNNNNNNNNNNNNNNNNNNNNNNNNNNNNNNNNNNNNNNNNNNNNNNNNNNNNNNNNNNNNNNNNNNNNNNNNNNNNNNNNNNNNNNNNNNNNNNNNNNNNNNNNNNNNNNNNNNNNNNNNNNNNNNNNNNNNNNNNNNNNNNNNNNNNNNNNNNNNNNNNNNNNNNNNNNNNNNNNNNNNNNNNNNNNNNNNNNNNNNNNNNNNNNNNNNNNNNNNNNNNNNNNNNNNNNNNNNNNNNNNNNNNNNNNNNNNNNNNNNNNNNNNNNNNNNNNNNNNNNNNNNNNNNNNNNNNNNNNNNNNNNNNNNNNNNNNNNNNNNNNNNNNNNNNNNNNNNNNNNNNNNNNNNNNNNNNNNNNNNNNNNNNNNNNNNNNNNNNNNNNNNNNNNNNNNNNNNNNNNNNNNNNNNNNNNNNNNNNNNNNNNNNNNNNNNNNNNNNNNNNNNNNNNNNNNNNNNNNNNNNNAAAAAAAAAAAAGUUACGUUCUCACCAA
rnacentral:lncRNA from 1 species